CUUUGCCUUGCUUAAUGCUUGUCACUAGGGCCCGAGUGCCAUGAAUUCAGAUCUAAAAUUAUUAUGUUGUCGCCAAUAUAUGUGUGUUUUAGAUCCGAUCUUGCAAGUUGUAGUUACCUAUUAUGUGUUAUGAUCCGGCAACCCCGGAGUGACAAUAACCGGAAACACUCCCGGUGUUGACCAUAGUUUGAGGAGUUCAUGUGUUCACCAAGUGCUAAUGCGUUGGUCCGGUUCUUUAUUAAAAGGAGAACCUUAAUAUCCCGUAGUGUCCAUUUGGACCCCGCUGCCACGGGAGGGAUGGACAAUAGAUGUCAUGCAAGUUCUUUUCCCUAAGCAUGUAUGACUACACACGGAAUGCAUGCCUACAUCAUAUUGACGAACGGGAGCUAGCCACAUAUCGCUCUGUGUUAUAACUGUUGCAUGAUGAAUGUCAUCCAACAAAUCACCAAUCCAUUGCCUACGAGUUUGUCCCACUGCUAUUGUUACUUGCUUUGCUNNNNNNNNNNNNNNNNNNNNNNNNNNNNNNNNNNNNNNNNNNNNNNNNNNNNNNNNNNNNNNNNNNNNNNNNNNNNNNNNNNNNNNNNNNNNNNNNNNNNUUCCAGGAAGGCGAUUUGGUGCUUCGACUGAUACAAGAUCGGGCAGGCAUGCACAAGCUUUCGCCCCCUUGGGAGGGACCUUUCGUUGUCAGCAAGAACCUCCGCAAUGGUUCUUACUACUUGAUGGAUCUUCGGUCUGAUCGACCGACUACGGGGGCUGAGUCAACUCGCCCUUGGAAUAUUGCCCAUUUGCGGCCUUAUUACACUUGAGUUCUUAAAACUCCAUGCUUUGUAAGUUUUUCAGUUUUUCAUUAUGGAAUAAUAUAAUGUUUCCCUGACUCGGGGGGCUUCUUCUUUAAUAAAAAGAAAGAGCAAUUUCAUGACAUCCUGUUGCGACCUUAUGAGCCGACAGAACAUGCAUUAAGGGUGGGUGCACGAGCUUUCUGACUCGCCUCCCCCUGUCGCGACCUUAUGAGCCGACGAAACCUGCAUUAAGGGUGGGUGCACGAGCUUUCUGGCUCGCCUCCCCCUGUCGCGACCUUAUGAGCCGACGAAACCUGCAUUAANNNNNNNNNNNNNNNNNNNNNNNNNNNNNNNNNNNNNNNNNNNNNNNNNNNNNNNNNNNNNNNNNNNNNNNNNNNNNNNNNNNNNNNNNNNNNNNNNNNNAGUCCUAUCAGGCGUUUUGAUCUAUCCCUAUAGAUCUUAAUGCCUAGAAUGUAAGCAGCUUCUCCUAGGUCCUUCAUAGAGAAACUUUUAUUCAAGUAACCUUUUAUGCUCUCCAAAAGCUCUACGUUGUUUCCAAUCAGUAAUAUGUCAUCCACAUAUAAUAUUAGAAACGCCACAGAGCUCCCACUCACUUUCUUGGAAAUACAAGAUUCUCCAACCACUUGUAUAAACCCAAAUGCUUUGAUCACCUCAUCAAAGCGUUUGUUCCAACUCCGAGAUGCUUGCACCAGUCCAUAAAUGGAUCGCUGGAGCUUGCACACCUUGUCAGCAUUUUUAGGAUCGACAAAACCUUCGGGUUGCAUCAUAUACAACUCUUCCUUAAGGAAACCGUUAAGGAACGCCGUUUUGACAUCCAUCUGCCAGAUUUCAUAAUCGAAAAAUGCAGCUAUUGCUAACAUGAUUCUGACGGACUUAAGCAUCGCUACAGGUGAGAAAGUCUCAUUGUAGUCAACUCCUGGAACUUGUGAAAAACCCUUUGCCACAAGUCGAGCUUUAUAAACGGUCACAUUACCGUCAGCGUCCGUCUUCUUCUUAAAGAUCCAUUUGUUCUGAAUAGCCUUGCGACCCUCACGUAGUACUUCCAAAGUCCACACUUUGUUUUCAUACAUGGAUCCUAUCUCGGACUUCAUGGCCUCCAGCCAUUUGUUGGAAUCUGGGCCCACCAUUGCUUCUUCAUAAUUUGCANNNNNNNNNNUCUCCAAAGUCCACACUUUGUUCUCAUACAUGGAUCCUAUCUCGGAUUUCAUGGCUUCUAGCCAUUUGUUGGAAUCUGGGCCCACCAUUGCUUCUUCAUAAUUUGCAGGUUCAUUGUUGUCUAACAACAUGAUUGAUAAGACGGGAUUACCAUACCACUCUGGAGCAGCGCGUGAUCUCGUCGACCUGCGUGGUUCAACAGAAACUUGAACUGGAGUUUCAUGAUCAUCAUCAUUAACUUCCUCCUCAACCGGCCUCGCAACGACAGAGGUUUGCCCUUGCCCUGCGCCACCAUCCAGAGGGAUGAGAGGUUCGACAACCUCGUCAAGUUCUAUCUUCCUCCCACUCAAUUCUCUCGAGAGAAACUCCUUCUCGAGAAAAGCUCCGUUUUUAGCAACAAACACUUUGCCCUCGGAUUUGAGAUAGAAGGUGUACCCAACUGUCUCUUUUGGGUAACCUAUGAAGACGCACUUUUCCGCUUUGGGUUCCAGCUUUUCAGGCUGAAGCUUUUUGACAUAAUCAUCACAUCCCCAAACUUUAAGAAACGACAACUUUGGCCUUUUGCCAUACCACAGUUCGUAUGGUGUCGUCUCAACGGAUUUUGAUGGUGCCCUAUUUAAAGUGAAUGCAGCUGUUUCUAAUGCAUGACCCCAAAAUGAUAACGACAAAUCAGUAAGAGACAUCAUAGAUCGCACCAUCUCUAACAAAGUACGAUUACGACGUUCAGACACACCAUUACGCUGUGGUGUUCCAGGCGGUGUUAACUGCGAAACAAUUCCACAUUGUCUUAAGUGAGCACCAAACUCGAAACUCAGAUAUUCACCCCCACGAUCAGACCGUAGGAACUUGAUCUUCUUGUUACGAUGAUUUUCCACUUCACUCUGAAAUUGCUUGAACUUUUCAAAUGUUUCAGACUUGUGCUUCAUCAAGUAGACAUAACCAUAUCUACUUAAAUCGUCAGUGAAGGUGAGAAAAUAACGAUAUCCGCCGCGUGCCUCCACGCUCAUUGGACCACACACAUCGGUAUGUAUGAUUUCCAACAAGUCACUUGCACGCUCCAUUGUUCCGGAGAGCGGAGUCUUAGUCAUCUUGCCCAUGAGGCAUGGUUCGCACGUGUCAAGUGAAUCAAAGUCAAGUGACUCCAAAAGUCCAUCAGCAUGGAGUUUCUUCAUGCGCUUUACACCAAUAUGACCCAAGCGGCAGUGCCACAAAAAUAUGGCGCUAUCAUUGUUUACUCUAACUCUUUUGGUCUCAAUGUUAUGUAUAUGCGUAUCGUUAUCAAGAUUCAAUAUGAACAAUCCUCUCACAUUCGGUGCAUGACCAUAAAAGAUGUUACUCAUAGAAAUAGAACAACCAUUAUUCUCAGACUUAAAAGAGUAACCGUCUCGCAAUAAACAAGAUCCAGAGAUAAUGUUCAUGCUCAACGCAGGCACUAAAUAACAUUGAUUUAAGUUCAUCACUAAUCCCGAUGGUAGCUGAAGUGACACUGUGCCGACGACGAUUGCAUCAACCUUGGAACCAUUUCCUACGCGCAUCGUCACUUCGUCUUUCGCGAGCCUUCGUCUAUUCCGCAGUUCCUGUUUCGAGUUGCAAAUGUGAGCAACAGAACCGGUAUCGAAUACCAAGGCACUACUACGAGAGCCGGUUAAGUACACAUCAAUAACAUGUAUAUCAAAUAUACCUGAUUUUUCUUUGCCCGCCUUCUUAUCUGCCAGAUACUUGGGGCAAUUGCGCUUCCAGUGACCCAUACCCUUGCAAUAGAAGCACUCUGUUUCAGGCUUAGGUCCAGCCUUGGGUUUCUUCGGCAGAUUGGCAACAGGCUUGCCGCUCUUCUUCGAAUUGCCCUUCUUGCCNNNNNNNNNNNNNNNNNNNNNNNNNNNNNNNNNNNNNNNNNNNNNNNNNNNNNNNNNNNNNNNNNNNNNNNNNNNNNNNNNNNNNNNNNNNNNNNNNNNNGAGCCUAGCAUGUGCAGACAUGGCCUCGGAACACAUGAGACUGAAAGGUCGAUCAUGAAUCAUAUAGUUGAUAUGAUUAGCAUAGGGAUGCUUACCACUGAAACCAUACCCAACUCACGUGAUGAUCGGACUUGGGAUAGUGUAAGUGGAUCAUGAACCACUCAAAUGACUAGAGAGAUGUACUUUUUGAGUGGGAGUUUAGCAUAUAAUUUGAUUAAGUUGAACUCUAAUUAUCUUGAACAUAGUCUAAGUCCACUUUGAAUAUAUUUGUGUUGUAGAUCAUGGCUCACGCGACAGUCAUCCUGAAUUUUAAUACGUUCCUAGAGAAAGCUAAGUUGAAAGAUGAUGGAAGCAACUUUGUAGACUGGGCUCGUAAUCUUAAGCUGAUCUUACAAGCUGGGAAGAAGGAUUAUGUCCUUAAUGUUGUGCUAGGAGAUGAACCACCCGCUACGGCUGAUCAGGAUGUUAAGAACGCUUGGUUAGCACGUAAGGAGGCCUACUCAAUAGUUCAAUGUGCAGUCUUGUAUGGCUUAGAACCGGGACUUCAACGUCGCUUUGAGCGUCAUGGAGCAUUUGAGAUGUUCCAGGAGUUGGAGUUUAUCUUUCAGAAGAAUGCCCGGAUCGAGAGGUAUGAGACCUCCGAUAAAUUCUAUGCUUGCAAGAUGGAGGAAAACUCGUCUGUCAGUGAACAUGUGCUNNNNNNNNNNNNNNNNNNNNNNNNNNNNNNNNNNNNNNNNNNNNNNNNNNNNNNNNNNNNNNNNNNNNNNNNNNNNNNNNNNNNNNNNNNNNNNNNNNNNCCACACAGGGUCCGGACGUCCGACACUUGUCGGAACUCCGAGCGUCCGUGAGGGGCCGGACGUCCGACAGGGGUCGGUCGUCCGAGACCUGUAGGCACGACUAGAACUCUUCUGAAUUCAUCAGCGGUCGGACGUCCGACAGGGGUCGGUCGUCCGAGGCCUGUAGAUGUGCCUGAACAUAUUUGAAUUCAUCAGCAUACGGACGUUCGGAGUGGCCCGGAAGUCCGUGUUAUACAUCACAAUUUCUACUGGUGGUGGCUUCCGGAUUUCCGAUGGGGGUCGGACNNNNNNNNNNCCAUGGACGUCCGGAGUGGACCGGAAGUCCGUGUUAUACAGCACAAUUUCUACUGGUGGUGGCUUCCGGAUUUCCGAUGGGGGUCGGACGUCCGGCGCUCGGACGUCCGGAGGAAGCCAGAUUUCUGAGAUAUAGAGCACAAAUUCUACUGGUGUAGACUUCCGGAUUUCCGGAGCUUGGCCGGACGUCCGGCCCUCGGACGUCCGGAGGGAGCCGGAUUUCCGAGAUAUAUGCCACACAAACUUCUGGUGCCUGGCUGCGGAUUUCCGAAGCCAGCCGGACGUCCGGCCCUCGGACGUCCGGAGGGAGCCGGAUGUCCGAGGCAAUUGGACAUGUAUUGAACUGAAANNNNNNNNNNAGCCGCACAAACUUCUGGUGCCUGUCUGCGGAUUUCCGAAGCCAGCCGGACGUCCGGCCCUCGGACGUUCGGAGGGAGCCGGAUGUCCGAGGCAAUUGGACAUGUAUUGAACUGAAAACAGGGUGGAUAAUAUGUGGUGUUUGGUAAGAUUGUAGAGAUGUGGUAUGAGCAAGUUUAUCGCAAAGCCUGUGAUCCCCUCUUAAUAGUGCGGGAUCCCUAUACUCAAUAUCAGUAAACUAAAAAGACUACUCUACAUCAUCUCUUCUUAAUCCCGAGCCUUCUCGAAAUAUAAAUCACCAAUCUUUUNNNNNNNNNNNNNNNNNNNNNNNNNNNNNNNNNNNNNNNNNNNNNNNNNNNNNNNNNNNNNNNNNNNNNNNNNNNNNNNNNNNNNNNNNNNNNNNNNNNNGAUUAUCUAUGAAUUAUAUUUGAGUCUUUGCUGAUUUCUUAUAUGCAUGAUUUGAUAUCCUUGUAAGUCUCUCCGAGUCUUGGGUUUUGUUUGGCCAACUAGAUCUAUGAUUCUUGCAAUGGGAGAAGUGCUUGGUUUUGGGUUCUUACCGUGUGGUGACCUUUCCCAGUGACAGUAGGGGCAGCAAGGCACACAUCGUGUAGUUUCCAUCAAGGGUAACAAGGUGGGCUUUGUCGUAGAUAUGAGAUUGUCCAUCUACAUCAUGUCAUCUUGCUUAAGGCGUUACUCUGNNNNNNNNNNNNNNNNNNNNNNNNNNNNNNNNNNNNNNNNNNNNNNNNNNNNNNNNNNNNNNNNNNNNNNNNNNNNNNNNNNNNNNNNNNNNNNNNNNNNNNNNNNNNNNNNNNNNNNNNNNNNNNNNNNNNNNNNNNNNNNNNNNNNNNNNNNNNNNNNNNNNNNNNNNNNNNNNNNNNNNNNNNNNNNNNNNNNNNNNNNNNNNNNNNNNUGACUUUGCGCGGUUCUAUCAAUCGCUCGAUAGUAAUUUGUUCACCCACCGUCUACUUGCUUUCAUGAGAGAAGCCACUAGUAAACACUACGGCCCCCGGGUCUAUUCACACCUAUCGUUUCCACUUUCGCUUUUACUUUGCUUUGUUACUUCGUUGCUUUCAGUUCUCACUUGGCGAACAAUCUAUAAGGGAUUGACAACNNNNNNNNNNAUAACGUGCGGUGCCUUUCCCAGUGACAGAAGGGGCAGCAAGGCACGCAUCGUGUUGUUGCCAUCAAGGGUAACAAGAUGGGCUUUCAUCAUAGAUUUGAGAUUGUCCAUCUACAUCAUGUCAUCUUGCUUAAGGCGUUACUCUGUUCUUUGGACUUAAUACACUAGAUGCAUGCUGGAUAGCGGUCGACGUGUGGAGUAAUAGUAGUAGAUGUAGAAAAUAUCGGUCUACUUGUUUUGGACGUGAUGCCUAUAGAUAUAAUCAUUGCCAUAGAUGACGUCACGACUUUGUGCGGUUCUAUCAAUUGCUCGACAGUAAUUUGUUCACCCACCGUCUACUNNNNNNNNNNGGGGCCUAUUCACACCUAUCGUUUCCACUUUCGCUUUUACCUUGCUUUUUUACGUUGUUGCUUUCAGUUCUCACUUGGCGAACAAUCUAUAAGGGAUUGACAACNNNNNNNNNNAACGUGUGGAUUAAUAGUAGUAGAUGUAGAAAGUAUCGGUCUACUUGUUUUGGACNNNNNNNNNNNNNNNNNNNNNNNNNNNNNNNNNNNNNNNNNNNNNNNNNNNNNNNNNNNNNNNNNNNNNNNNNNNNNNNNNNNNNNNNNNNNNNNNNNNNCCACUGUGCUGGAAAGUACCGCUCCUGGAGCGGUAGUAAUUUUUUACUAUCGCUCCCGGGCGGUAGUACCGCUCCCUCGGACGUUCUGGUAGCGGUAGUAACGCUCCGGUCGGGCUGUGAGUGGGGGUAACGGCUGGAUUCUUUCCCCCACUAUUUAAAGGAGGUAUUCUUCCACAUUGGACCUUAUCCAUCCGUUGAGCUCAUGUUCUUCCCCCAAUGUUUACCUUCUUAGAGCUUGAUAACUCUCAAUCCCUCCAAUGAUUUUUGCUAGUUCUUCAGGGAAAAGAGAGAGGAGAUCUAGAUCCACAUCUCCACCAAUCACUUUCUCCUCUAUGUGAGGGGAACCCCUUGGAUCUUGAUCUUGGAGUUCUUUGUGAGCUCCUUGUUCUUCCUCUCAUAUUUCUCCAUAGCUUUUGUUGUUGUGGAGGGAUUUGAGUGUGAUGGACUUGACCACUUCGUGUGUUCCUGCCAUUGCAUUAGUUGCAUCGAUUUGAGUUCUCCACGGUGAUACGUGGAAGUGAGAAGUUGAGAAGCUUAUUACCCUUGGUUACUUGGUACCCCUAGAAGCUUGGUGGUGCCUUGGAGCUCAAUCAUUGUGGUGUAAAGCUCCGGGCAAGCAUUGAGGUCUCCAAUUAAGUUGUGGAGAUUUCUCCGAGCAUUUGUGGUCACCUCGAAGCCAUAUGACAUUGUGGUGAAGCUUCGUGGUGUUGUUGGGAGCCUCCAAUCAAGUUGUGGAUAUUUCCCCAACCUUGUUUGUACGGGUUCGGUGACCGCCCUCAAGGGUCCCUUAGUGGAAUCACGACAUCUUGCAUUGUGUGAGGGCGUGAGGAGAUUACGGUGGCCUUAGUGGCGUCUUGGGGAGCAUUGUGCCUCCACACCGCUCCAAACGGAUAUUAGCAUCCGCAAGGGUGUGAACUUCGGGAUACAUCUUCGUCUCCACGUGCCUCGAUUAUCUCAUAUCUGAACCCUUUACUUAUGCACUUUACUUUGUGAUAGCCAUAUUGUUUCUUGUCAUAUAUCUUGCUAUCAAUUAGUUAUUUAUCUUGCUUAACAUAAGUUGUUGGUGCACAUAGGUGAGCCUAGUUGUUUUAGGUUUUGUGCUUGACAAAUUAAAUGUUAGUUUUAUUCUGCAUUUGUUCAAGCCUAAACCGUAAUUAUUUUAAAGCGUCUAUUCACCCCCCCUCUAGGCGACAUCCGCGUCCUUUCAAAUGUGACUAAAAAGUUAGUCACGGGAUCUUGUACUACGGAACGAGUAAAGAGACUUGCCAGUAACGAGAUUGAACUAGGUAUAGAGAUACAGACUAUCGAAUCUCGGGCAACUAACAUACCGAUGGACAAAGGGAACAACAUACAGGAUUAACUGAAUCCUUGACAUAGAGGUUCAACCCAUAAAGAUAUUCGUAGAAUAUGUAGGAGCCAAUAUGGGCAUGCAGGUCCCGCUAUUGCUUAUUGACCGGAGAGUGUCUCAGGUCAUGUCUGCAUAGUUCUCGAACCCGCAGGGUCUGCACACUUAAGGUUCAGUGACGUUUCGGUAUAACUGAGUUAUGGAUGUUGAUGACCGAAGGUUGUUCGGGGUCCUGGAUGAGAUCCCGGACAUCACAAGGAGCUCCGGAAUGUUCGAGAGGUAAAGCUUGAUAUAUAAGAAGUCCUGUUUUGGUCUCUGAAAAAGUUUCGGGCUUAUCGGUAGUGUACUGGGAGUGCCGGGAGGGUACCGAGGGACCACCGGGAUGGGUGUGACGACCCAAAGACUUAAUGGGCUGUGAGAGGAGGCAGACCAGCCCCUGGUGGGCUGGCCGAAGCCUCCCCUAAGGGCCCAUGCGGCUGGAGUGGAGGGAUAAGGCAAAAAGCCAAAAGGUGGAAAGAGUUUCCAAGUUAGGAAGGAGUCCUAAUAGGAUUCCACCUCCCUUGUUUGUUUCGCCCAAACCUGCUUGGAGUAGGGGCCAAGGCUGCCUCCUCUCCCCUUCCUCCUAUAUAUAUUGAGGGAUUUUGAGGGCAACCUCUAACCCUAAUUGCCACGUGCUCCCUCUCCCUCCCUCUCAAUCUGUUUCUCCUCUAGUCUAAUUCGGAAGUGCUUAGGCGAAGCCCUGCUGGAUUAGUUCACCACCACCACCACCACAUCGCCAUGCUGGAGAACUCAUCUACCUCUCUUUCCCUCUUGCUGGAUCAAGAAGGCGGUGAUCGUCAUCGAGUUGUACGUGUGCUGAACGCGGAGGUGUCGUCCGUUCGACGCUCGAUUGAGAGUUCGUGGGACGGAUUGUGAUUGGAUCGCGAAGACGUACCACUACAUCACAUCAACCGCGUUCUUCAACGCUUCCGCAUAGCGAUUUAGAAGGGUAUGUAGAUACAAUCUUUCCUCUCGUAGAUGGUCAUCACCAAGGAUAGAUCUUGUGUGCGCAUAGAAUUUUUUUUGUUUCCCCUUCAACGUUCCCCAACAAGUAAUUGUGCUUUCACAUUGCUAACGUUAUACCUAGAUGGAUCUGUUGUUAGCGUAGUAUGUGCUUGCAUGAUCAAAUAUCAACAUGUCUAUGUUUGUGUUAAUGCCAUGCUAGUGAUUUACUCAUGAAUUAAUUUAAUCGAGAAAUGGCCUAUUUACUCAACACUAUAGUAGUGUCUCCUAUCUUCACAAUUGUAUUCCAUCACUAUGUCUAUGGUCCUAUGUUGUUUCCAAUAUAUCAUCACAUUUUUAUGAUUUAACUUUAGUUCUACAUCAUAUUCUUAUGAAGUCCCGCAUCUACGGGGUAUCAAUUACUACUUCGUCCUAAAUCAACUGCAUGGUACUGUUGUGGGACUUCCUCCUUUCAAAGUCCAAUUCCCUAUGCUGUUUGAUAUUUGCAACGAUACAGAGUGUACGGUGAAUAGGUUAUGCCAGGUUCAUGAUCACUCCUUUUUUAGGAGAAGAUUAACCCCUGAACUUAAAGAUCAAUGGAGGGAGAUGCAUAGGACUAUCUCUCGGAUGGUGCUGACCAGGGACAGUGACAAAAUUACCUGGGGUAUGAAUGGGAAUGGGAAGUUUAGCACUAAGUCCAUGUAUAGGUGGUUAGAGAAACCACUACAUGGGUGUCAUUAUAGAUGGAUUUGGAAGGCAAAAAUGCCUUUGAAAAUUAAGAUUUUUAUGUGGCAGAUGUCUCAAGAUGCGGUGUUGACUAGAGAUGUGAUGAAAAGGAAAAAUUGGCCUGGGAAUCCUUGCUGUUCUUUUUGUCGUUAAAAGGAAACUUCCCAACACCUUUUCUUUACAUGUCCUGUUGCUAGGGGCGUGUGGAGGUCGAUUUGGGUCACCUUGGGGACUGACAGUUGUCCUAAUUCCUACUGGUAAUAUUAUUCUUGGUGCAAUGCUUUUUUACCUGCUGGUGGAAAAUAUUAUACGGUGGGGCUUGCAGCUGUAUGUUGGGCUCUUUGGUUGGCCAGGAACAGAGCUACUUUUGAAAGUAAAUUGAUCAAAACUCUCUUUGAGAUUAUUUUUUCAAUGUGUUCAUUCCUUCUAUAUUGGGCAGGAUUGCAGCAGGAGGGCGACGCAGGAGAGCUACGUUCUGGUGCGGAGUUGGUGAGGACUAAUACCAUGCAGUUGAUGAAGCGCUGCGAGACAGCGAGGCAGGGGAUCGCAGGAGGAUGAACGCGCUGUCCUUUGAUGAUCUGUGGGGGAUAUCCUGCUAGUUGUUAGCUCGUAUAUUUGGUCAAGUUCUAUGCGUGCGAUUUUGCUGUAUUAGAGACUGCUUUUCCCUGCUCUGCUUUGAUUAGUGGCUUUCAGGCUAUGGCAGUCGGUUCGAUGGCGAGCGGCUGUUCCAUAGAUGAGAGCUGGUAGUCUGCGAGAGCAUGUUGGCGUAUCCAGUACUUUUCUCUGUUUUUGUGUUGGCAAAACUUUGUGGUACUGCUGUAUUUCCGUUUGAAGUAAUGGAAAAGGGUGUUAUGCUCGGUUCAAAAAAAAUUUUAUCGGGCCGGGUCGGGUUCAGGCCGAGCUUGGCAAAGCCUGAAGAAAGAUCCCACAUCCAAGCCCGACCCGGCCCGGCCCGAAGCACAUAAACAACAACAUUUUUAAAUUAAAUUAAUCUUAUUCAUUAUAUUAUAUAAAUUAUUAUACCUAUAUUUUAAAUUAAAAACAUUUAUAUGUACAUUUUUAGCUUCAUUCAGGAUUUCGGGCCGGGCUUCACGCAAGAAAGUGGAGCCCGAACCCGGCCCAAAUGUUGGGAUUCGGGUUCGAGCCUUCGGACCGGGUUGUUCAUGGACAGAUCUACUUGGUUCCAUAAUGUAAAACUUUUUUUCCACACUAGGCUCUCUAUCCACACACCUCCUCACCGACUUGGCCUCACAUCCUCGCAGGAACGGACUAUAUAAAGCAAGGAACGUACCGAGCCAGCGGCAUCUAGACCCAGCCCAAACAACCCUCUCCGCUUCCGGCCCGAGGAGAAAAAAAAAACUUUCUUCUUCCGCCGCAAGAAGAAGAGGCCGAGGAAUAAAGCUUUCGUCGAGCGCAGGGAGAAGAAACCCAACCAAACCCCGGGGAUGGCGACGGUGGCGAUGGACAUCUCGAAGCCCCCGCCGGCCGCGUCCGGCGACGAGUCGGCCAAGGGCGCGCGUGGCGGAGGGGAGGGGCUGCGGCAGUACUACCUGCAGCACAUCCACGACCUGCAGCUCCAGAUCCGCCAGAAGACCCACAACCUCAACCGCCUCGAGGCCCAGCGCAACGACCUCAACUCCCGAGGUACCUUACUCGAUUCUCCACCUGGCGCCUCCCCCAAACCCUAGCGAUGGCGCCUUUUUGCGUGAACCAUUGGAUCGCGUCAGUCGAAACCCUAGCUUACUCUGUGCACGUAAUCUUAGCAAAAUGCGGAAUAUUUAGUCUCGUCACUGGGCAAACGGUGAUUGGCUGUGCCGAUAUGUAGAAAUUCUCAAAAGAACCACCUUUUGUUAAUAAUAAUCUAGCUUUGAAGAUGCCCUGUUAUUUUCUAGUUAUUGUGAUUUUGUUUUGAUACAAAAACAUGCAGCGAAUUGCUCAUAUUAUGGGCGUACUCCCUCUCGGCUGACUGCGUUUCAGUUACUAGUGGUACUCCUGUAUUUCUGUGAUAAUCCUGUUGCAUGAACGUUCAUGGUUGCGAGGAACGGAACACUGUUUAUCUUUUGCCCAAAUCUUUCUCUCCAAUAGCUAGAUUCUCCCAAUUGUACCCAUUUAUUUAAUGUUGCUUUUUUUGUUGUGAGAAAUUUGUGUUUUUGUUACUCUAAUGCAUACUCUUGGUACCAAUAGUCCAAAACAUGACUAUUCCUCAAUAAACAAAUUUUCCUAAUUUUAUGCGUUUACUAUUGCUUUUUUGUGAGAAAUUUGCGCUUUUUGCUACUCUAAUGCAUGCAUACUAUUGGUAGUUUGGUACCAAUAAUCCAAAAUAUGACUAUUCUUGAACAACUGGACUGUGCAAUUGAUUAAGCGAUCUUUCUGUUGCCCUAUUUUUUAUGUCCCAUGACGAUGUCUAUCAGCUUAGCAAUAUUGCCUUGUACCAUAAUGAUGCCUAUUAAGGAUUCAAGUUAUUUUUUCCUAUCUUGGUUCAAGGUUUGGCACUUCUUUUUUGCUUGAGCUAAAUUCAUUUAGUGCUUCCCUCUAAAUUGUCUCAUUUUUUAUUUAUUUGCAGUUAGAAUGCUCAGGGAAGAGCUACAGUUGCUCCAAGAGCCUGGCUCUUAUGUUGGUGAGGUGGUGAAGGUCAUGGGCAAAUCAAAGGUUCUAGUCAAGGUAAAUUAUUUCUUCUUUUACACAUUGCCUUCUACUAUUGCACAUUAUCUAUAUGAUAAAGGUACAUAGUGUAAGAUCUCAUCAGUGCUCCUUAUUUUUGGGCUUAUCACUUACUUAAAAAUUUCAAAUGAAUUCAAACACCUCACAUACGCGCUAAGGAAGAGCGAUAUGAUGUGCUGCUUCCUUUGUUUCGUGAGCUAAAAGUGAUCUUUUGGCUGUUAUUGUGCUGGAGAUGUUUUUUAUUGUCUUGGUCAUUGUGCUCUAUUCAUGAUUUUUUGUCGCUCUUUGAGGUUUAUUGGUCUGGCUGUCUGCUCUGAACGGAAGUUGUUAUAGUUUUGCCAUCAAACUGUCACUGACUUUUCAGAUGUAAUUGUUCAGGUGCAUCCAGAAGGCAAAUAUGUAGUAGAUAUUGAUAAGAGCAUCGAUAUUACAAAAAUCACACCUUCGACAAGAGUUGCUCUUCGGAAUGAUAGCUAUAUGCUUCAUUUGGUUCUACCAAGCAAAGUUGAUCCACUGGUCAACCUUAUGAAAGUUGAGAAGGUCCCGGAUUCCACGUAUGAUAUGAUUGGAGGUCUUGAUCAGCAAAUCAAGGAGAUCAAAGAGGUUUGUGUAGAAUUUCAAUGCAUUGUCAAUGCAUCGUAUUUUGCAUCUGACUCAUGAACUCCAUUUGCAGGUCAUUGAGCUUCCUAUCAAACAUCCUGAGUUAUUUGAGAGCCUUGGAAUUGCCCAGCCAAAGGUUUGAUUAUUUAGAAGAAUUGUCUUAAUUAAUUUCGUUCAUUGAUAUACAUAGCAGAAAAUUUUACUCUCUUCUUUUGCAGGGUGUCCUCCUUUAUGGACCACCAGGGACAGGCAAAACAUUACUGGCACGUGCAGUCGCUCAUCACACCGACUGUACCUUCAUCAGGGUAUCUGGUUCCGAGUUGGUUCAGAAGUAUAUUGGUGAGGGCUCCCGGAUGGUUCGUGAACUCUUUGUUAUGGCUAGGUAAGCUUAAAAGCUGUACAGCUAAAAUUAUUUGCCUGUGAUAUGAAAUAGUUCCACGUGCAUCCUCUGUUGAUGUAGGCUAAUUGUUUGGUUAAAUUAUUGCAGGGAGCAUGCACCAUCUAUUAUAUUCAUGGAUGAAAUAGACUCCAUUGGAUCUGCUAGAAUGGAGUCUGGAACUGGCAACGGUGAUAGUGAAGUGCAACGGACCAUGCUUGAGCUGCUAAACCAACUUGAUGGUUUUGAAGCAUCAAACAAAAUUAAGGUAUGCUUUACUUAAUAAUUGUUGUUUCUGAGUAUUAUCUUAAUUAUACAUACGGAGCAACAUUAUCAUGAUGCCUUGUAUGGUCCGUGCAGGUUCUGAUGGCAACAAACCGGAUAGACAUCUUGGAUCAAGCCCUUUUGAGGCCUGGCCGCAUAGACAGGAAGAUUGAAUUUCCAAAUCCUAAUGAGGAUGUAUGUGCUUCAUACUUUAAACCUAUAAAUGCUUGACGAUUCUACAUGAUUUUGUUUGUGCUGACAAUGUGCUUAAUCUUUUGUCCUUCAGUCACGAGGUGACAUCUUGAAGAUUCAUUCAAGGAGGAUGAACUUGAUGCGUGGAAUUGAUCUGAAAAAGAUUGCGGGAAAGAUGAAUGGCGCUUCAGGAGCUGAGCUAAAGGUUGGUUUAGUCUCUACAUAAAUCUCUGAUCAUUACAUGCUAUGCCACGUUUCAGUUCUCAAUCUGGAUCUGUUUGGUGUCUUUCUUAUUAAAUUAGAACGAAAAAAUGUAGUUAAACAAAUUUUAAUCUCUUCCAAAUUGAAUAUUGCACCAUGCACUUGUUGCAUUGAUGGCUGAGAAGCAUGCUCACGUUAUAGUCCUCAUAGUCCUUGUGCAUUUUUGGAACCUGUUCAUGAAUGAUCCCUUUUGAGGGCCGUUCAUAGUUCUUGCACUUGUUAACCUCACAACAGAUUAGGUUCAAUUAUGGUUUGAGGGCCUGAAUGGUUAACAGUAUGUUGUUACCUGUUUGUUGAGUUCGAAUUAGUUUUCUGAAAAAACAAGCAUAAGUAUGACAGCUUUCCGCACUCUUCUGCUUGAAAACAUUACUGUAUGACAUUUUUCGCAUUUCCUUGUGCACGGCUGAUAACACCACCAUAUGCACAACAUCCCUGCCCCUUUCACCUUGCGAUUAUAUGAAGUUGUUCACUCUGGUUUCUGUCUUUGCUCUUUAGGCGGUGUGCACCGAAGCCGGAAUGUUUGCUCUCCGCGAGAGAAGGGUGCACGUAACGCAGGAGGACUUUGAGAUGGCGGUGGCCAAGGUGAUGAAGAAGGACAAUGAGAAGAACAUGUCCUUGCGGAAGCUGUGGAAGUGAGGACCCGAGCUUUCUCCGCCUUGCUGAAGCUGUGAAAGCGUGUAACUGCACGUUGCUGGACUUGUAUUUUUUAACUUGUGUCGUUCCAUGGUUAACAAAGUUUUUAAGAUCCGCAUGUGGUAGCAUAAUUAACUACGUAUAAUGUUUGAUGAUCGAACUAGUUGAAUUAGCUACGCAAUCUGCCUGCCUAUGGUCGUUUCUCUUACCACGCGUAUAGACGUACGAGUUGCAGCCGUGGCUGUGUUGUGAACCUGUUUGUUUAUUUAUUUAUUCCUUCCGUAUGAGUUUGUUAGCAACACCAUUUACGUCUACGGAUGAAGGUUGAUCGAUGGAUCCUGCAGAACUGAGUUUGGGGGGUUGCUGCUGCUUAUGCCCAAUAGUAAAAAAUUCUAAGUGCAAUAAACAGUCAGAGAAGAUUCAAUCCUCAGUUCAGCCAUUCUACCCGAUCUGAGUCUGUUCAAACCAGUCUGAGUCUCGGGGCCUACCCGAUCACCGAUUCUAAACGAUAGGCUAUAACAUGAGGAUAUCCAAUCAUCAUGUUGGCCAUUCUGCCUGACCGAGUCUUUUUUUUUGAAUGUUGGUAGGAGAUCUACCGAAUCAAUUGAUAGCAAGGAGGCAAAACAGUACAAGGGUAUGCCGAGGAAGAGCCGGCAAACGCACCGAAGAAAAAGGUGCUAAAAGAAAAAAGGGAGAAAAUAAAACAAGGAAAGGCAAAAAUGUCAGGACUUCAGCUUGGGUCAAACGGAAUCCCUGCUCCUGUCAAUGUUCCAAACUUUAACUUUAUCCCUAAUUUUUUUCUCACCAAUGUUUCAGUGUCCAUCCUUUUAUCAUCGAAUAGCCGUUUAUUCCGCCCGCAUCAGAUCUCUCAGGAUAUUAAAUGCAGGAGAGACCGAGUUCCUUUCCUUCGUGUUAUCGGUGCAUUUUGCCAACAGAUUGUGCAUCCAUCCUUUGAUGUUGUGCAGUCCCAUCCAUGAGAUUGGUCGCAACGACAGUAAGUCAGCCGAGGUUGCGAUUGCAUCCCACGUUUCUCGGGCCCAAGGGCACUUCACGAGAAGGUGGAAAGCGGUCUCGAGAUUUCUUUAACACAAAGGACAGGAAUAGUUGUUCUUCCAUCCAGGCCGCAGCAACAAAUCUGCCGUUAGUAUUUUCCCAAUGCGGCUGUCCAUAAAAAGAAUUUGCACUGCCCGACGUCCAACCCGUCCAGAUAUGCUUUGCACCUUCCAUGGGUGUCGAGCCGGUGAAUUGCAGCAGGUGGGCGGAUUUUGCACUAUAGCUUGCAUCGGAGUUGAAACGCCAUUCAACAGUGUCUGGCCGAUCGGGGAUGAGGUUGAUCCGUUUGAGAUGUGUCGCCAGCCAGGCCAACUGAGGUACGAUCGUUUUCGUCAGCCCAUGCGCCAAGUCCGUCAGCCAUUUUUCAUCAGUCAACACGUCUUUAACCGUGCGGUUUUUUCUGAUUGAGAUCUUGUAAGGGUCCGGCACCAUUGUGUUUGGACACAUUCCUUACAGUCAUCUUUCGUGCUAGAACCGCACGGUGCAGCCAUCUUGUAUCGUGAUAGUCGUGGCCAUCGCAAAAAGGACACGAUCCGAGGCAUCACAAGGCAGUUCUAGGCCAACCCAUGGUCUCGUCUGGUCCUUCCAGGCCAUCCAUAGCCAUCUAACCCGAAGGGCCCUGCCGAAUUUUUCUAGGUCCAUAACCCCGCGGCAUACUCGCGGCCGACACAGUCAUACUCGCGGCGAUCCGAUCCAAGCACCGAACGAACGGUGCCUCCGCGUUCAACACACCUACAGCCCGGGGACGUCUCCUCCUUCUUGAUCCAGCAAGGGUGAAGGCGAUGUUGAGGGAGAGCUCCGGCAACACGACCUCGUGGUGGCGGUGGAGCUUGUGGUUCUCUGGCAGGGCUUCGCCAAGCAGCGCGGAGGAGGAGAAUUGGAGAGGUAGGGCUGCGCCAAGGGGAGACGUUCGGUGGUGUGCGCAGCCCUCCCAAACCCCCACUAUUUAUAGGAGGGAGGGGAGAGGGGGCCGGCCACCCUAGGAAACCCUAGUAGGGGCGGCGGAAGCCCUAGGAGGGGGGGGGCUAGGGGUGGCUUGUCUCCCAAGUCGGAGGGAGGCAGCCCCACGCCCCAGGGUUUUUCCCUAGGCGUCUUGGGAUCCACUUGGUGGCUCCCACCAGCACACUAGGGGAUGAUUCCCUUCCACUUCCGGCCCAUGUGGCCCUCCAGGACAGGUGUACCCUCCCGAUGGACCCCCGCUACCCUUUCGGUGAUCCCGGUACAAUACAGACAAACCCCGAAACCUUUCCGGUGACCAAAACUGGACUUCCCAUAUAUAAAUCUUCACCUCCGGACUAUUCUGAAAAUCCUCGUGACGUUCGGGAUCUCAUCUGGGACUCGGAACAACCUUCGGUAACCACACAUACAAUUCCCAGUACAACUCUAGCAUCACCGAACCUUAAGUGUGUAGACCCUACGGGUUCGGGAACCAUGCAGACAUGACCAAGACACCUCUCCGGCCAAUAACCAACAAUGGGAUCUGGAUACCCAUGUUGGCUCCCACAUGUUCCACGAAGAUCUCAUCAGAUGAACCACGAUGUUAGUGAUUCACCCAAUCCCGUAUGCAAUUUCCUUUGUCUACCGGUAUGAUACUUGCCCGAGAUUCGAUCGUCGGUAUCCCUAUACCUUGUUCAAUCUCGUUACCGGCAAGUCUCUUUACUCGUUCGAUAAAACAUGAUCCUGUGGCUAACUCCUUAGUCACAUUGAGCUCAUUAUUAUGAUGUAUUACCGAGUGGGCCCAGAGAUACCUCUCCGUCACACGGAGUGACAAAUCCCAGUCUUGAUUCGUACCAACCCAACAGGCACUUUCGAAGAUACCUAUAGUGCACCUUUAUAAUCAUCCAGUUAUGUUGUGCGUUUGAUACACCCAAAGCAUUCCUACGGUAUCCGGGAGUUGCACAAUCUCAUGGUCUAAGGAAAUGAUACUUGACAUUAUGAAAGCUCUAGCAGAUGAACUACACGAUCUUGUGCUAUGCUUAGGAUUGGGUCUUAUCCAUCACAUCAUUCUCCUAAUGAUGUGAUCCCGUUAUCAACGACAUCCAAUGUCCAUGGUGCGACACCUUCAAUUUGAUCAUACACUAAUCAUACAUGCAAAUGCGUACGACCAAGCUCAAGGACUCACGGGAAGAUAUUUCAACACAACUCUAGACAGAAAUAAAACAUACAAGAUUCAUAAUUACAAGCCAGGGGCCUCGAGGGCUAGAAUACAGAAGCUCGAUAAACACACGAGUCAGCAGAAGCAACAAAUAUCUGAGUACAAACAUGAAACAUGAUAAUGCCUUAGAGAAGGCUAGCACAAAAGAUACAUUCAUCAAACGCAGCGAGGCCUCCUUCCUGGGAACUUCCUAAACUACUCCUGGUCUUCAGCGGCGUGCACAUAGCGGUCGACACAGUUGCGGCAGCAGUCGUCAUCGACGGGGAACGCCAUCUCCUGGGCUCCAUCAUCUGGUCACAGGAACAAAUCGAGGAAAAAAGGGGAGCAAAGCAACGGUGCGUACUCCUCCAAAGUACUCGCAAGACUCACAUCAGAACUAUGCUAAGUAUGCAUCACUAUCAAAGGAAGGGGGUUAUAUGUGGACUGACUGCAGCAAUACGAGAAUAGAGGGAGAAGGCCUAGUCCUAUGGAAGACUAGCAUCUUCAGGGGUCUUGCAGCAAUAGACGAGAGUAGGACAGGUAAAACAAUUAAUAGUCAUAUUGUUGUAGCAAUAUUAAUUAAAGUCACGCCCAAAGAAUCUCCCUCGACUCCCUCCGAGGAAGCAAUCCCGGAGCAAACAUUCCAGUUAAGUAACAAUUGUAGUUGUAUAAGAUAGGGAUACAACUCCAAGUCGUCCUGUAACCGUGGACACGACUAUUCAAAUAAAUAAGUUCUUCCCUGCAGGGGUGCACCACAUAUUCCCCGUCACGCUUGAUAAACUCUGUCCGGACACACUUUCCUGGGUCAUGCCCGACCUCGGAACAUCGACACGUCGCAGCCCCACCUAGACUCAACACAGAGGCCAACCCGCUGGUCUAAAUCCUAAGCACCCAGGGGUCAUGGGCCCAUCUCCCUUUUCACUCCUACACGAUGCGACGGCGUCCGAUGUCAGUCCUAGCACCCCUUAUUACAAGUGCGAUGCCUAUCCAGACCACUCGGGCGCACGCCACUCGAUUGUUGACGUCUGAACAGAUUCAGCUGAUACCACGUUGUCGAGAACCCAUAACUCCUCCCACGUAGAUGGUUCGUGCGAAUAAGGUCUAUGACCAACCUAGAUCAAAUACCCAAAUCCAUUAACAUUUUACUUAACUUAUCGACACAUCCAUGCGGGAAUCCACCUCGUUGGGUUCCGAGGUAUCACCCUCGUUGGAUUCCGAACGAUGUAACCGUCAAGGUGGCCAGGGAGUAAUCACCCUCGAUGGGCCACACUUCAUGGGUUGUACGACAGAGUCGUUAUCAAAAGUGGUGAACGAGGAAUCACCCUCCGAGAACCACCGCCGGUCAACUACACUACAACGCUAACAUCGGAGUACGCAAUGAGGUGUCACCCUUGGUACUCGAUAGUAGCUCUGCAACAUCGUACAACUAAGGGGGGGGGUGUGAGUGCUGUGUCGGGUCUUGGCUCGUCGAUCAGUUGAUUGAGACUUGAGAUAAAGCGGGGGCAACUAGACUAAGGGUCAGAGGGGAUGACUGCUCCACCUAUACUAAACAGUUAGAUUGUGGUACAGUAAAGUAGCAGUUCAACAAAAACAGGCUAUGCAUCAGAAUAGGGUCUAUCUACAGCAGUAGCAAAAUUCUAAUGCAAGCAUGAGGCAGAAAGAAAUAUGCGAUAUAGGAAUGAUCAAGGGGGUUUGCUUGCCUUGUUACUCUGCGGCAAAGGGCUGGUCGUCAGAGGCGUAGUUGUACCCGACAGCAGUGUUAGUCUCGGGGUCUACCGGUAAGAAGAGGGGGGAAGAAACAAUAAAUAACAACAACAGGUGCAACACUAUGCAUGACAUGGCAAUAUGGAGGGCUAGGCAUGCACUAACGCAGUAUCAUUCGUCAUAGACGGAUCGGGAAAAUAUCAGAUGAUAUUUUCCGGGUCUGUGGCUACUACCGUUCAAGCGAAACAAAUGGAAAAGUUCCAUGUUCUCUAUGCUAGGGACGCGUGACAGACUAAUGGAUAGCGUAUCCGGGUUCGUCUCGUUUUUCUAAUCAACUUUCAUGUAUAAAACUUUUUCAUGUGACUUACAGUUUAUUUUCUAUUAAUAUUCGAAGUUUUAAAGAUUUUCCAAAAUUUCCUGUGAUUAUUAUUAUUUCAAAAAUAAAACAAAACAAAAGUAAGUGCUAUGUGCACCUGGUCUAGUGCACCCAAAAGGGGUAACAAGGGCUGACAAGGGGGGCCCAGUUGACUGGUCAACCAGCCAGUCAACACAGACUGACAGGUGGGACCCCCCGCUGAGUUAGCAGCUGAAUGGGCCGUCCUAUCCACAAAAUAGUGGUAUGGCCCCACCUGUGAGAGAUUGUAACUAAAUUAGGUUUGUUUUUAAAUCCUGGUUUAAUUAACGAAGUGGGGCCAAGUCGUCAGUGAGUACUACUGUUUGACUAAUCACUGAUUUAAUCUAACCUAAUUACCUGAUUGGUUGGACCCACGGGUUAGUGACCCAGCGUGCGGUGGCCGAUGUUCAUCCGCGCGGUGGCGUGCCGGAGUUGCUCCAGCGAGCACCACAGAUGGCGGGAUGGCUCUAAGUCGCAGCUCCGGCCACCAUUUAGUGUGCUACGACCAGCCACGAGCAGCUAGUGCAGCCGCCAAUCCAUCCCGAGCAUCAUAGGAAGCUGGGGUGAUCGGUAGUGACAUCGGCGACGAAGGGAGACGGCGGCCAGUUCGAACGAGCGGCGGAACAGCAACACCAGCGCGCGGGCGAGCUACCUAAGGGGCGGGAUUGAUGCCGGGGACGCUCUCGAGCACGCCCGCAGCACGCACGAAUGCUCAAGAGGUCGCGCGGCUUGCGCGUGACGGCACUGAUGGUCGGCAAAGCUCGGCAAUGACGACAGCUAGUUAGGGAGGGCUACGUGGGCGCACAGAGAGGGAGGAGCGGUGAGAGGAGCUCACCGGUGUUGAAGGGAAGGCCCGAUGAAGCCGGAGUCGACGAAGAGGAACGAAUUCGACGGCGGCGUGUUACUGGUCUGGUGAGAAAGAAGGUCGCAGGCGGCGGCGUGGGUGCUCCCGGGGCUCGAUCCAGUGCUCCACGGGGUAGACAAAGACGAGGCGGAUCUCCACGGCUUGACGACGUGGAGGGUGGCGGACAGUGGCCGCGGCAUCGGCACGGCGCGGCGACGACGGUGGCGGAUAAGAACGUGUGGAGGACCGGGGUUGCAAGGGGGAAAGAGUGGAGGGGCCCUAGGGUUCGCCAAGGGACCGAGGGGCGUCGCCGGCGUAUUUAUGUCACUGGGGAGCCGCCGGGAGGCCGACAUGUGGCCAUCUGCGGCAAUGUACGUGCCUCGGCUGGCCACCGAGCGGGUGAACACGGGAGGAGGAAGGGGAAGGCCUGGCCGGGCCAGCUGGGUCGGCUGGUGUGUGUGUGUGGGGGGGGGGGGGCUAGNNNNNNNNNNNNNNNNNNNNNNNNNNNNNNNNNNNNNNNNNNNNNNNNNNNNNNNNNNNNNNNNNNNNNNNNNNNNNNNNNNNNNNNNNNNNNNNNNNNNNNNNNNNNNNNNNNNNNNNNNNNNNNNNNNNNNNNNNGGGGGGGGGGGGCUAGGCCCGAAAGGAGGGGGGGACACAGGCUUUUUCCCUUUUUCUUUUAGUUUUUUUAUUAGUUUGUGUUUUGUUUCUAUUUUCAAAAGUAAUUGAGUUUUAUUAAAUAUAAAACUAGCAUCUAAAUUAGUCACAUAUAUCAAGCUACUCCCACAAUAAGUUUGACACUUAACUAAAAUAGUUUAUAAAUUUUAUUGUUUUAAAAGGAAUUAAAUUGUUAUUUUGGCCACUGUUAUUUCUAUUUUUAGGCAUCAAAACAUUUUAUAAAAUAUGGAUUACAAUUUUAUAUUUCCUUAUGGAAUAUUUACAACCCAUCCAUGACUUUAGUUUUCAAGUUUGACAAAAUAUUAAUUCUACUUAUUAAAUGAAUUUUGAAAUUCAUUAGGAAUUUUGAAAAGAGAAUUGGUUCCAAGAUUGAUCAUGCACUGUGUAACAACAUGAUUAGUUUAUUCAUGCUGAUCAAUGUAGCUUGAUUACACGGGUUAGUGUAGCAUGACACUUUUGGAAAUAUGCCCUAGNNNNNNNNNNNNNNNNNNNNNNNNNNNNNNNNNNNNNNNNNNNNNNNNNNNNNNNNNNNNNNNNNNNNNNNNNNNNNNNNNNNNNNNNNNNNNNNNNNNNNNNNNNNNNNNNNNNNNNNNNNNNNNNNUAUGCCCUAGAGGCAAUAAUAAAGUGGUUAUUAUUAUAUUUCCUAGUUCAUGAUAAUUGUCUAUUACUCAUGCUAUUGUAUUAACCGGAAAUCGUAAUACAUGUGUGAAUAUAUAGAUCACAAUGUGUCCCUAGUGAGCCUCUAGUUGGCUAGCUCGUUGAUCAAUAGAUGAUCAUGGUUUCUUGAUCAUGGACAUUGGAUGUCAUUGAUAACGGGAUCACAUCAUUGGGGAAUGAUGUGAUGGACAAGACCCAAUCCUAAGCNNNNNNNNNNNNNNNNNNNNNNNNNNNNNNNNNNNNNNNNNNNNNNNNNNNNNNNNNNNNNNNNNNNNNNNNNNNNNNNNNNNNNNNNNNNNNNNNNNNNNNNNNNNNNNNNNNNNNNNAAGACCCAAUCCUAAGCAUAACACUAGAUCGUAUUGUUCAUAUGCUAAAGCUUUUUCUAAUGUUAAAUAUAAUUUCCUUAGACCAUAAGAUUGUGCAACUCCCGGAUACCGUAGGAGUGCUUUGGGUGUAUCAAAUGUCACAACGUAACUGAGUGAUUAUAAAGGUGCACUAGAGGUAUCUCCGAAAGUGUUUGUUGGGUUGUACGAAUCGAGACUGGGAUUUGUCACUCCGUGUGACGGAGAGGUAUCUCUGGGCCCACUCGGUAAUCCAUCAUCAUAAUGAGAUCAAUGAGACUAAGGGGUUAGCCACGGGAUGAUGUGCUAAGGAAUGAGUAAAGAGACUUGCCGGUAACAAAAUUGAACAAGGUAUAGGGAUACCGACGAUUGAAUCUCGGGCAAGUACCAUACCGGUAGACGAAGGGAAUUGCAUACGGGAGUGAUUGAAUCCUUGACAUCGUGGAACAUGUGGGAACCAACAUGGAUAUCCAGACCCCGCUGUUGGUUAUUGAUUGGAGAGGUGUCUCGGUCAUGUGUCCAUGCUUCCCGAACCCGUAGGGUCUACACACUUAAGGUUCGAUGACGCUAGGGUUAUAUGGGAAUAGUGUACGUGGUUACAGAAGGUUGUUCAGAUUCCCAGAUGAGAUCCCGGAUGUCAAGAGGAGUUCCGGAAUGGUCUGGAGGUAAAGAUUCAUAUAUAGGAAGUGAGGAUUUGAUCGCCGGAAGUGUUUCGGGCGUGACAUGUAAUGUACGGGGACCACCGGAAGGGUUCCGGGGGUCCAUCGGGAAGGGCCACCAGCCCCAAUCUGCGACAUGGGCCAAAAGUGGAUGGGAACCAGCCCCUAGUUGGGACGGUGCGCCACUACUAAAGGCCCAAGGCGCAACAAGGGGUGGAGGGGGCCAAACCCUAGGCGCGGAGGGGCUGCCUUGGGCCACAAGGCCCACCCUAGAGCGCCUCCACCCUUGGCCGCCGCCUCCACACCCAUCUAGUGCUGCCGCACCCCUUAGGGUGGAAACCCUAAGGGUGGGCACCCUCCUCCCUCUCCUCAUAUAUAUAGUGGAGGGUUUGGGGCUGUUUUGAGACACAAUCUCUCUCUCUCGGCGCAGCCCUACUCUUCGUCCUCCUCUUCCUCCGUAGUGCUUGGCGAAGCCCUGUCGGAGUACCACACAGCUCUACCAUCACCACGUCGUCGUGCUACUGGAGCUCUCCCUCAACCUCUCCCCCCUCCUUGCUGGAUCAAGGCGUUGGAGACGUCAUCGGGCUGCACGUGUGUUGAACGCGGAGGCACCGUUGUUCCGUGCAUAGAUCGGAAUCCACCACGAUCUGAAUCGCUGUGAGUACGACUCCAUCAACUGCGUUCUAGCAACACUUCCGCUUAGCGAUCUUCAAAGGUAUGAAGAUUCUCUACCCCUUUUCUUGUUGCUGGUUUAUCCAAGAUAGAUCCUUAGUAUGGCGUUGGAAAAUUUUGAAAUUAUUACGUUCCCCAACAGUGACAUUUGAGCCAGGUUCUUUGCGUAGAUUCUAUGCACGAGUAGAACACAAAAGUUGUGGGCGAUGAUUUGUCAAUUGCUUGCCGUUACUAGUCUUAUCUUGAUUUGGCGGCAUCAUGGGAUGAAACGGCCCGGACCGACUUUACACGUAGUCUUACGUGAGAUUGGUUCCACCGACCGACAUGCACUUGUUGCAUAAGGUGGCUAGCGGGUGUCUGUCUCUCCCACUUUAGUCGGAUCAUAUUCUAUGAAGAGGGCCCUUAGGAAGGGUAAAUAGCAUUGGCAUAUCAACGUUGUGGCUGUCACGUAGGUAAGAAGCAUUCUUGCUAGAAACCCUAAUCAGCCACGUAAAACCUGCAACAACAAUUAGAGGACGUCUAACUUGUUUUUGCAGGGUAUGCUAUGUGAUGUGAUAUGGCCAAAAGGAUGUGAUGUUACAUAUGUGAUGUACGAGAUUGAUCAUGUUCUUGUAAUAGGAUUAACGACUUGGAUGUCCAUGAGUAUGACAACCGAAACGAGCCAUAGGAGCUGUCUUAAUUUAUUGUAUGAGAUGCAACGCCAUGUUGAUUACUUUACUUUAUUGCUAACCGUUAGCUAUAGUAGUAGAAGUAAUAGUUGGCGAGACGACUUCUCAAAGACACAAUGAUGGAUAUCAUGAUGAUGGAGAUCGUGGUGUCAUGCCGGUGACAAUGAUGAUCAUGGUGCCCCGAAGAUGGAGAUCAAAGGAGCAAGAUGAUAUUGGACAUAUCAUGUCACUAUAUGAUUGCAUGUGAUGUUUAUCAUGUUUUUCAAAUUAUUGCUUAGAACGACUGCAACAAAGAUAAGAUGAUCCCUCAUUAAAAUUUCGAGAUAAAUAUUCCCCUAAGUGUGCACCAUUGCGAAUGAUCGUUAUCUCGAAGCACCACGUGAUGAUCGGGUGUGAUAGAUUCUAACGUUCGCAUACAAUGGGUGUAAGCCAGUUUACACACGCAAAACACUUAGGUUGACUCGACGAUCCUAGCAUGUACAGACAUGGCCUCGAAUACGGAAGACCGAAAGAUCGAACAUGAGUCGUAUGGUCGAUACGAUCAGCAUGGAGAUGCCCACCAUUGAUGACUAGUCCGUCUCACAUGAUGAUCGGGCACGGGCUAGUCGACGUGGAUCAUGUAACACUUGGAUGACUAGAGGGAUGUCGAUCUAAGUGGGAGUUCAUUAGUAAUUUGAUUAGAUGAACUUAAUUAUCAUGAACUUAGUCUAAAAUUGUCUUUGCAAAUAUUGUAGAUCCAAUGGCCAACGCAAAUGUUUCAUUCUAAUUCAACGCGUUCCUAGAGAAAACCAAGCUGCAAGACAAUGGGAGCAACUAUGCGGAUUGGGCUCGUAACUUAAAGCUCAUCCUCACUUCUUGCAAGAAGGCAUAUGUCCUUAAUGCACCGCUAGGUGAUCCUCCCGUUCCCGCGGCAACCUAGGACGUUAGGAACGCCUGGCAGUCGCGGAGUGAUAACUAUUCUCUAGUUCAGUGCGACAUGCUUUAUAGUUUAGAACCGGGGCUCCAAAGUCGUUUUGAGGAACACAGAGCAUAUGAGAUGUUCGAGGAGCUGAAACUUGUUUUUAAAGAUCAUGCCCGGGUCGAGAGAUAUGAAGUCUCCGACAAGUUCUAUAGCUUUAAGAUGGAGGAGAAUAGUUCUGUCAGUGAGCACAUACUCAGAAUGUGUGGGUUGCACAACCGCUUGACUCAGCUGGGAGUUGAACUUUCGGAUGAUACGGUCAUUGACAGAAUCCUCCAGUAGCUUCCACCUAGCUAUAAAGGCUUUGUGAUGAACUACAACAUGCAAGGGAUGGAAAAAACCAUUCCGGAGUUGUAUUCAAUGCUGAAAUCUGCGGAGGUAGAAAUCAAGAAAGAGCAUCAAGUGUUGAUGGUGAAUAUGACCACCAGUUUCAAGAAAGGCAAAGGUAAAAAGAACUUCAAGAAAGACGGCAGUUGCCGUGCCUGGUAAGCCAGUUGCCGGGAAGAAGAAAAAGAAAGGACCAAAGCCUGAGACUGAGUGCUAUUACUGCAAGGGAACCGGUCACUUGAAGUGGAAUUGCCCUAAGUACUUAGCGGAUAAGAAGGCUGACAACGUCAAAGGUGUAUGUGAUAUACUUGUUAUUGAUGUGUAGCUUACCAACACUCGUCGUAGCUCCUGGGUAUUUGAUACCGGUGUUGUUUCUCACAUUGGCAACUUUAAGCAGGAACUGCGGAACAAGCGUAGGCUGGCUAAGGACAAGGUGACGAUGCGCGUCGGGAAUGGUUCCAAGCUCGAUGUGAUCGUCGUCGGCAUGCUACCUCUACAUCUACCUUCGGGAUUAGUUUUAAACCUCAAUAAUUGUUACUUAAUACCAGCGUUGAGCAUGAACAUUAAAUCAGGGUCUCGCUUGAUGCAAGAUGGCUACUCAUUUAAAUCUAAGAAUAAUGGUUGUUCUAUUUAUAUGAGUAGUAUGUUUUAUGGUCAUGCCCCGCUGGUCAAUGGUUUAUUCCUGAUGAAUCUUGAUCAUGAUGUUACACAUAUUCAUAGUUGAGUACCAAAAGAUGUAAAGUUGAUAAUGAUAGUACCACAUACUUGUGGCACUGCCGCCUUGGUCAUAUCGGUGUUAAGUGCAUGAGAAACGCCAUACAGAUAGACUUUUGGAGUCUCUUGAUUUUGAAUCAUUUGACACAUGCGAACCAUGCCUCAUGGGCAAGAUGACCAAGACUCAGUUCUCCGGAACAAUUGAGCGAGCAAUCAACUUAUUGGAAAUAAUACAUACCGAUGUAUGCGGUCCAAUGAGCGUUGAGGCUCGCGGUGGCUAUCGUUAUGUUCUCACCCUCGCUGGUGAUUUAAGUAGAUAUGGGAAUGUCUACUUAAUGAAGCACAAGUCUGAAACCUUUGAAAGGUUCAAGGAAUUUCAGCAUGAGGUGGAGAAUCAACGUGACAAGAAAAUAAAGUUUCUACAAUCUGAUCAUGGAGGAGAAUAUUUGAGUCACGAUUUUGGCAAGCACCUAAGGAAAUGUGGAAUUGUCUCACAACUCACGGUGCCUGGCACACCGCAGCGUAACGGUGUGUCUGAACAUUGUAAUCGCACUCUAUUGGACACGGUACGAUCUAUGAUGUCACUUACUGAUUUACCGCUGUCAUUUUGGAGAUAUGCAUUUGAAACUGCCGCAUUCACUUUAAAUAGGGCACCGUCUAAAUCCGUGGAGACGACAUCGUUUGAAUUAUGGUUUGGCAAGAAACCUAAGCUGUUGUUUCUGAAAGUUUGGGGCUGCGAUGCUUAUGUGAAGAAACUUCAAUCUGACAAGCUCGAAACCAAAACGGGAAAAUGCGUCUUCAUAGGAUACCCUAAGGAAACUAUUGGGUAUACCUUCUAUCUUAGAUCCGAAGGCCAAAUCUUUGUUGCGAGGAACGGAUCCUUUCUAGAGAAAGAGUUUCUCUCGAAAGAAGUAAGUGGGAGGAAAGUAGAACUUGAUGAGGUAAUUGUACCUCCUCUCGAACCGGAGAGUAGCUCAGCACAAGAAAAUGUUUCUGAGGUGCCUGCACCGGCUCGAGAAGAAGUUAAUGAUAAACUCAAGAUCAAGUUGCUACUCGACCUCGAAGGUCCACAAUGACAUGUUCCGCACCACAGGGGUACGACAACCCUAUCAUGGAAAUCAUGUUGUUGGACAACAGUGAACCUUUGAACUAUGAAGAAACGACAGCGGGCCCGGAUUCCAAAAAAUGGCUUGAGGCCAUGAAAUCCGAGAUAGGAUCCAUGUAUGAGAACAAAGUAUGGACUUUGGUGGACUUGCCCGAUGAUCGGCGAGCCAUAGAAAAUAAACGGAUCUUCAAGAAGAAGACUAACGCAAAUGGUAAUGUGACCAUCUAUAAGGCUCGACUUGUCGACUACGAUGAUACCUUCUCACCCGUAGCAAUGACAAAGUCGGUCCGAAUCAUGUUAGCAAUUGCCGCAUUUUACGAUUAUGAAAUCUGGCAAUGGACGUGAAAACGGCAUUCCCGAAUGACUUUCUUAAGGAAGAAUUGUAUAUGAUACAACCGGAAGGUUUUGUCGAUCCUAGCAAUGCUAACAAGGUAUGCAAGCUCCAGCGCUCCAUCUAUGGGAUGUUGCAAGUAUCUCGGAGUUGGAACAUUCGCUUUGAUGAGGUGAUCAAAGUGUUUGGGUUUGUACAUACUUAUGGAGAAGCCUGUAUUUACAAGAAAGUGAGUGGGAGCUGUCUGGAUGACAUAUUGUUGAUGGGAAAUGAUAUAGAAUUGUUGGAAAGCCUAAAGGCCUAUUUGAAUAAGAGUUUUUCAAUGAAGGGCCUUGGAGAAGCUCCUUACAUAUUAGGCAUCAAGAUCUAUAGAGAUAGAUCGAGACGCCUCAUAGGUCUUUCACAAAGCACAUUGCUACCUCUUGAGCUUUCGUUGGUUUUUCCCUUGAAGAGGAAAGGGUGAUGCAACACAGUAGCAGUAAGUAUUUCCCUCAGUUUGAGAACCAAGGUAUCAAUCCAGUAAGAGUAUCAAGAUGAGGCACCAAUGUACCUGCGCAAAAACAAACAAACUUGCACCCAACGCUAUAAAGGGGUUGUCAAUCCCUUCACGAUUAUUUGCAAGGUGAGAUCUGAAGGUGGAAAGUGCGACAAAGUAAAAGUGUAGAUCUGAAAAUAUGAUGUGAAGUAGACUCGGGGGGCCAUAGUGUUCACUAGAGGCUUCUCUCAUGAUAAAAAAUAUUACGGUGGGUGAACGAAUUACUGUCGAGCAAUUGAUAGAAUCGCGCAAAGUCAUGAUGACAUCUAAGGCAAUGAUCAUACAUAUAUGCAUCACGUCCGAGACAAGUAGACCGAUACUGUCUGCAUAUACUACUAUUACUCCACACAUCGACCGCUAUCCAUCAUGCAUCUAGUGUAUUGAGUUCAUAACAAACAGAGUAACGCUUUAAGCAAGAUGACAUGAUGUAGAGGGAUAAAUUCAUGCAAUAGAUAUAAACCCCAUCCUUUUACCCUUGAUGGCAACAACACGAUGCGUGCCUCGCUACCCCUUCUGUCACUAGGCGAGGACACCGCACGGUAUAAACCCAAAACCAAGCACUUCUCCCAUUGCAAGAAUUAUAGAUCAUGUUGGCCAAACAAAACCCACAACUCGAAGAGAAUUACAAGGAUAAGAAAUCAUGCAUAUAAGAGAUCAGAGGAAACUCAAAUAAUAUUCAUAGAUAAUCUGAUCAUAAAUCUACAAUUCAUCGGAUCUUGAGAAACACACCGCAAAAGAAGGUUACAUCGGAUAGAUCUCCAUGAAGAUCAUGGAGAACUUUGUAUUGAAGAUCCAAAAGAGAGAGAAGAAGCCAUCUAACUACUAGCCAUGGACCCGAAGGUCUGUGGUGAACUACUCACGCAUCAUCAGAGAGGCAAUGAUGUUGAUGAAGAUGUUCUCCAUGUCCGAAUCGCCCCUCCGACAGGGCACCAGAAUGGUCCCCAGAUGGGAUCUUGCGGAGACAGAAGCUUGCGGCGGCGGAAAAGUAUUUUCAUGGCUCCCUCUGGUGGUUUUGGAUUUUUAGAGAAUUUAUAGGCGGAAGAAGUUGGGCAAAGGAGCCACGGGCGGCCCACAAGCCUACUAGGCGCGACCCCCAGGCCGCGGCUAGGGGGCUUGUGACCUCCCCCGGGGUCCUUUGCCUUGGUUCUCAAGUUCCCUGCGUAUCUUCUAUUAUGGAAAAAAUCAUUCCGCAGGUUUUAUUCCAUCUCGACUCCGUUUAAUAUUCUUCUAUGAAAAAGGUAAAAACACGGAAAAAACAGAAACUGGCACUUGGCACUGAGUUAAUAGGUUAGUCCCAAAAAAGAUAUAAAAUAGCAUAUUCAUGCAUACAAAACAUCCAAAGUUGACAAGAUAAUAGCAUGGAACCAUCAAAAAUUAUAGAUACGUUGGAGACGUAUCAAGCAUCCCCAAGCUUAACUCCUACUCGUCCUCGAGUAGGGAAGUGAUAAAGACUGAAUUUUUGAUGUGGAAUGCUACCUAACAUAUUUGUCCUUUGUAACUUCUUUCUUGUGGCAUGAAUGUUCAGAUCCGUAAGAUUCAAAACAAUAGUUUACUAUUGACAUGAAAACAAUAAUACUUCAAGCAUACUAGCAAUGUGAUCAUGAAAUUUUGAAAUAACAAGGCCGAAGAAAGUGAUCCCUAUAAAAUCAUAUAGUCUGGCUAUGCUCCAUCAUUCCCACACAACGAAUUUAAAUCAUGCACAACCCCGGUAUUGGCCAAGUAAUUGUUUUUGCACUCUUACUUUUUCAAACUUUUCCAACUCUCACGCAAUACAUGAGCGUGAGCCAUGGAUAUAGCACUAUAGGUGGAAUAGAGUGUGGUGGAGGUUGUGAGGCAAAAAGGAGGAGAUGGUGACAUCGACUCGGCGUAUCAACGGGCUAUGGUGUUGGGGAACGUCGCAUGGGAAACAAAAAUUUUCCUACGCGCACGAAGACCUAUCAUGGUGAUGUCCAUCUACGAGAGGGGAUGAGUGAUCUACGUACCCUUGUAGAUCGUACAGCAGAAGCGAUUAGAGAUCGCGGUUGAUGUAGUGGAACGUCCUCAUGUCCCUCGAUCCGCCCCGCGAACAAUCCCGCGAUCAGUCCCACGAUCUAGUACCGAACGGACGGCACCUCCGCGUUCAGCACACGUACAGCUCGACGAUGAUCUCGGUCUUCUUGAUCCAGCAAGAGAGACGGAGAGGUAGAAGAGUUCUCCGGCAGCGUGACGGCACUCCGGAGGUUGGUGAUGAUCUUGUCUCAGCACGGCUCCGCCCGAGCUCCGCAGAAACACGAUCUAGAGGAAAAACUAUGGAGGUAUGUGGUCGGGCAGCCGUGAGAAAGUCGUCUCAAAUCUGCCCUAAAAGCCCCAUAUAUAUAGGAGGAGGGAGGGGAACCUUGCCUUGGGGUCCAAGGGAACCCCAAGGGGUCGGCCGAGCCAGGGGGGAGGACUCUCCCCCCCAAACCGAGUCCUACUUGGUUUGGUGGGAGGGAGUCCUUCCCCCUUCCCACUUCUUCCUUUUUUUUUUCUUCCUUUGAUUUUUCUUCCUUGGCGCAUAGGAUUUGGUGGGCUGUCCCACCAGCCCACUAAGGGCUGGUGUGACCCCCCCAAAUACCUAUGGGCUUCCCCGGAGUGGGUUGCCCCCCUCCGGUGAACUCCCGGAACCCAUUCGUCAUUCCCGGUACAUUCCCGGUAACUCCGAAAAACCUUCCGGUAAUCAAAUGAGGUCAUCCUAUAUAUCAAUCUUCGUUUCCGGACCAUUCCGGAAACCCUCGUGACGUCCGUGAUCUCAUCCAGGACUCCGAACAACAUUCGGUAACCAACCAUAUAACUCAAAUACGCAUAAAACAACGUCGAACCUUAAGUGUGCAGACCCUGCGGGUUCGAGAACUAUGUAGACAUGACCCGAGAGACUCCUCGGUCAAUAUCCAAUAGCGGGACCUGGAUGCCCAUAUUGGAUCCUACAUAUUCUACGAAGAUCUUUAUCGUUUGAACCUCAGUGCCAAGGAUUCGUAUAAUCCCGUAUGUCAUUCCCUUUGUCCUUCGGUAUGUUACUUGCCCGAGAUUCGAUCGUCAGUAUCCGCAUACCUAUUUCAAUCUCGUUUACCGGCAAGUCUCUUUACUCGUUCCGUAAUACAAGAUCCCGCAACUUACACUAAGUUACAUUGCUUGCAAGGCUUGUGUGUGAUGUUGUAUUACCGAGUGGGCCCCGAGAUACCUCUCCGUCACACGGAGUGACAAAUCCCAGUCUUGAUCCAUACUAACUCAACUACCACCUUCGGAGAUACCUGUAGAGCAUCUUUAUAGUCACCCAGUUACGUUGCGACGUUUGAUACACACAAAGCAUUCCUCCGGUGUCAGUGAGUUAUAUGAUCUCAUGGUCAUAGGAAUAAAUACUUGACACGCAGAAAACAGUAGCAACAAAAUGACACGAUCAACAUGCUACGUCUAUUAGUUUGGGUCUAGUCCAUCACGUGAUUCUCCCAAUGACGUGAUCCAGUUAUCAAGCAACAACACCUUGUUCAUAAUCAGAAGACACUGACUAUCAUCGAUCAACCGGCUAGCCAACUAGAGGCAUGCUAGGGACGGUGUUUUGUCUAUGUAUCCACACAUGUAAAUGAGUCUUCAUUCAAUACAAUUAUAGCAUGGAUAAUAAACUAUUAUCUUGAUACAGGAAUUAUAAUAAUAACUAUACAUUUAUUAUUGCCUCUAGGGCAUAAUUCCAACAUAUGGAGAUGCCCAUCAAUAGAUAUCAAUGUGAAUGAGUAGGGAUUACCAUGCAACGGAUGCACUUAGAGCUAUAAGUGCGUGAGAGCUCAAAAAGAGAACUAGUGGGUGUGCACCCAACUUGCUUGCUCACGAAGACCUAGGGCAAUUUUGAGGAAGCCCAUCAUUGGAAUAUACAAGCCAAGUUAUAUAAUGAAAAUUCCCACUAGUAUAUGGAAGUGUCAAAACAAGAGAUUCUCUAUCAUGAAGAACAUGGUUCUAUUUUCAAGCACAUGUGUGGAAAAAGAUAGUAGCAUUGUCCCUUCUCUCUUUUUCUCUCUCUUUUUUUGUUUGGGCUCUUUUCAUUUUUUUUUGGUGUGCAUCUUUGGCCUUUUUUUAUUUCCUCACAUGGGACAAUGCUCUAAUAAUGAUGAUCAUCACACUUUUAUUUACUCACAACUCAAUACUUAGAGCAAUGACGACUCUAUAAGAAAUGCCUCCGGCAGUGUACCGGGAUGUGCAACGAUCUAGCUUAGCGUAUGACGUUGAAACAUCUCGCUAGCUAUCUUACGAUUAUGCAGUGGCAAUAUGAAAGUGACGGCACAAGUCAUGAGACGGAACUAUGGGAGUUGCAUGGUAAUAUAUCUCAGAAUGGCUAUGAAAAUGCCAUAAUAGGUAGGUAUGGUGGCUGUUUUAAGAAAGGUAUAUGGUGGGUUUGUGUACCGGAGAAAGUUGCAUGGCGCUAGAGAGGAUAGAAAUGGUGGAAGGUGAAAGUGCAUCUAUACCAUGGACUCACACUAGUCAUGAAGAACUCAUAUACUUAUUACGAAAGCUUUAUUAGUAAUCGAAACAAAGUGCUAAACGCAUAUUCCUAGGGGAAGGGUUGGUAGUUGUUAACCAUUGCGCGAUCGCGACCGCCACACAAAGGAUGACAAUCAAUAAAUCAAUUAUGCUUUGACUUCCUAACAUAGUGGUUCACCAUACGUGCAUGCUACGGGAAUACUAACUUCAACGCAAGUAUUUAUAGAUUCACAACACCCUACUAACAUGACACUAAUAUUACCAAAUCCAUAUCUCAAAACUUAAUUGUUAGGAAUCAAACUUCUCUUACUAAUCAAUGCACUUGAAUAUGGAAGUUUUUAUUAUAUUCUCUUUGGAUGCCUAUCAUCUUUAGGACUACUUUCAUAGCACAAGCCAAUUACCAAGUUACUGAGAGAGAGCACUCUCAAAAAGAUAUAAGUGAAGAUCGAGAGUUUUUAUUUCUUAAAAAUAUGACACCGCCGUGCUCUAAAAAGAUCUAAGUGAAGCACUGGAGCAAAGUUAUCUAGCUCAAAAGAUAUAAGUGAAGCUCAAUGAGUAUUCUAGCAAAUUCACAAUGAGUGCAUGUCCCUCUUAAAAAGGUGUGCAUCAAGGAUGAUUGCGACAAAACAAAAGAAAAGACUCCUAUAAUACACGACGCUCCAAGCAGAACUUUGUAUUGAAGAUCCAAGAGAGAGAAGAAGCCAUCUAGUUACUAGCUAUGGACCCGUAGGUCUAUGGUGAACUACUCACGCAUCAUCGGAGAGGUCAUGGUAUUGAUGAAGAAGCCCUCCGUACCCGAAUCCCCCCUCCAGCAGGGCACCAGAACGUGCCCCAGAUGGGAUCUUGCGGAGACAGAAGCUUGCGGCGUCGGAAAAGUACUUUCGAUGAUCUCCUCAUUUUUAUGGGAUUUUAGGGAAUAUAUAGGCGCAAAACCUAGGGCAGAGGAGGUCCAGGGGGCCCACAAUCCAGGGAGGCGCGGCCUCCCCCCUGGCCGCGGCUAGGGGGCUUGUGGGGCCCCUGGGGACCCCCUGCCUUGGCUCUCAAGUCUCACGAUCUUCUUCUGUUACGGAAAAAAUCUUUUCGGGGAUUUUAUUCCGUUUGGACUCCGUUUCAAAUUCUCCUCUGAAAGGGGUCAAAAACAUGGAAAAAACAGGAACUGGCACUUGGCACAGAGUUAAUAAGUUAGUCUCAAAAAAUAUAUAAAAGGCAUGCAAAACAUCCAAAGUUUGACAAGGUAAUAGCAUGAAACCAUCAAAAAUUAUAGAUACGUUGGAGACAUAUCAUCUACCACUAGUGCAAGGUCAAGAGGUCGUGUCUCACACUCACAGAUUUUCUUUGAUACAAAAAAAAUAACUUUUGUCAGCAUGGACAUCACGAACGACAAAGGACAACAUGCACUAAUCCGUCCUACUUAGCAAUAAAUGGAUCAAGAUUACACAUAAGCAUUAUGUGGACAUUCAAAAGUUGUUCCGGUUCAAGGGUGUGAGAAGAGAGACUACAUGGGGUGACCUCAAAUCAACCAUCAUAGACCUUCCAUAUGAUAACAUAGGAAAUGCAUUCCCAAAGGUACUUCACGCUUUCUAGGAAUGGAAGUCGCUUUCCAGAAGACACCUUCAUUACACAGCAAAAGACACUUACGUAAGCUACAAGGUGUACCGAAGGACCAUAAAGGAUGAGUUUUGUCACCAUCUUAGUCUGAAUAAUGGCGUAGUUAGUCCCAAGGGAAAGAUUCAUCCCCGGUGCAAGGGUUUGGUGCAAAUAAGCCGCGGCUGUAGGCAUGUGUAUGUGCGUCGGAGUGUCGCGUAGGGUGCGCGUGUGUGCGCUGGCACCUGGAGCAUGAGAGACCCCGGCCAUAGCAUACUAGGGCGUGUGUGUGCCUCCUAGGGAAUGCGUGUGUGCGUGCGUGCGUUGGUUAGCAACCGCGAUCGGCGUGGAGGGGUGACCGCGCCCGAGUGCUGGCAUCGGUCGUGCGGGCGUGUGCGUGCGUGUCGGGCGCACGAGAUGGGAGCGUGGAACAUGGGGAUCGUGGAGGGCUCGUGGCGCGUCUGCGCGGGCUAUAAGAACUCCCGACCCCUCCUAUGUAUCGUGGUGAGGUUGCAGAGUUUGUGGUCGGAGAAAUACAGAAAAACGCCAUCAGUGCGGCGGAGGUGUUUGUGCACCUGAAUAUUUUGUGUGAUCCUCCUCCACCUCUCCCACCUUGUCUCCGGUGAUCGCCGAAGUGUGGUGGUUCCAUUUUUCUACUUACAUUUGGCAUCAGAACCACGAGGGACGGUGAGCACCGGUGGCCAUGGUGAUGGUUCCGUUCGGGAUUUGCGGUCCGUCCGGGGCGAUGAUGAUCCCGCCGGUGACACCGAUGGGAUACACCUCCUAGGUGAUCAAGUUAGAGGUCAUCCUUGAUGCCCAGGGGCUGUGGGGCAUGGUGGCGCCUACGGCAGGAGUAGCAGUGGACGCCCCGAGAUGCGGCGAGGGCCAUGAUCCUAAAGGCAUUGCACGAGGACCUGCUAAUGCAGGUGGCGCCGAAGCUCACCGCGAGGGAGGUAUGUUACUCCCUCAAGGUGCAUUUAGUUGGCGCCGAUCUGGUGAAGGCCGCUCGGCUAGCGAUGUUGCACGGCGAGUUCGACCACCUGAGGAUGGACGACGACGACGAGCUUGAUGUGUACGCUGGCAAAGCCUAUGGGAUGGCAGCAAAGUAUGUGAUGCUAGUGUUGGGGAACGUUGCAUGGGAAACAAAAAAUUUCCUACACACACGAAGACCUAUCAUGGUGAUGUCCAUCUACGAGAGGAGAUUUGGAUCUACGUACCCUUCUAGAUCGCACUGCAGGAAGCGUUAAGAAACACGGUUGAUGUAGUGGAACGUCUUCACGUCCCUCGAUCACCCGCACAAACCGUCCCACGAACCGUCCCGCUAUCCGUCGCACGAUCCGUUCCGAUCUAGUGUCGAACGGACGGCACCUCCGCGUUCAGCACACGUACAGCUCAACGAUGAUCUCGACCUUCCUGAUCCAGCAAGCAAGACAGAGAAGUAGAUUAGUUCUCCGGCAGCGUGAUGGUGCUCCGGUGGUGGUGAGGAUCUACUCCUGCAUGGCUCCUCCCGAGCUCCGCAGAAAUACGAUCUAGAGGUAAAACUAUGGUGUCUAGAUCUGAGUUACACGUGGCAAAAGUUGUCCCAAAUCAGCCCUAAAUCACCACUAUAUAUAGGAGGGAGGGGGAGGAGGCUUGCCUUGAGGGUCAAGCCCUCAAGGCUGCGCCGGCCAAGGGAGAGGAGGAGUCCUACUCCAAUCCUACUCCAAUUAGGAUUGGAAAGUGGAGUCCUUCUCUUCCUUCCCACCUCUUUUUUUGUUUGUAUUUCUUUCCUUGGCGCCAAGGCCCUCUUGGGCUGUCCCACCAGCCCACUAAGGGCUAUUGCACCACCCCUAGGGCCAUUGGUCUUCCCCCGGGUGGAUUGCCCCCCUCUCGGUGAACUUCCGAAACCCAUUCGUCACUCCCGGUAUAUUCCCGGUAAUGCCCGAAAACCCUCGUGUAACCAAAUGAAGCCAUCCUAUAUAUCAAUCUUCCUUUCCGGACUAUUCCAAAAACCCUCGUGACGUCCGUGAUCACAUCUGGGACUCCGAACAACAUUCGGUAACCACACAUAUAACUCAACUAUACUGAAACAUCAUCGAACCUUAAGUGUGCAGACCCUGCGGGUUCGAGAACUAUGUAGACAUGCCCCAAUGCACUCCUCGGUCAAUAUCCAAUAGCGUGACCUAGAUGCCCAUAUUGGAUCCUACAUAUUCUCCGAAGAUCUUAUCGGUUGAACCUCAGUGUCAAGGAUUCAUAUAAUCCCGUAUAUCAUUCCCUUUGUCCUUCGGUAUGUUACUUGCCCGAGAUUUGUUCGUCGGUAUCCGCAUAACUAUUUCAAUCUCGUUACCGGCAAGUCUCUUUACUCGUUCCGUAAUACAAGAUCCAGUGACUUACACUUAGUCACAUUGCUUGCAAGGCUUGUGUGCGAUGUUGUAUUACCGAGUGGGCCCCGAAAUACCUCUCCGUCACACGGAGUGACAAAUCCCAGUCUUGAUCCAUACUAACUCAAGGACACUUUCGGAGAUACCUGUAGAGCACCUUUAUAGUCACCCAGUUACGUUGUGACGUUUGAUGCACACAAGGUAUUCCUCCGGUGCCACUGAGUUAUAUGAUCUCAUGGUCAUAGGAACAAAUACUUGACACGCAGAAAACAAUAGCAAUAAAAUGAUAUGAUCAAUAUGCUACAUUCAUAGUUUGGGUCUAGUCAAUCAUAUGAUUCUCCUAAUGAUGUGAUCCAGUUAUCAAGUGACAACACUUGCACAUAGUGAGAAAACCUUGACUAUCAUUGAUCAACUGGCUAGCCAACUAGAGGCUUGCUAGGGACAUUGUUUUGUCUAUGUAUCCACACAUGUAUCUACGUUUCAUUCAAUGCAAUUAUAGCAUGGAUAAUAAAUGAUUAUCUUUAAACAGGAAAUAUAAUAAUAACUAUUUAUCAUUGCCUCUAGGGCAUAUUUCCAACAGCUAGGGGCAACGUCGGAUGACACAACGAUGUUGUAGAACUUGCUCGACACCGUGCCAGACCGGUUGUACGCCGCGGUCGCCGGUAUCGAGAAGUUCUGCGACAUCGAGGUGAUGGAUUUCGACGAAGCGCUCGAGCGACUGAAAGCUUUCGAGGAGUGGACACAGCGGCGCGGUCAGGGCAGCAGGAGAUCGGAGGAGCAACCAAUGCUGACGGCGGCGCAGUGGCAGGCUCAGCAGCGAUAACACGGUGGUGGCUUAGACGAUGACGGCAACACCAGACGCCGAGCGGCAAAGGGAAGCGGCACGACAGGUGCUACAACUGUGGUGUGCGUGGGCACUUCCUUCACGACUGCCCAAAGCCGAAGUAAGAGGAGGCAGCGGAGCAGGCGCUGCUGGUGGACACCGGCGACGAGUUCGGUGGUCCGGGGCUCCUAUGAGCCACGACAGGGGGUGAUUGUUUGUGCAAAUAAGCCGUGGUUGUAGGCCAUCGUAUGUGCAUCGGAGUGUCGCGUAGGUGCGCGUGUGUGCGCCGGCACCAGGAGCGUGACAGACACCAUCCAUGGCGUGCUAGGGCACGUGUGUGUGCGUCCUAGGGGGUGUGUGCGUGCGUUGGUUAGCACCCGCGAUUGGCGCGGAGGGGUGACCGUGUCCGAGCGCUGGACUCGAUGUGCAGGCGUGUGCGUGCGCGCCAGGCGCGUGAGCCGGGGAGCAUGGAGCAUGGGGAUCAUGGAGGGCUCGCGACGCAUCUGCGCGCGGUAUAAGAACUCCCGACCCCUCUCGUGUAUCGUGGUGAGGUUGCAGAGUUUGUGCUCGGAGAAAUACAGAAAAACGCCGUCAGUGCGGCGGAGGUGUUUGUGCGCCUGAAUCUUUUGUGUCAUCCUCCUCCACCUCUCCCACCUUGUCUCCGAUGAUCGUGGGAGUGUGGUGGUUCCAUUUUUCUCCUUACACAAGGUGAGUGAUUGAUGGUCUAGUGGCCGCAAUCAUCGUAAGGGAAACCACGGGGUGGUGAACCACUGCUAUUUUCAUAUUCAUGUUGAAUUACAAUGUUAAUUUAAUUUAGAGACUUGUGUUCUGGUAUUUGUAUUAGGUCAAAAUAUUGUAGGUAAUGCAUAUUUCUAAUUCCAGACAAUAUGGUAUUUGUAUUAACUUAUGUGUGGCCAAUUUAAAAGAUGUGAUGCCUAGGUAUCUGAAUGUCAUAUAUAUGUAAAAUAGUUGUGUAGUGGUAGGAUUAAAAGAUUUUAAAAAUGUUUUGAGGACUUUCAAAAUUAUUCGAAAACAUUGGCCAUGAAGGCCUGCAAGAGUGGUCUGAAUGCUUCAAGGAAUAUUCGCUGGUGUUUUCAUAAAAUGUUUUGUAUAGUUCACUAACUUCUCGGUUAAGUUCAUGUUGCAGCUGUCAUAUCAUAAACUAAGAUCAUACUUUACAGGUAAUUUGUAAAAAACAUUUUUUGUAGUUUGCAUAACUUUUUUGUUGUAUUUGGCCUUUAGAGUUAAGGAUGUAAAUUGGCUCCAGUUUAAUCCCAUUAAAACUCAUUUAUGAUCUAACAAUUCAAUGAUUUAUUUACUUGAAAUAAUAAGUUAUCAAGCUAGCUAAACAUAACUUGACGGAACUUGUGGACGCGGUUUAUUUGCUUCACAUCCCUAUUUGCACUUUUGCAGUGUACGCCAUGGAUGCAACAAGCCAUCUAGUAAGGCUGCAUUUGGAACGUUGUUUUUUUGCUAUCCUUGUAAAAUUUUACACUUGUAUUAUACUAGCCUACAACUAAAAUACAUAUCAAGGAUUGUAUUUCCAUUCCGCUUCUCAGCCUCCUCUUGGAUUGUUGUUUUUCUUCCAUCUUGUAACCUAGCAGCCAUAGCCUAAACUUAUAAAAGCACAAACUUUCAACAACAGUAGAAUUUCAGCAACACAGAGUGCACUUUUAACAACAUAAAUUUUCAAAUACGCACAUACACACUUGAAAACAGCACAAGGCUGCACUUCUACACAUAUUGCACAUGUAUAAAAUGAGAUAACUUUUCUAUUUAUAUAACAGUACCACAACAUAAAAAAAAUAUUUUUGCAUUCAUCUAUUUGAACAUAGUUCCGAUAACUCAUAGUGCUUAAAAUCAACAGUUUAAAUUACAAAUUUAUUGAGGCGUACUUGUCUCGUCUCAUCCGCUGCUACAUAACCAAAGUUAGGACUCGCAAUUGUUCAAUCAUUGUGCAUUUAGACAUAAAGUAUUUCAGGAAGAUUAAUCCUCACAAUUGUUCAAGCAGUGAAGCAGCUUCAGGGCCGAAGAGUAAUCCUUGGAAACAAGACAUAUUUGACCAGGCUAGCAAAGAGCAUCUGGAUAAGUAACAAGAGCAACAUCUGGAUAAGUAACUAGAGCAAGAUUGUCAUGAUCACCAUACACUGCAAGCCAAACAUUUGAAUAAAAAUAUUAGUGGGGAUCAAUACCAAACAUAGUGCCGAGAAUUAGUGGGGAUCAAUAACAAACAUACUGCACAUACAUAUAUACUAGCAACAGCAAGAAAAAUACGGUUGAUUUCCCGCAAAAAGAAAACCCUAUGGUUGAUUGAAACGUGCAUGAAGAUACUGCAUAUUGAUCCCGUCGUGAUAUGAUUUCUCGGCAUAGGUAGCCUUAGAAAAUUAUCCUGAUGAACUUGCUAACCAUUAUGAUAACAUAGAAAAAAUACAAUAAAUGUUGCCAAGAGGACUUAUUCGAGAGAAAUAGACCAACUACUUUCGUUCUCGCUGCCUAUACAACAUCUACUACAGUAUGAUUCUUAACAGGGGACAUUUUUUUAUCAUGCACAUAUACUAGACUACUCAACAAAAUUUCAUCUUUAACAUCACAAUAAAAUAUCAGCACAGAAACAUUCCACAUAAGCAGGAUAUACAUAAAGUAAAGUUACAAGCUACAACUUGAGCUAACCUCACAAACAACAAUUCCAUUUUGGAAUUUCCAAGGGAUACUGAUACGUCCAUUUUGCAUCAUGCUUUUAUGUUGAUAUUUAUCGCUUUAUGGGCUGUUAUUACACUUCACGGUACAAUACUUAUGCCUUUUCUCUCUUAUUUUGCAAGGUUUACAUGAAGAGGGAGAAUGCCCGAAGCUGGAAUUCUGGCCUGAAAAAGGAGCAAGUUUGAGAUACCUAUUCUGCGCAACUCCAAAAGCCGUGAAAAUUAACGAGGAAUUAUUUUGGAAUUUAUAAAAAAUACUGGGCCGAAGAAGUACCAGAGGCGAGCCACCAAGAGGCCACAAGCCUGCUAGGCGCAGCCUACCCCCAGGCCGCACCUAGGGGGCUUGUGGGCUCCCCGUUGGCCCUCUGGCUCCCCUCUUUUUCUAUAAGGAGGGUUUCGUUCCAGAAAAAAUUAGGAGGAGGCUUUCGGGAGGAAUCGCUGCCGCCACGAGGCGGAACUUGAGCAGAACUAAUCUAGAGCUCCGGCAGGGUCGUCCUGCCGGGGAAACUUCCCUCCCGGAGGGGGAAAUCGUCGCCAUCGUCAUAUACAACACUCCUCUCAUCGGAGGGGACUCAUCACCAUCAACAUCUUCAUCAGCACCAUCUCAUCUCCCAACCCUAGUUCAUCUCUUGUAACCAAUCUCCAUCUCACGACUCCGAUUGGUACUUGUAAGGUUGCUAGUAAUGUUAAUUACUCUUUGUAGUUGAUGCUAGUUGGAUUACUCGGUGGAAGAUUAUAUGUUGAGAUCCUUGAUGCUAUUCAAUACCUCUCUGGUCAUGAACAUAAUUAUGCUUUGUGAGUAGUUACUUUUGUUCCUGAGGACAUGGGAUCAAUCUUGCUAUAAGUAGUCAUGUGAAUUUGGUAUUCGUUCGAUAUUUUGAUGUGUUGUAUGUUUUUUUUCCUCUAGUGGUGUUAUGUGAACGUCGACUACAUAACACUUCACCAUUAUUUGGGCCUAGAGGAAGGCAUUGGGAAGUAGUAAGUAGAUGAUGGGUUGCUAGAGUGACAGAAGCUUAAACCCAAGUUUAUGCGUUGCUUCGUAAGGGGCUGAUUUGGAUCCACUAGUUUAAUCCUAUGGUUAGACUUAGUCUUAAUUCUUCUUUCGUAGUUGCGGAUACUUGCGAGAGGGGUUAAUCAUAAGUGGGAGUUUUGUCCAAGUAAGAGCAGAACCCAAGCACCGGUCCACCCACAUAUCAAACUAUCAAAGUAGAGAACGUGAAUCAUAUGAACAUGAUGAAAACUAGCUUGACAGAAAUUUACAUGUGUCCUCGGGAGCGCUUUACCUCCUAUAAGAGUUUGUCCAGGCUUGUCCCUUGCUACAAAAGGGAUUGGGUCACUUUGCUGCACCUUUCUUACUUGCUACUUGCUGCGAAUCAUCUUAUCACACAACUAUCUGUUACCAAUAAUUUCAGUGCUUGCACAGAAUACCUUGGUGAAAACCACUUGUCAGAUCCUUCUGCUCCUCAUUGGGUUCGACACUCUUACUUAUCGAAAGGACUACGAUAGAUCCCCUACACUUGUGGGUCAUCACAUACCAUGCAAGAUUUCUUUAGGCAAGAAGCCAUACUCAAUAUCCUGCAAGAAUACAUUUAUAGAAGUAUGAAAUCCUCAGAUGAUGCACUACAAGAAACCGUAACAGAAAAUAAGCAAGCCAUCAAGCCAACAUAACUUGUUAAGGAUGUUCUGAAUAGAAAAUUUCCUUUCUGGGAAGAAACGUGCAACCAAAGCUAUCUGGUGAUGAAUAUAUACGUGAAAGUGUGUUAUAUCGACGAGAGGGGGUGAAUAGGAGAUUUUUAGAAUUUCACCACUAAGGAAAUUCCUUUUGAGGAAAUUCCUCACCGAUGACUAACUUGCAGCGGAAACAGCAAAGGACCAGGAGUGCAAAGUAUCACUACAACAGUUUUCAAGGUGAAGAACAUCAAAAACAGUUUGCACAGUAUGCAGGCACGGAGAAAACAGGUGAGGAUUAACUCGCAUGAAGAAUUUGGGGUUGAGGAAUUUCAAAGAAAGUCUUCAGUAAAUUCUUCAAUCACUAACAGUGAAAAUCAUCAACAUACAAUAUGAGGAAUUGAAAGAGUUGAAGAAAUAGAACCCGUUUCACAGUGAAGACAGUGGUUGAUGACCCAGUUCCAACUGUUGUGACAGUUGUACAUCUGGUUUGGAGCGGCUUGGUAUUGAAACCAAAAGACACAUAGUCCUGGGACACACAGUCCCUCCCGUAUUCUCCUUGGGCUAAGAAAACACAAUCCUUGCCCAACACUCGUGGUAAGUCUUCUGGGCAGACUUCCAAACUCUCACAAACUUGGUCACCUAGCGAUCCAUAAUUGACUGCUGGAUUGCUCUAGACCAUGACGCCUAACCGUCUAGAGGAUGCACAGUCCUCAAAGGUAAAAGGCUUCAGUCCCACACAGGAACAACUUCUUCAGUGAUGCUCAAUCACUUGGUUUUCGGUUUGUGGUUUGGUGUUUGGGGUAUUUCCUCACUGAUGAAUUACUCUCGAAGACUCUGAAGAAUUUGGGUUGCUCUUAUGACAAGUGUCAGUUUCCAAAGGAGCAGCCAACCAGCUAAUGGUCGUGGGGGCGGCUAUUUAUAGCCUGGGAGCAUCUCGACAAGAUUUGACAUUAAUGCCCUUAAAUAAUAUGACCGUUGGUCUGGAUAAGAUCAGUGAUGUGGCGCGACAUGCGGUAACGGUCGGGACCCUCAACUAUGAGAGUCCUCAUGUCUCUCAUAUUCCUCACUUGAGACUUUUGGUAGGAUUAGGCUUGGGUUGAGCAUCAUGAGGAAAUUCAUUCCGACGUGUUACUUUGACCCCCUUUAACAGUACGGUGUCCCUAUGACUCAAAAGUGAAGAAAAUAAAACAGACAGAAUAAAUCUUCAUGCUUCAAAAUCUUCAGAUUGUUUUUCUUCAAGACACACCGAAUUCCUCAUCUUCAAUUUCUUCAUGAGGAAUAUCAAUUUCAUCGCAAUUUCUUCGCGAUUCAGUUCUUCAGCUUCACACAAAUUUCUUCAGCCGAAGAUAUGCAUUUUUAGGGGUCGAUAUUCAUCGAAUAUUUCAAACUCCUCAGUGACUUAUAGAUCCUAUGUACACUCAUGAACACAUUAGAUACUUAACCUAUAAGUCUUCAAACCACCAAAAUCACUAAGAGGCACUAGAUGCACUUACAAUACCAUAAAAGAAAUAAAAUGCACACUUCCCAUAAAUAUAGAAUGUGCAGUGGCUCUAUGAAAUGUAUGGCAAAUAAUACUUUACUCUGGCCUCAUCGGAAAAAGGGAAUGGUGUGUGUAACAAAUUGCGAGAGUCAAAAUCCCCGUAGUCUGGAGGCUGGUGUGUUUGCCCAGGUCGCGCCCAUUAUUAUGUUGCAGAGGAAUGGACCGCAAAGGCUAGCACCCACUCCCCAGGGCAAGUGCUUACUACUUUGUUUUUUACCUUGUUGUUAACUCUAUAUAAACUCGAAAACAGAGUUAGGCUUCACAAAAGUGCUAGAUGGUUCACAGCCUGAGACGCAGUUAAUUUUUUCUAAGUCCAUGGUUUAUGCAUUGAUGACUAGUAGUACAUCGGAAAUGUUGUGUACACGUUCAGUUUUUAUCUUUUGCACGUCUGCUAAUUUUGGGAAAUCAACAACCAAGCAAGGCAUUACUUGUUCUCGUAGCAUCCCCAGUUCAGUCAAGACAGUAAACUGGAUUUUGACACACCUCAGAGCACUAAAUUUAACAACAGGCUAGCUAAGUUUAGACGCCACAAGCAAGCCACAAUCCAUACGAUAUCGAUUCAAGCACCCUAAAACCCCCAAAGCAUAAUUAUCCUGAUGAACUUGCAAUAUAGUUGUACAUUUUACCAGCAUCAAAAUCUCAUAUACCACAAUCUAGUUGUUUCUGUCAAAGCAAGCACACAAAGUUCCAAACAUGGAAUAAAAGAAAUAAGUUUCGGAGAGGGGAGCAAUAGUAUUCCUAUUAAAAUUAUGGUACUUGUAAGAAUAUUUAGUCCAUGCAACAACAACGUAAGUUCGGAUCUUUGAGAGGGGAGGGAGGACAAUACCUAUGAUCAGAGCACCAGAUUGAUUGAAGGAAUAUCGCCACGUGAAAACCGAACUGCAAAGGAAUACUCGCUCAAAUAAGCCUUGCAAACUUAUCUUUAGUGGGGAGAAUAAUGCAGAAAACCAAGAUUUAUGGGACUUACAAGGAGGAGGCUGAGGACUAAUCUUGUCGACUUCCUUCUUUAACCACAUACCCCGCAGUCUUGAGUUGUAACCCAGGAAAAUCUCACGGUUUGCUGCAUCUUUGAAAACAUCAGAGGCAAAGAUUUUCACCUCGUCGGGCAAAUAUUCCAUGUCAUUCAAGAUCUCCAAGCAUUCUGUAAUUGAGGGUUGUUGUCCUUGUUGUGACACUUUCUCCUUCUUGAUAGCUUGCUCUUUUUUGAAAUUCACAUACGCCAUCAUUGAAUCUUCAAGGCACCAUCACUGAACCAAGGUGCCACAUGACAAAAUGCUAACAAUUGGCCAAAAGUGAAUCAAGGUGACAUGUAAGUUUUCAGAUUCAUUAUUUAACAGAAUGCUAACAAUUUGUGCUAUUUAUUUAUCAGAAUACAAAUUGCUUGCAUAGAAAGAUAACCACUGAACAAGGAACUAUGGUUGUUAGUAUUCAGAUUGUCAGCAAUUUACCACUAGCAGGUUCAAUCUAUAAUAUCAUCACUAGCCAUUCUUGGGGAGUAUAUGUGUUCUGAUUGUUAGAGGUACCGAGCUAGGGGUCAAGCUUCUUUACACAACUGAAGUAUCAAAACUUGAUGAAUGUAAAAUGUGACCAGUGCGAAUUAUGCAGCCACUACCAAAUGGGCCUCUAACCAAUUUUAAAACAACAAAUUCUUUGGAUGAACAUCACCAACAUGUAAGGCCAGUACACUGAUAUACUUAACUUUUAAAUAUUCUAAAAAACAUUUAAAAUAGCAGAAAAUAUGUUGCUAAACAUCGUCAGUUGAUCGCCCACAGAUCCACCAACAUAUGCAGACAUAACGCACAUAUACAUAGGAUCCAUUCACUACGUAUGAACUUCUCAUAAGCAUCACUUCCCAUUAGAAAACACCGAUACUUCUACGGUGGACUUCUGCACUCCAUCCCUAAGAGGGUACUGUAUAAACAGAAGCCAGAGAUAGCGCUCUAGUUCCGCUCGAUCAUCCAUGGACGUGCUGCGAGGAAGCAGUGCGACGCCGGCGGAGCAAACGACGGUCACGGCGGCCACCGCGCUGCUCAACGCGCUCGCCAGGGAGUUCAUGCCCAUGGGCGCCACCGCCGACGCGCUAAACCCACUCGCCAAGGAGGCCUUGCCCGCGGGCCUAGAGGUUCGAGUAAAAUCCAUCGGGCCAUGGAGCGAUGCCAUCCCGAAGGAAAAAAGAAGAGGUGCCGAUUACUCUAGUAGAGGAGGGCAGAAGAGGAAGGACAUACCUUCGAUGGAUCAGAGUAGGCCGGGAGGAGGAGGGAGUCGCCGUCGCGGUUGGAGGAGGGGGUCCUAGUCGUGAGCGAGUCUUCGUCGAGGCCAGGAGCGAAUCCUCGUUGUCGUCGCGCCUUGCCUCGUCUUCAUUGCUUCGUCGCGCCUCGCGGACACCGGCGCUGGCGCCCCCGGCGACGCAGCCCUCGAUCCGAUCUAGGUUUCCAGCAAGAGGAGAGGCUGGGAAAAACGACGGGGUGUGGAGAAAUACGACGGGCUAUGGUGUGUAUCGAAUACGGGCCUGUUACAGGUGUAAAUUCGAAAACUAGUGUAAAUUUUACGGUCCAAAAACGACCAACCAAACAGCUCAUCUGUAUUUUUCUUAGAUGAGUAUAUUUUACAAGUAUAUUCAGACCCAAAACGACCAACCUAGCAGUCCUAGAGUAACCGCUGAAAUGGCAGGGCACAUUCCAGGGAUUUUUUGUUGUUGUUGCCGCAAAUGCAUGUAUCUCUCCUGACCAUAGUAAACCAAACAAACUCUUAACUUAGAUAAGGAACACUGAAUGCCUGACUUGAAAAAUUAUCGGAUCCUAUAGCAUGGGGACCCCAAACAUUACUCCGUAUCUAUCCAACCAUCCUGGAUUGUAUACAGUAUGUUUCAGUGAUUUGGUCUGAUUCAUCGUAUCCGACAUCGGUCCAAACCCCGGCUUCAGGGCCACCUCUUGUUUCGUGCAUGCAUUGUAGUAGUACUCCCCCGUUUCUAAAUAUAAGUCUUUUUAGAGAUUCCACUAAUGGACUACAUAUGGAUGUAUAUAGACAUAGUUUAAAGUGUAGAUUCACUCAUUUUGCUCUGUAUGUAGACUCUUAGUGAAAUCUCUUAAAAGACUUAUAUUUAGAAACGGAGGGAGUAUAUGCCAGAGGAUGCAUGACAUUUAUUGUGCUCUCCAACCAGCUUCUGCUGUCUUUACUCCUGCGGCUUCAAGGCUUGAAGAUAAAAGAGUGUUUGGAUACGUUUUAGUCUCAUGAUUAAAAAUAGUGAGAUUAAAACUUGCUAGCCUCACCCAUGCUUUGAUUCAAAUACUAAAGAGAUUAAAAUCAAGUUAAUGAUCAUUUAUUAUCCUCCAAACUCUUCAAUCCAGAACUCGCCUCAGGAGUUAAAUAAAAAGAUAAGACUAAUGCACAUUUUAGUAAGGGUACCCGUGACUAAAUUCUUUUAGUUUCAAGACUAGUUUUAGCCCCUCUUUAGUCAGGGGUGAUUGGAACUUUAGCCUCUUAAAGAGACUAUUUUUAGUCAGACUAAAAUAAGUCCCUUGUAUCCAAGCACCCUCUAAACACAUGCCCAGUACAAAACCUUCUCUGAAAAAUGAUGUUAAACCCCGGUCUCUAUAUCAACUAAAUAAUGCCCCGGCGUUGCUGCGGGAAACUUGCUAAAAGAAUCGUGAAAGUUGCUAAAAAACAUCUAGAACUUAUAGAAAGCAAAUGUAAGCUUACAAAUAAAAAUGAAAUAUAAAGAGCAUAAAAAAAUAAAAAAAAGUACAGUAAAAAGAAUGUCAUUUUUAAUAAAAAUGUGAAUGUGAACUAUAUAUGUAUGGUAAAUGUGACCAACACAUAUAUUGUCAAUACAAAAUCUAAUGCAAAAAUAACUUAAGAGUAACCUCCAUGAAUUGAUGACGUGGUGCUUGCAUAUAUAGAAUAAUGAAAAAAUAAUGUAAUUUAUGACUUACAUGCAUGAGUUGCUCAUGUGGCAUACUUGCAUGUCUAGGAAAAAUAGCUAGUGGGUUGUAGUUAUUUAGAAAUAGAAGUAGAAGAUGCAUAUCCAUUUUUAUUAACUAUUUAAUAAAGAUCCGAGAAAAACAUACAUCAAGUCAUGUGAAGUCAUUAAUCAUCCCUACAAAUUUGAUAAUGUAGAGUGUUUUAUUUUUAUAUAUAAAAUGGUAACAAUCCAUUCAUAUAACGUAUGAGAACCUACAACUGAUGCAGCAACCUAAAAUAUACUCUAAUACAUGCAUAUAUAGUCUUUUAGUAAAACGAGUGAAUUUACACUCUAAAAUAUGUUUAUAUACAUCCAUAUAUGGUCUUUUAGUAUAACCUCUAACAAGACUUAUAUUUAGGAACAAAUGAAGUACACAACAUGCACAAGUUUUAAAAGUCACACCAUCGUCGAACCGCUAAUCCAUUUUCAUGAAAGAGAUCUGCUUCAUCCUUGCUAAUCCGGCCAUCCGUUGACGCCACCACAACACCCAACGACACCACCUCCCUACGGUCAAACUGCUGAGCACGUCACGGUCGUUGGCGGUACACCGCAACAUCAUGCCGCCAAGUACCACCAGCCAACGCAGCUUAAAGUCUCUGAAAGAUCCGUCGUGCGUAGCACUUGUCGAACAUGCAUGACACAUUGUAGCACCUCUCGACCAGGCAUGACUUGACAUCUUUAUCAAAGCUCCGUGUAAGACGAAGCCGCUUGACAUCCCGCCUUUGUCAUCCAGCGCUGCUCCACGAACGAUACUCCAAGAGAGAAACGACAACGCAGUGCCCUCAUUGUUCGAUGUGAAAGACCAAAUCCUAGGGUCUCCCCAAAGCGAUACGAGUGGGUAGACAAUAGUUAUGGUAAUGACUUCAUCAAGAUGACAAAGCAGAACACCGCCAUCGUCCGUUGUCGGCUCUCUUUUCACCGACAACUAUGCCUUGUCCGGUCGCAACCGGGACUAAAUGACGGAUCUUGAGAUCCGAUCACCCAACAUUCAUGCCGACCACCUCCGAUGAAGGAGAUGACCAUCACUACCAAGCCCGGGUUCGUUUCCCCAGGCGUCCGUGUGAUGACGAAGGAAAACCGACCUAGGGUGAGAAACUCUAAAUCCGCCGUCGCCAGCCGUCAUGGUCGGCCCCACACUACGCCAGCAGCCGUGGUGAACCAGCCACCCAUCGGGUCGCCGCCCAAUCGGACCAACUCCGCCUCCAUGCCAGGUGCCCAGCGUCGCCGCACGUCUCAGCGAGAGAUCCCCUCGUGGAGACAGGAGGAGAGCUCGCUGUUGGCCGUCCGUCGGGCGAGCUUCGCUUGUCGGCCUCCUCUCGCGGCGGUGGGGAAGCAGGAAGGAAGGGAGGGUCGGGGGUGGUGGCGGCUAGGGUUCGGCUCAGCCGCCCGUGGAGAUGACACGAGCCGUUUUUUGACGCAAGCAGUUUUUUCCAAUGUAACAUAAGAAAACCAAAAGGUGAUCAUGUAUAAACAGUAAUUGUACACAAAGAAUGUGAUCCUGUAUAAAAUGUAAAGGUUACACUAGCAUCUCUACUAUUAAAGGGGGAUGUGUCGUCAUGAUGGUUCAACCAGCGGGAUGGUUCGACCUCUCGUUAGCUCCCCUAGCAGUUCCACCGAUUUUUUCCACCCCCCAUAAACCAAUCAGUUAAAUACAAAAAAAAACCGGUUGACAGAAAAAACCGAUCCCCACCUUCCUCGUGAUAGUGCGACCCUGCGCAAGCGGCAAGAUUUCACGCGAAAAACAUCACCCCCACGAUCCCCUCCUCCCCGUCCCUCACAACCUUCGUUAUCCUUAGAAAACUGAACGUCGGCGGCGGCUCCGAGAUCUCGCCCGCCCGCCCGCCAGCCAACCAGCCAUGGACGCCGUCGACUCCGUCGUGGAACCCCUCCGCGAGUUCGCCAAGGACAUCGUCCGCCUCGUCAAGCGCUGCCACAAGCCCGACCGAAAGGGUAAGGACCCGCGCGCUCGCGCGCUCCCCUCAUUUUCCGAUCCGGUUCGUUUUUCUCUCUCGCCAGAUCUGACCCUGAUUCGGCGCGCAGAGUUCACCAAGGUGGUCGCGCGGACGAUGGUCGGGUUCGUCGUCAUGGGGUUCGUCGGCUUCUUCGUCAACCUCAUCUUCAUCCCCAUCAACAACAUCAUCGUCGGCUCGGGCUAUAUGUCCGUUCUGUAUCCUGAGAUGAUUUCCCUGUCGCUUGUGUAGAUGAACAAACUAGGUUCGGCUUGUUCUGAUGCUUAAUUGGUACUUGACAAGGGUUAUAAUUUCUUCAGUUCUAUACACUUCAAACAUUUGCAACUGGAGUAUUCUCUUGCUUAGUGUUUUUUACAUUGUGGUGUUAUCUUUGUACGAAGAUGAGUGAGACAAAUGUUGAUACUGCAGCUCCAACAUUGUAUAUCCACGUUGCAAGAAACUUUUCAUGGUGGCUCAGAGUGAUGGCUUGGAGAGGAAGAGAAGAAUUGUGGUGCCAUGCUCAAUCUUGUAUCGAGAUACUGACGGUCGGCUGCAAGGUGAGGUUCCGUGUCAUGGAUUCCAUUUUCAGGUUCAAACUUCAUUCUCCCCCUUUAUAUUAUGGUACUUCUUCAAACAAUUGAACAGAUCGUUCAUCAUUAUUGGCUUCUGGUUCACACGAAAAGGUUUGGCAAAUAAACAUGCAGUCGGUGACCUUUUGUUUAUUGGGUGAGGAGUAAAACAUGUAAAGGCCACCAAUCUUCAUAUUUUAACUCGGUAUUACAAAUAUGAAACGAAACAAAGAGAGACGGCAACACAUAUUAGGACCAUGGUAUGUUGAUAUGUCUUGACACAUGUCCUUAUAAUAUAUUUCACGCUUGCACACACUGAUGCUUACAAACAUGUACAUAUACUUACCCCUAUGAACGCAUGCACGCAUGCCUUAUCCCACUACAAGAAAGUUGUUAAUCUGUGACAGUCGACGGCCGUCAUGGAAGAGCAAAAAUCCGUCGACGAUUGUAAGGCAUGACGAUCCAGGAAUCCGUCACCUAUAUCGCGUCAUAAUUUGCGCGCCCGACAAUCCUUGACGGAUUUGUAUUUCCGUCACCAAUAAUGACGGUAUUGUUCCGUCACCGAUGAGCCCCAAAACCCGUUCGGCCCGCCCGCGGCCCACUUUCUCUGUGACGGACUGUUCCGUCAUGGAUUUACAUGACGUGGAUUUGACGUGGCGACAACGUGCAGACCAUCGGCCCAAUAAGUUUUGGGCCAUACGUUUUAGGCCGUCAAGGCUUUUGAGCCCAUUUGUAGUGCAAUUGGUUGGCAUAUUUCUUUGGGCCUGACGAUAAUCAUUUCUGUGUCCAACAAACACACCAGCCCGUUAAAAUUUGUGCCGCUUAUGCUUAACAAGAACGCUUUUUCUAGACCCACUUCAUCCGGUCCGUUGGUUUUUAUAUUACCCAACCGAUUUUUGUUUGUAGAUAGAACAUGUUUCCAAUCCUAUCACUAAGCUUACAUUUUCAGACCCAAUAACACUUUUGAAAAAAGGGCACAACAUCACAGACAAAUUAAGAGGCACAACAACAGAAAAUAUAAGUCAUUUAAGAAAUACUGAUCCAGCAUAACAUUAAGCGUGCAUCUCCACAUCCACUAACCCUGGAGCAGCAGAAUGCAGCAAGUUUGCAUCCGCUAGUGUUAGUAACGACACCUUCCAUUUUCUAAAAAUACACAAGCCUGUAUAAUGCUGGUAAGAUAAUUUGUUCCACUAGUCGAAUUUAGCAAGUCUCCCAUGCUAACAUUCAAAAAUAUCUCCAUGGCCCAUUGGGGACCAAGCUGAUCGUGGAGGAGAGCGGCACAGACAUGUACACAUGGAAGUAUGGUUACCAUGAAUCCACAUGCGAGCCCACAUGCCAAGGCGCAGCAUCUGUCCCCGGCGCUCUUGAUCAGCUCAGCUCAGCUCAGCUCCAGCCUCCGGGCACAUGGACCUCCCUUGCAUGUCUGCUUGCCGACCUGUGCCGCGAUUAGAGAAAGAAGAUUACAGCACAGUAUCAGUGCAGCAGUACACCAUGAUGAGUCGCUCACGAGGACAGUUUUCCCGGAAUAAUUGCCUCCUGCAGUCGAUGUAUUUACAGAUGUCAGGGCAGCGAUGCUCCAACACGUCGCCAGAUUAAUCAAACGCUAGCAUACGGUGAGGAUCAGAUCAAGGUGGAUCAGUUACUGACAUGACAUGUGUUGAUCAGUGUCGGUGGACUGCGUUCAGAGCCAGAGCAGAGAGCAGCAAUAACAUGGCCAAGCAGCCCCUCGGGACAAAGGUCUUGGCAUCAUGGUCACAUGCCGUGCUCAGAACCGGGCAUGCAAGGGUUCCCUCUAAUGCUCUCUACAAGUUUUCGCCAUUAGAUCGGUCCCAUGACAGAACAUCAAAGCUUCUUCCAGCGAGAACGCCAAUAACAGAGCACUUCUGGCAUGUUGAUGGGACGCAGACCGCAGGUCCUGGACGCCAAUAACAGAGCACUUCUGAGCAUAAUCGGGAAACAACGCUUUCUAUCUAGUUGUAGAUCUUGAAUCAGGAGAUAGAAUGGGUGUCGUGAACGUGAAACAUGCGUGCGCCUGGAUGAGUAAACUUAGUUUAGGGUAGCCGUGUCCAAAUGCUAGCAGAUCUUUGCAUAACAGCCCGACAGUUGAAGGUGGUAGGCCAUGACCAUAAUAAAUGGGGGCGAGCUGUCCAAACACGAGCCAAAUGGGUAUCCAGAUCAGGUAACUUUUAGGCCAACUCCGGCGGGCAGCAGCAUACUAGCACAUGUAUGUACCCUGUUGGAUCUCGCGAGGCAUGGACCGAUGACUACUCGAUUUGUCAAUAGCAUUCAAGUCCAAUUCAGAUCUGCCUAACAUAACAGUUCCUGUGAUGACAUAUUUUUCUUUUCGAAAAAGAAGGUUAAAACCAUAUAGGAGGCAUCGAUGGAGCGGCUCUCACCUUACCUUUCUCGACGUGCUCCGCAGAAAACCCUUGAUCUAGUUCAGGUCGAACGAUGACGACGCUAUCUAGCGUCGCAUUCUUUAUUGGGGAUAUUGUCGUGGAAGUGGAUUCGGCCGGAGGGAUACGUGGCUCGCUAUGAUGUGCACGUUGUAUGCCCAAAGGCAUCCUUUGUAUGAUUUUUGGGUCUGGUUUCUCUUAUCAACUGCAUCAACCUUCUAUCUAUAUUCAAUGAAUUUAACAAUUCUCCUGCUAACAUUAGACAAAUGACCGAUAACACCGUUUGAGCCCCCAAGUGAGCGGGCGACUUAGGUAUCCCGGACCUGAGAUGGCUCAAUAUCUCGAUGCAAGCUAGAUGACCGUGGUUGAGUAGUUCAGAUAACUCAAGACCGUGGAAGGAAUUUGAAAUCAAGGUACCAAAGGAAUCAAUGCAAAUCUUUCGCUCGACGGCCAUAGUUAUAGUUGGACACGGCAUGAAGUCCAUGUUCUGGGAGGACCGAUGGCUAGAUGGUGCGCGAAUAGAGGAUCUUGCACCUUGGAUUUAUGCGUGUGUACCGCCGAGAAAACGCAACAACACGACAGCUGCCACGACAAUUCAGGAGGGAGAUUGGUUGUGGGACAUUGGCCAGAACUUGGAUGCAGAUAUCCCGAGGGAAUACGUGAACUUGUGGCAUAGAAUUGUGGUCAUCGAGUUGGAUUCGGAAACACGUGACAACUUGAGAUUGGCAUGAGAAAGUAAGGGUGCGUUCUCGGUUAGAUCGGCAUACGCGGCAAAGUUGUGAGGAGAGAGAUCAACCCAACUGCGGAGUUCACGUGGAGAUCGAGAGCGUCGUUGAAAUGCAGAUUCUUUGCCUAAUCGGCCUUAAACAAUAGAUGAUAGACCUCCGGCCGCCUGGUGAGACAAGAUCUGCCGCACCAAGAUUCAUGUCCUUUCUGCAAUCGGGGCUAUGCAAGUGUGAGUCAUGUAUUGUUGGGGUGCGUUUUUGCACGGACAGUAUGACACGAGGUGUUUCAGGCGCUUGGUAUGCAAGGUUAGAUUCCAACAAUGGAUACCAAUCUCAAUGAAUGGUGUGAAGGCAAGGACUCCGCACGUGGUCGGUGUAAGGAUUAUAGGACUAUCUUAGCCCUUGUUUUCUUAGAGUUAUGGAAGCACAUGAAUGGGAUUGUGUUUGGUGGAGUUUCAUGGUCACUCCAAGGAGUAGGAAGGAGGAUCUUGGCAGAAGGGAGGGCUUGGAGACAAGCAUUCCUGCUCAAGGGCGACUACGAGAGUUUCUUUCAAGCAUUGACAUGGUGGGUUGGUCGGGAGUAGUUAACUCACUACCGUGUUGUAAGGGUGGACUUGGGUGUGUUUUCUAAACAUCCAUCUCUUUUCUUUCUAUAAUAUAUGUAUGCAUGUUUGUGCAUAUUCGAGAAUAAAAAGUCAAUAUCCAGCACAUCACCCCUUUUUAGAAGCCAUUUAACCACACACAGUUCUCCAAAAUUACAAAUGAGGGGAAAACCACCGAUGUCACCUGUUUUCGCUGUCCUCACAUGACACGGCGCGGGUUUCCCUUUGUUUCUGAUUUUGAUGAAAUGUGUCUAGCCUUGACGCACACGCGUGAGGGGUUAGAAUAGCGCCUAAAAAAUAAGGGGCCAAAUGUCGAUCACUUGCAAAGUUGAGGGACACAACUAUAAAUCUCUGAAAACAACUUCUCUUUGAUAUGAGAUAGCUAACCACAUUUGUCGCAUUAUUGACCCACUACCGGUUUGACAUCUCAAGAAGGUGGAAUUCCAAUUCCCUGAGGACAAAGCCAUCGGAUAAUUAGUCAAUUUAGAGGAUUGGACGAACGACACGUGACAAAUUUGUUAUCUCCUCCUAAGCAGUGUACUUCGUCACACCCCUGGUUGUUCUGCCAAGCUCCCUUCAUAGCCUUAACAAGAUUGAGCGGGCUUUCCUUUGGUCCAACUUGGAUAAGACCACCGAUGCUAAGUGCAAGGUCAACUGGGAGACCGUUUAUCAUUUGUUUGGAUAUGGUGGCCUUGGGGUGUUCAACACUAACAAAUUCGCACGCGUUGAGGCUUCGUUGGUCUUUGUAUGAAUGAAAAUGUGUGAACAAAUUCGCGCACAUAUUUUCUACAAGUGCCGACACACCCUUAGGUUAUGGAAACUUGUGAUUGGCAAUGGCUUGUUCUUAGCCGAAUCAAUAGGGUGCAAUAGAGUUUUUGUGAGUUCUGGUAAUAGUGAAUUAAUAGAAAUAAUGAAGAAUGAGAGGCCUUCUAGAGGUAUUGUUGCAUCGAUUUUUCAUGAUUGUUUUUCUAUGGAACCAGAUUUUAUUAGGAUUAAGUAUGAGCAUGUGAAAAGGGAAACGAAUUUUGUAUCUCAUGAACUAGCCUAGUUGGCUAAGUUCCAGGUGAGUAGGGUCUGGUUGUAUGAUCCUCCCCCCUCUAUUGUACCUCUCAUGGUGAACGAUGUAACAUUAUUAUCUCUUUAAUAAAGAGGUUUUUUGAGGUAAAAAAACGUGUGAUCGACAAACUUGGCCUUGUGCACUUGGAUACUUCCACCUAGCAUCUCGAGGCAUCCGUCAAAGACCGGUGGGCUAGAAGAACAACAUGAAAAAGCAUGACAUAAAGGACUUGACCUUCCUCACUAUGCUUGUCUUUUGGACUAUCUGGAACGAGAGAAACCAACGUGUCUUUCACCUCAAGAGUGCUCUGCUGCGUUUCUUGCUCAGCAUCAUCUUGGGCGAGGCCAAACUUUUAACCACCACGGGGGCAAAGAAUCUAGGAAAAUUGCUUUGCAAGAGUAAUUGUUAUGUAGUGUUUGAAGGGUAUAUGUAAAACUAUAUUAUCUCCUUAAUUAAUACGUGAGGUAAAUAUUUUGCAUCUGUUUUGAAAAAAAUCCUUGUAUUAUAUUGUUGGUUAGUUCUUACAUUUUGAAGGUAUAAUUGUAGAACCAAAAAGGUGUUAUUAGAGCAACUCCAAUGAGGCGACCCAUUUCAUAUGCCGCCGUCCGUUUGGGUUGGCGCGGACACAAAAGUCGGCCAAACGUGUCGACCCAAACGGACGUGUGUCCUCUUAGCGUCCUCCUGGCGACCCAUUCCCGACCCAAUUUUGGGCUGGUUUGCGUCGGCGCGCACACGAGACGGAUGCUCGCGCGCGCGCCUACUCCUCUCCCCGGGCCCGCCGGUCGGUGGCUUCCACUGCCAUUCCCCCCCCCCCCAAAACCCUCCCUCCCACGCAUGCUCCCACCCCACGCCCGCUCCCGCCCCGCGCCCGCCAAGGACGGCGACCUCAACCUCGACCUCGCCGCCGCCGCCGCCGGCCUAGCCUCCCUUGCGUCCAACAAAGCCAAAGAAGGUGCUGACAGCCGAACAACGGGCAAUAGAGAAGGCCAAGGGGAAGGACCUGUUGGAAAUAUGCCCUAGAGGCAAUGAUAAAUAGUUAUUAUUAUAUUCCCUAUUUAAAGAUAAUCGUUUAUUAUCCAUGCUAUAAUUGUAUUGAAUGAAAACAUAGAUACAUGUGUGGAUACAUAGACAAAACAGUGUCCCUAGCAAGCCUCUAGUUGGCUAGCGAGUUGAUCAAGGAUAGUCAAGGUUUUCUGACUAUGUGCAAAGUGUUGUUGCUUGAUAACUCUAUCACAUCAUUAGGAGAAUCAUGUGAUGGACUAGACACAAACUAUGAACGUAGCAUAUUGAUCGUGUCGUUUUAUUGCUAUAGUUUUCUGUGUGUCAAGUAUUUGUUCCUAUGACCAUGAGAUCAUAUAACUCACUGGCAUAGAGGAAUACCUUGUGUGCAUCAAACGUCACAACGUCACUGGUGACUAUAAAGGUGCUAUACAGGUAUCUCCGAAGCUGUCCGUUGAUUUAGUAUGGAUCAAGACUGCGAUUUGUCACUCCAUGUGACGGAGAGGUAUCUCGGGGCCCACUCGGUAAUGCAACAUCACACACAAGCCUUGCAAGCAAUGUGACUAAGUGUAAGUCACGGGAUCUUGUAUUACAAAACGAGUAAAGAGACUUGCCGGUAACGCGAUUGAAAUAGGUAUGCGGAUACCGAUGAUUGAAUCUCGGGGAAGUAACAUACUGAAGGACAAAGGGAAUGACAUACGGGAUUAUAUGAAUCCUUGACACUAAGGUUCAAGAGAUAAGAUCUUCGGAGAAUAUGUAGGAUCCAAUAUGGGCAUCUAGAUCCCGCUAUUGGAUAUUGACCGAGGAGUACCUCGGGGCAUGUCUACAUAGUUCUCCAACCCGCAGGGUCUGCACACUUAAGGUUCGGCGAUGUUUUAGUGUAGUUGAGUUAUAUGUGUGGUUACCGAAUGUUGUUUGGAGUCUCGGAUGAGAUCAUGGACGUCACGAGGGUUUCCGGAAUGGCCCGGAGACAAAGAUUGAUAUAUAGGAUGACUUCAUUUGGUUACCGGAAAGUUUUCGGGCAUUACCGGGAAUGUACCAGGAGUGACGAAUGGGUUCCGGAAGUUCACCGGGAGGGGGGAAACCCUCCCGGGGGAAGCCCAAAGGACCUAUGGGUGGCGUACCAGCCCUUAGUGGGCUGGUGGGACAGCCCAAGAGGGCCUAUGUGCGAGGAAAAUAAAAACCGAAGAAAAAAAAGAAAGGUGGGAAGGAAGAGAAGGACUCCACUUUCCAAUCCUAGUUGGACUAGGAUUGGAGUAGGACUCCUCCUCCUCCCUAGCCGGCGCACCCUUGAUGGUUUGGCCCUCAAGGAAAGCCUCCUCCCCCUCCCUCCUAUAUAUAGUGGUGAUUUAGGGCUGAUUUGAGACAACUUUUGCCACGUGCAACUCAGAUCUGGACACCAUAGUUUUACCUCUAGAUCGUAUUUCUGUGGACCUUGGGCGGAGCACUGCAGGAGUAGAUCCUUCACCACAUCCGGAGCAUCAUCAAUUUGUCGAAGAACUCAUCUACUUCUCCGUCUUGCUUGCUGGAUCAAGAAGGCCGAGAUCAUCGUCGAGCUGUAUGUGUGUUGAACGCGGAGGUGCCGUCUGUUCGGUACUAGAUCGGAGCGGGUCGUGGGACGGAUCGCAGGACGGUUCAUGGGACGGUUCGCGGGGCGGAUCGAGGGACGUGAGGAUGUUCCACUACAUCAACCCCGUUUCUUAACGCUUCCUGCUAUGUGAUCUACAAGGGUACGUAGAUCCAAAUCUCCUCUCGUAGAUGGACAUCACCAUGAUAGGUCUUCGUGUGCGUAGGAAAUUUUUUGUUUCCCCUGCGACGUUCCCCAACAGUGGCAUCAGAGCUAGGUUCAUACGUAAAUGUAAUAUCGAGUAGAACACAAAGGGUUUUGUGGACGGUGAUGUUCGAUUUACUACCCUCCUUAGUCUUUUCUCGAUUCGGCGGUAUUGUUGGAUUGAAGCGACCCGGACCGACAUUAUUCGUACGCUUGCGAAAGACUGGUUUCAUUGCUUGACAUGCAACCUCGUUGCAUAAAGAUGGCUGGCGAUUGUCGGUUUCUUCAACUUUAGUUGAAUUGGUUUUGACAGAGGCGGUCCUUGGAGAGGUUAAAUAGCAAUUUGCACAUCUCCGUUGUGGUUUUUGCGUAACUAAGAUGUGAUCUACUAGAUACCCAUAGCAGCCACGUAAAACAUGCAACAACAAAUUAGAGGAUGUAUAACUUGUUUUUGCAGGGUAUGCUUGUGAUAUGAUAUGGCCAAUGACGUGAUGUGAUAUAUUGGAUGUAUGAGAUGAUCAUGUUGUAACAAGUUAAUAUCGACUUGCACGUCGAUGGUACGGCAACCGGAAGGAGCCAUAGGGUUGUCUUUAAACUAACGUUUGUGUUUACAGAUGCGUUUACUAUAUUGCUAGGACGUAGCUUUAGUAGUAAUAGCAUAAGUAGCACGACAACCCCGAUGGCGACACAUUUAUGGAGAUCAUGAUGAUGGAGAUCAUGGUGUGACGCCGGUGACAAAGAAGAUCGUGCCGGUGCUUUGGUGAUGGAGAUCAAGAAGCACACGAUGAUGGCCAUAUCAUGUCACUUAUGAAUUGCAUGUGUUGUUAAUCCUUUUAUGCACCUUAUUUUGCUUAGAACGAUGGUAGCAUUAUGAGGUGAUCUCUCACUAAAAUUUCAAGACGAAAUUGUGUUCUCCCCGACUGUGCACCGUUUCUACAGUUCGUCGUUUCGAGACACCACGUGAUGAUCGGGUGUGAUAGACUCAACGUUCACAUACAACGGGUGCAAAACAGUUGCACACGCGGAACACUCGGGUUAAGCUUGACGAGCCUAGCAUGUGCAAACAUGGCCUCGAAACACAUGAGACCGAAAGGUCGAGCAUGAAUCGUAUAAUUGAUAUGAUUAGCAUAGACACGCUUACCACUGAAACUAUCCUCAACUCACGUGAUGAUCGGACUUGAGCUAGUGAAUUUGGAUCAUGUACCACUCAAAUGACUAGAAAGAUGUACUUUUUGAAUGGGAGUUUAACAAGUAAUUUGAUUAGUUAAUCUCUAAUUAUCUUGAACAUAGUCUAAGUCAACUUUGAAAAUAUUUGUGUUGUAGAUCAAUGGCUCACGUGACAGUCACCCUGUAUUUUAAUACGUUCCUAGAGAAAGCUAAGUUGAAAGAUGAUGGAAGCAACUUUGUAGAGUGGGCUCGUAAUCUUAAGUUGCUCCUACAAGCUGGGAAGAAGGAUUAUAUCCUUAAUAAUGCGCUAGGAGAUGAACCAACCGCCGCGGCUCACCAAGAUGCUAAGAACGCUUGGUUAGCAUGCAAGGAGGACUACUGAGUAGUUCAAUGUGCAGUCUUGUAUGGCUUAGAGCCGGGACUUCAACGUCGCUUUGAGCGUCAUGGAGCAUAUGAGAUGUUCCAGGAGUUGAAGUUUAUCUUUCAAAAGAACGCCCAGAUCGAGAGGUAUGAGACCUCCGAUAAAUUCUAUGCUUGCAAGAUGGAGGACAAUUCGUCUGUCAAUGAACAUGUUCUCAAAAUGUCUGGGUACUCAAAGCUCUAGCUGAGCUAGGGAUUGAACUCCCGCAAGAGGCCAUCACUGACAGAAUUCUUCAAUCACUGCCACCAAGCUAUAAGAGCUUUGUGUUGAACUAUAACAUGCAAGGGAUGAACAAGUCACCCGGCGAGUUAUUCGCGAUGCUGAAAGUCGCAGAGUCAGAACUCCGUUAAGAGCAUCAAGUGUUGAUGGUGAAUAAGACCACUAGUUUCAAGAGAAACGGCAAAGGAAAGAACGGUAAUUCAAAGAAGAGCGGCAAGCCUGUUGCCAAUUCGACGAAGAAACCCAAAGCUGGACCUAAGCCUAAAACGGAGUGUUAUUAUUGCAAGGGUAUGGGUCACUGCAAGCGCAACUGGCCCAAGUAUCUGGCUAAUAAGAAGGUGGCCAAGGAAAAAUCAGGUAUAUUUAAUAUACAUGUUAUUGAUGUGUACUUAACCAUCUCUCGUAGUAGUUUCUCGGUAUUCGAUACCGGUUUUGUUGCUCAUAUUUGCAACUCGAAACAGGAACUACGGAAUAAGCGAAGGCUGGCGAAGGAUGAAGUGACGAUGCGCAUGGGAAAUGGUUCCAAGGUUGAUGCAAUCACCAUCGGCAUAGUUUCACUUCAGUUACCAUCAGGAUUAGUUAUGAACUUAAAUAAAUGUUAUUUAGUGCCUGCGUUAAGCAUGAACAUUAUAUCUGGAUCUUGUUUAUUGCGAGACUGUUACUCGUUUAAGUCAGAGAAUAAUGGUUGUUCUGUUCCUAUGAGUAAUAUCUUUUAUGGUCAUGCACCCAAUGUGAGAGGAUUGUUCAUAUUGAAUCUUGAUAGCGAUAAUACACAUAUACAUAACAUUGAGACCAAAAGAGUUAGAGUUAACAAUGAUAGCGCCCUGUUUUUAUGGCACUACCGCUUAGGUCAUAUUGGUGUAAAGCGCAUGAAGAAACUCCAUUCCGAUGGACUUUUGAAGUCACUUGACUUUGAUUCACUUGAAACGUGCGAACCAUGCCUCAUGGGCAAGAUGACUAAGACUCCGUUCUCCGGAACAAUGGAGCGUGCAAGUGACUUGUUGGAAAUCAUACAUACCAAUGUGUGCGGUCCGAUGAGUGUGGAGGCAUGAUACGUCUCAAACGUAUCUAUAAUUUUUGAUGGUUUCAUGCUGUUAUCUUGUCAUCUUUGGAUGUUUUAUGUACCUUUUAUAUCUUUUUUGGGACUAACUUAUUAAUUCAGUGCCAAGUGCCAGUUCCUGUUUUUUCUGUGUUUUUGGCUCUUUUCAGAUCUGAUUUUGGAACGGAGUCCAAACGGAAUAAAAUCCCCAAAAUAAAAUUUCCCCGAACGAAAGAAGAUCAGGGGGCUUGAGGGCAAAGCAAGGAGGGCUACAUGGGGCCCGCAAGCCCCCUAUUCGCCACCACGGGACGGUGGCCAGCAGGCUUGUGGCCUCCCUGGCGCCCCCCUGACCUAGCUCCUUCGCCUAUAUAUUCCCUAAAAUACAGAAAAAAAUCAAGGGAUCCACGAAAAUACUUUUCCGCCGCCGCAAGCUUCCGUUUCCGCGAGAUCUCAUCUGGAGAUCCUUCCCGGAGCCCUGCCGGAGGGGACUUUGGCGUUGGAGGGCUUCUACAUCAACAUCAUCGCCCCUCCAAUGACUCGUGAGUAGUUCACUUCAGACCUAUGGGUCCGUAGUUAGUAGNNNNNNNNNNNNNNNNNNNNNNNNNNNNNNNNNNNNNNNNNNNNNNNNNNNNNNNNNNNNNNNNNNNNNNNNNNNNNNNNNNNNNNNNNNNNNNNNNNNNNNNNNNNNNNNNNNNNNNNNNNNNNNNNNNNNNNNNNNNNNNNNNNNNNNNNNNNNNNUAAUAGUAGUAGAUGUAGAAAAUAUCGGUCUACUUGUUUUGGACGUGAUGCCUAUAGAUAUAAUCAUUGCCAUAGAUGACGUCAUGACUUUGCGCGGUUCUAUCAAUCGCUCGAUAGUAAUUUGUUCACCCACCGUCUACUUGCUUUCAUGAGAGAAGCCACUAGUAAACACUACGGCCCCCGGGUCUAUUCACACCUAUCGUUUCCACUUUCGCUUUUACUUUGCUUUGUUACUUCGUUGCUUUCAGUUCUCACUUGGCGAACAAUCUAUAAGGGAUUGACAACCCCUUCAUAGCGUUUGGGAGCAAGGUUUUUGUGUUUGUGCAGGCACUUGUGAUACUCCUUCACUGGAUCGAUACCUUGGUUCUCAAAACGGAGGGAAAUACUUACGACCGUUGCGCUACAUCACCCUUUCUGCUUCGAGGGAACACCAACGCAAGGAUCCAAGGCCGCGGGGAAAUCCUUUGCAUAUUUUCCUAGGAAGUCCCUAAAGGCGUAGCCGUAGCAGAAGGAUUCCUGGUGCCGUUGGUGAGGAGAAUCAUGACGUCUCCUGUCAGCACGUAUUUCUGGCACCGUUGGAAGGUCUUUUGUUGCAGUAGCAAGCCGUGCGGCGGAUAUCGUUAUUUUCUCACCUUCACUGACGAUUUGUGUACAUAUGGUUAUGUCUACUUGAUGAAGCACAAGUCUGAAACAUUUGAGAAGUUCAAGCAAUUUCAGAGUGAAGUUGAAAAUCAUCGUAACAAGAUGAUCAAGUUCCUACGGUCUGAUCGUGGGGGUGAAUAUCUGAGUUUCGAGUUUGGUCCUCACUUAAGACAAUGUGGAAUUGUUUCACAGUUGACACCGCCUGGAACACCAUAGCGUAAUGGUGUGUUUGAACGUCGUAAUCAUACUUUAUUAGAGAUGGUGCGAUCUAUGAUGUCUCUUACCGAUUUGCCGUUAUCGUUUUGGGGUUAUGCAUUAGAGACAGCCGCAUUCACUUUAAAUAGGGCACCAUGAAAAUCCGUUGAGAUGACACCAUACGAUCUAUGGUAUGGCAAAAUACCAAAGCUGUCAUUUCUUAAAGUUUGGGGAUGUGAUGCUUAUGUGAAAAAGCUUCAGCCUGAAAAGCUGGAACCCAAAGCGGAAAAGUGUGUCUUCAUACGUUACCCAAAAGAGACAGUUGGGUAUACCUUCUAUCUCAAAUCCGAGGGCAAAGUGUUUGUUGCUAAAAACGGAGCUUUUCUUGAGAAGGAGUUUCUCUCGAAAAAAUUGUGUGGGAGGAAGAUAGAACUUGAUGAGGUUGUCGAACCUCUUAUCCCUCUAGAUGGUGGCGCAGGGCAAGGGGAAACCCCUGUUGCUGCGGCGCCGGUUGAGGAGAAAGUUGAUGAUGAUGAUCAUGAAACUUCGGAUCAAGUUGCUAUCGGACCUCGCAAGUCGACAAGAUAAUGUACUGCUCCUGAGUGGUACGGUAAUCCUGUCUUAACGAUUAUGUUGUUGGACAACAAUGAACCUGCGAAUUAUGAAGAAGCAAUGGUGGGCCCGAAUUCCAACAAAUGGCUUGAGGCCAUGAAGUCCGAGAUAGGAUCCAUGUACGAGAACGAAGUGUGGACUUUGGAAGUACUACCUGAAGGCCGCAAGUCUAUUCAGAACAAAUGGAUCUAUAAGAAGAAGACAAACGCAUACGGUAAUGUGACCAUUUAUAAAGCUCGACUUGUGGCAAAGGGUUUUUCACAAGUUCAAGGAGUUGACUAUGAUGAGACUUUCUCACCGAUGGCGAUGCUUAAGUCCGUCCGAAUCAUGUUAGAAAUAGCUACCUUUUACGAUUAUGAAAUAUGGCUGAUGGAUGUCAAAACGGCGUUCCUUAACGGUUUUCUUAAGGAAGAGUUGUAUAUGAUGCAACUCGAAGGUUUUGUCGAUCCUAAGAAUGCUAACAAAGUAUGCAAGCUCCAGCGAUCCAUUUAUGGACUGGUGCAAGCAUCUCGGAGUUGGAAUAAGCGCUUUGAUGAGGUGAUCAAAGCAUUUGGGUUUAUACAAGUGGUUGGAGAAUCUUGUAUUUACAAGAAAGUAAGUGGGAGCUCUGUGGCGUUUGUAAUAUUAUAUGUGGAUGACAUAUUGCUGAUUGGAAACAAUGUGGAGCUUCUGGAGAGCAUAAAGGAUUACUUGAAUAAAAGUUUCUCUAUGAAGGACCUAGGAGAAGCUGCUUACAUUCUAGGCAUUAAGAUCUAUAGGGAUAGAUCGAGACGCCUGAUAGGACUUUCACAAAGCACAUACCUUGAUAAAGUUUUGAAGAAGUUCAAAAUGGAUCAGCCCAAGAAAGGGUUCUUGCCAGUAUUACAAGGUAUAAAAUUUAGUAAGACUCAGUGCCCAGCAACUGCGGAAGAUAGAUAACAAAUGAUUUCCGUCCCCUACGCAUCACCCGUAGGUUCUAUCAUGUAUGCAAUGUUGUGGACUAGACCAGGCAUGAGCUUGGCCAUAAGUAUGCUAGGCAGGUUUCAGAGUAAUCCAGGAGUGGAUCACUGGACGGCGGUCAAGAAUAUUCUGAAGUACCUGAAAAGGACUAAGGAAAUGUUUCUCGUGUAUGGAGGUGACAAAGAGCUCGUCGUAAAAGGUUACGUCGACGCAAGUUUUGACACCGAUCCGGAUGAAUCUUAGUCACAAACCGGAUACGUAUUUAUUCCUAAUGGGGUGCAGUAAGCUGGUGCAGUUCCGAGCAGAGCGUCGUAGUAGAUUCUACAUGUGAAGCGGAGUACAUGCUGCCUCGGAGGCAUCAAAGGAGGGUGUCCGGAUGAAGCAGUUUAUGACAGAUCUUGGAGUUGUGCCGAGCGCACUAGAUCCAUUGACUCUGUUAUGUGACAACAUUGGUGCCAUUGCCUUAACAAAAGAACCAAGGUUUCACAAGAAGACCAGCCACAUCAAACGACGCUUCAACCUCAUCCACGACUACGUCGCAGGAGAGGACGUGAAUAUUUGCAAAGUGCACACGGAUCUGAAUGUAGUAGACCCGCUGACUAAACCUCUUCCACGGGCAAAACAUGAUCAACACCAGAACUGUAUGGGUGUUCGAUUUAUUACAAUGUAAAUCGCAUGGCGAUGUGAGGACUAGAUUAUUGACUCUAGUGCAAGUGGAAGACUGUUGGAAAUAUGCCCUAGAGGCAAUGAUAAAUAGUUAUUAUUAUAUUUCCUGUUUAAAGAUAAUUGUUUAUUAUCCAUGUUAUAAUUGUAUUGAAUGAAAACAUAGAUACAUGUGUGGAUACAUAGACAAAACAAUGUUCCUAGCAAGCCUCUAGUUGGCUAGCCAGUUGAUCAAGGAUAGUCAAGGUUUUCUGACUAUGUGCAAAGUGUUGUUGCUUGAUAACUGGAUCACAUCAUUAGGAGAAUCAUGUGAUGGACUAGACCCAAACUAUGAACGUAGCAUAUUGUUCGUGUCGUUUUAUUGCUAUAGUUUUCUGUGUGUCAAGUAUUUGUUCCUAUGACCAUGAGAUCAUAUAACUCACUGGCACCGAAGGAAUACCUUGUGUGCAUCAAACGUCGCAACGUAACUGGGUGACUAUAAAGGUGCUCUACACGUAUCUCCGAAGGUGUCCGUUGAGUUAGUAUGGAUCAAGACUGGGAUUUGUCACUCCGUGUGAUAGAGAUGUAUCUCGGGGCCCACUCGGUAAUGCAACAUCACACACAAGCCUUGCAAGCAACAUGACUAAGUGUAAGUCACGGGAUCUUGUAUUACAGAACGAGUAAAGAGACUUGCCGGUAAUGAGAUUGAAAUAGGUAUGCGGAUACCGACGAUCGAAUCUUGGGCAAGUAACAUAUUGAAGGACAAAGGGAAUGACAUACGGGAUUAUAUGAAUCCUUGGCACUGAGGUUCAACCGAUAAGAUCUUCGGAGAAUAUGUAGGAUCCAAUAUGGGCAUCCAGGGCCCACUAUUGGAUAUUGAACGAGGAGUACCUCGGGGCAUGUCUACAUAGUCCUCGAACCCGCAGGGUCUGCACACUUAAGGUUCAGCGAUGUUUUAGUAUAGUUGAGUUAUAUGUGUGGUUACCGAAUGUUGUUCGGAGUCCCGAAUGAGAACACGGAUGUCACGAGGGUUUCUGGAAUGGUCCGGAGACGAAGAUUGAUAUAUAGUAUGACUUCAUUUGGUUACCGGAAAGUUUUCGGGAAUUACUGGGAAUGUACCGGGAGUGACGAAUGGGUUCCGGAAGUUCAUCGGGAGGGGGGCAACCCUCCCGGGGGAAGCACAAAGGACCUAUGGGUGGCGCACCAGCCCUUAGUGGGCUAGUGGGACAGCCCAAGAGGGCCUAUGCGCCAGGAAAAGAAAAACCAAAGAAAAAGGAAAGAAAGGUGGGAAGGAAGAGAAGGACUCCACUUUCCAAUCCUAGUUGGACUAGGACUCCUCCUCCUCCCUAGCCGGCCCUCAAGGAAAGCCUCCUCACCCUCCCUCCUAUAUAUAGUUGUGAUUUAGGGCUGAUUUGAGACAACUUUUGCCACGUGCAACUCACAUCUAGACACCAUAAUUUUACCUCUAGAUCGUAUUUCUGCGGAGCUCGGGCGGAGCCCUGCACGAGUAGAUCCUUCACCACCACCGGAGCGCCAUGAUGCUGCCGGAGAACUUAUCUACUUAUCCAUCUUUCUUGCUGGAUCAAGAAGGCCGAGAUCAUCGUCGAGCUGUACGUGUGCUGAACGCGGAGGUGCCGUCCGUUCGGCACUAGAUCGGAGCGGAUCGUGGGACGGAUCGCAGGACGGUUCGUGGGGCGGAUCGAGGAACGUGAGGACGUUCCACUACAUCAACCGCGUUUCUUAACGCUUCCUGUUGUGCGAUCUACAAGGGUACAUAGAUCCAAAUCUCCUCUCGUAGAUGGACAUCACCAUGAUAGGUCUUCCUGUGCGUAGGAAUUUUUUGGUUUCCCAUAUGACGUUCCCCAACAGGACCGGAGGCACGCGGCGGGCGCGAGGGAUGAAGCUGAUAUGUCUCCGUAGUAUCUACUUUCCAAACUCUUUUGCCCUUGUUUUCGACUAUAAUUUGCAUGAUUUGAAUGGAACUAACCUAGACUAACGCUGUUUUCAACAGAAUUGUCAUGGUGUUGUUUUUGCGCAGAAAUAAAAGUUCUCGGAAUGACCUGGAAAUUAAUGAGGAUUUUUUGUGGAAUAUAUAAAAAAUACUGGUGCAAGAAUGAACCGGAGGGGUGGAGAGAGGAGCCCACAAGCCCACCAGGCGCGCCCCCCCGGCCGCGCUUAGCAGACUUGUUGGGACCUCGGAGGUCCACCGCCUCCAAUUCCAGCUCUAUUUAGUCCCUUUCGUUUGGAAAAAAUCAAGGAGGAGAGUUCAUCGCGUUUUACAAUACGGAGGCGCCGCCACCACCUGUUCUUCCUGUGGAGGGCAGAUCUGGAGUCCGUUCUGGGUUCCGGAGAGGGGAGAUCGUCGCCAUCGUCAUCACCAACCUUCCUUCAUCGUCAAUUCCAUGAUGCUCUUCACCGUUCGUGAGUAAUCUCAUCGUAGACUUGCUCGACGGUGAUGGGUUGGAUGAGAUCUAUCAUGUAAUCGAGUUAGUUUUGAUGGGGAUUGAUCCCUAGUAUCCACUAUGUUAUGAGAUUGAUGUUGCUACUACUUUGCCAUGCUUAAUGCUUGUCACUAGGGCCCGAGUGCCAUGAUUUCACAUCUGAACCUAUUAUGUUCUCGUCAAUACAUGUGUGUUCUUGAUCCUAUCUGGCAAGUUGUAGUCACCUACUAUGUGUUAUGACCCGACAACCCCGGAAUGACAAUAGCCGAAACCACUCCCGGAGAUGACCAUAGUAUGAGGAGUUCAUGUAUUCACUAAGUGCUAAUGCGUUGUUCCGGUUCUCUACUAAAAGGAGAACCUUAAUAUCCCAUAGUUUCCAUUAGGACCCCUCUGCCACGGGAGGGAUGGACAAUAGAUGUCAUGCAAGUUCUUUUGCCUAAGCACGUAUGACUACAUACGGAAUACAUGCCAACAUUACAUUGACGAACUGGAGCUAGUUACAUAUCUCCCCGUGUUAUAACUGUUGCAUGAUGAAUAUCAUCCGGCAUAAUUAUCCAUCACCGAUCCAAUGCCUACGAGUUUUUCCUACUGGUCCUUGCUACCUUACUUUGUCGCUACAGCUGUCACUGCUGCUACUGUUACUCUGCCGCUACUGCUGUCACUGCUACUGUUACUAUUGCUACUGUUGCUAUCACACCACCUUGCUACUGAUACUUUGCUGCAGAUACUAAGUCUUUCAGGUGUGGUUGAAUUGACAACUCAACUGCUAAUACUCGAGAAUAUUCUUUUGCUUCCCCUUGUGUCGAAUCAACAAAUUUGGGUCGAAUACUCUACCCUCGAAAACUGUUGCGAUCCCCUAUACUUGUGGGUUAUCAAGACUAUUUUCUGGCGCCGUUGACGGGGAGGCCUAGCACUAUUCUCUGAGUCACUUGGGAUUUACGUCUGCUGAUCACUAUGAGGAAUAUGAAAGAUCCAAGAACUAAAGUCUUGCCCUCAACUACGAGGACACGUAAGGAACUGCCAUCUAGCUCUGCACUUGAUUCACCUUCAGUUAUGAGUAAGUUUGGAACACCACCUCCUGUUAGAAAUUUUGAUGUGUCGCCUCUGCUUGAUGAUGCUAUCUCUGCUAUCCAUGAUGCUUGUGAUGAUGCUAUGCUUGAUACUUCUUUGCCACUAGGUGCAUUCCUUGAUGCACAAAUUGCUAGAGUUGCUGCUAGAUGUGAUGAUACUUCUGAAACCGCUGAGAUUAUUGAAGUAGAACCUGCUAUUUCACCUGUUAGAACCAGCUCUCCUAGAUAUGAAUUGCCUGAUAUGCCUGAGGGUUAUGUUAUGGAGGGAGAGAUAGCUGAGGACUUUCUUGCUUGUAAGGAUAGCUAUGAUGUUGAGAAAUUACUGCGCAAGUGGAAAGAAAAAUCUCUGAACGCUAGAAUGAAAUACGACCCGAAAUUUGCUACUUCGCCUAUCUUUGUGACCCAUAAGGAUUAUGAAUUCUCUGUCGACCCUGAGUUAAUCACUUUGGUCGAAUCUGAUCCUUUUCAUGGCUAUGAGUCUGAAACCGUUGUAGCCCAUCUUACCAAACGACACGAUAUAGCCAAGAUACUAGAAAUACUUCUGCUACAGCAACAAAAGACCUUCCCUGGCAACGGCGCCAGGAAUCCUUCUGCUACGGGCUAUGCCUAUAGGGACUUCCUUGGCAAAUAUGCAAGGGAUUCCCCCACGGCCUUGGAGCCUUGCGUUGGUGUUCCCUUGAAGCGGAAAAGGGUGAUGUAGCACAACGGCGGUAAGUAUUUCCCUCAGUUUGAGAACCAAGGUAUCAAUCCAGUAGGAUGAUCGCGUCAAGUCACAAGUACCUGGACAAACACAAAGAGCUUACACCCAACACUAUGAAUGGGUUGUCAAUCCCUUAUAAAUUGUAUGCAAAGUGAUAACUGAAAGAAAAAAGUAAACAAAGCAAAGUAAAGUGAAAGUGGAGACGAUAGUUGUGAAUAGACCCGGGGGCCGUAGUGUUCACUAGUGGCUUCUCUCAUGAAAGCAAGUAGACGGUGGGUGAACAAAUUACUGUCGAGCAAUUGAUAGAACCGCGCAAAGUCAUGACGUUAUCUAUGGCAAUGAUCAUAUCUAUAGGCAUCACNNNNNNNNNNNNNNNNNNNNNNNNNNNNNNNNNNNNNNNNNNNNNNNNNNNNNNNNNNNNNNNNNNNNNNNNNNNNNNNNNNNNNNNNNNNNNNNNNNNNNNNNNNNNNNNNNNNNNNNNNNNNNNNNNNNNNNNNNNNNNNNNNNNNNNNNNNNNNNNNNNNNNNNNNNNNNNNNNNNNNNNNNNNNNNNNNNNNNNNNNNNNNNNNNNNNNNNNNNNNNNNNNNNNNNNNNNNNNNNNNNNNNNNNNNNNNNNNNNNNNNNNNNNNNNNNNNNNNNNNNNNNNNNNNNNNNNNNNNNNNNNNNNNNNNNNNNNNNNNNNNNNNNNNNNNNNNNNNNNNNNNNNNNNNNNNNNNNNNNNNNNNNNNNNNNNNNNNNNNNNNNNNNNNNNNNNNNNNNNNNNNNNNNNNNNNNNNNNNNNNNNNNNNNNNNNNNNNNNNNNNNNNNNNNNNNNNNNNNNNNNNNNNNNNNNNNNNNNNNNNNNUGAUCACAAAUCCACAAUUCAUCGGAUCUCGACAAACACACCGCCAAAGAGGAUUACAUCGGAUAGAUCUCCAUGAAGAUCAUGGAGAACUUUGUAUUGAAGAUCCAAGAGAGAGAAGAAGCCAUCUAGCUACUAACUAUGGACCCGUAGGUCCGAAGUGGACUACUCACGAGUCAUUGGAGAGGCGAUGAUGUUGAUGUAGAAGCCGUCCAGCUCCAAAGUCCCCUCCGGCAAGGCACCGAGAAGGGUCUCCAGAUGAGAUCUCGCGGAAACGGAAGCUUGCAGCGGCGGAGAAGUGUUUUCGUGGAUUCCCCUAAUUUUUUCUGGAUUUUAGGGAAUUAAUAGGCCAAAGAGCUAGGGCAGGGGAGCGCCAAGGAGGCCACAAGCCUGGUCGCCGCGCCCCCCUUGCCGCGGCGUCAAGGCUUGUGAGCUCCCUGUGGGCUUCCUGCCUUGGCCCUCAAGUCCCCCGAUCUUCUUCUAUUCUGGAAAAAAAUAUUUCGGGGAUUUUAUUCCGUUUCGACUCCGUUCCAAAAUCAGAUCUGAAAAGAGUCAAAAACACAGAAAAAACAGGAACUGGCACUUGGCACUGAAUUAAUAAGUGAUGACCCACAAGUAUAGGGGAUCAAUCGUAGUCCUUUCGAUAAGUAAGAGUGUCGAACCCAACAAGGAGAAGAAGGCUCUGAUAAACGGUUUUCAGCAAGGUAAUAACUGCAAGCACUGAAAGUAGCGGUAACAAGUGAUGGUGUAGUGAGGUGAAACGCAGCAAGCGAAAAGUAACAAGUAACAAGUAGUAGCAACGGUGCAGCAAGUGGCCCAAUCCCUUUUGUAGCAAGGGAUAAGCCUGAACAAAGUCUUAUAAGAGGAAAAACGCUCCCGAGGACACACGGGAAUUGCUCUCAUGCUAGUUUCAUCAUGUCCAUAUGAUUCGCGUUCGUUACUUUGAUAGUUUGAUAUGUGGGUGGACCGACGCUUGGGUACUUCCCUUACUUGGACAAGCAUCCCACUUACGAUUAACCCCUCUCGCAAGCAUCCGCAACUACAAAAUAAGAAUUAAGACAACGUCUAACCAUAGCAUUAAACUAGUGGAUCCAAAUCAGCCCCUUACGAAGUAACGCAUAGACUGGGGUUUAAGCUUCUGUCACUCUAGCAACCCAUCAUCUACUUACUAAUCCCCAAUGCCUUCAGCUAGGCCCAAAUAUGGUGAAGUGUUAUGUAGUCGACGUUCACAUAACACUACUAGAGGAAAAACAACAUACAACAUAUCAAAAUACCGAACGAAUACCAAAUUCACAUGACUAUUAUCAGCAUGAUCCCAUGUCCUCAGGAACAAAAGUAACUACUCACAAAGCAUAAUCAUAAUCAUGAUCAGAGGUGUAAUGAAUAGCAUCAAGGAUCUGAACAUAAACUCUUCCACCAAGUAAUCCAACUAGCAUCAACUACAAAGAGUAAUCAACACUACUAGCAACCUUACAAGUACCAAUCAGAGUCGCGAGACGGAGAUUGGUUACAAGAGAUGAACUAGGGUUUGGAGAGGAGAUGGUGCUGAUGAAGAUGUUGAUGGAGAUGACUCCCCUCCGACGAGAGGAGUGUUGGUGAUGACGAUGGCGACGAUUUCCCCCUCCGGGAGGGAAGUUUCCCCGGCAGGAUCGUCCUGCCGGAGCUCUAGAUUGGAUCUUCUCAAGUUUCGCCUCGUGGUGGCGGAGAAUCCACGAAAAAGCUCCACCCCGAUUUUUUCUCGGAUGAAACCCUUCAUAUAGCAAAAGAGGGGGGCCAGUGGGCCACCAUAGUGCCCACAAGCCCUGUUGUCGCUGCUAGGGGGUAGGCCACGGCAACCAGGCUUGUGGGCCCCUGGUUGCUCCCCUCUGACACUUCUUUCGCCCAGUAUUUUUUAUAUAUUCCCAAAAAAAUCCAUGUUGAUUUUCAGGGCAGUUGGAAUUGAGCAGAAUAGAGGACUCAGACUUGCUCCUUUUCCAGUCCAGAAUUCCAGCUGCCGGUAUUCUCCCUCUUCAAAUAAACCUUGCAAAAUAAGUGAGAAAGGGCAUAAGUAAGGUUCCACAAAGUAUAAUCAUAGUGCAUAAAGUGAUAAAUAUCAACAUGAAAGCAUGAUGCAAAAUGGACGUAUCAACUCCCCCAAGCUUAGACCUCGCUUGUCCUCAAGCGAAAACCAAGACCCAAAACAUGUCCACAUCUUUAGGGAUGAAGGUGUCGAUAAAACAUAAUACGGACAUGAGGGCAUCAUGAUCACACAUAGAACAACAAUACAUCAUAGAGAUUCUUAUGGGAAAGUAACAAUUCCUUCACAGAGCAAAGUAUGAAACAAAAACCUUACCGAGAAGUAGCCAACAAUAGUCCAUAGUCAUUGAAGCAAUUGCAAUUUAUCAUAUUAUCAGAAAGAGUCAAAUAAGAGCUUGCAAAGCAAAUCCACAUACUCAAUCAUCUCUUUUGUUUUCCACAAUUGUUACAACUCACGUGGUACUCAUGGUAUCAAAGUUUCAGUUGGACACAAAGAAAGAUAGGGGCUUAUAGUUUUGCCUCCCAACCAUUUACCUCAAGGGUAAAGUCAACUAUAAUAAAGCAUAAGUACUCAGCUCCAAGUUGAUAUAUGAAUAUAGAUCUUUCCCAAGCAUAUGACGUUCACCAAGAAAAAGGCUAAAUAAGGAAUUGGUUAAGAUCACCAUGACUCUUACAAGGGAAAAAAGUAAAGGUACAAGAUAGGCCCUUCGUAGAGGGAAGCAGAGGUUGUCAUGCGCUUUUGAGGUUUGGAUGCGUGUCAUCUUAGUGCGGAGGAACGUUACUUUAUAUUGCCUCCUGUGAUACAGAACUUUAUUAUGCAGUGUGUCACUUUUAUGUCUUCCUCAUCACAGGUUCGUACAAAGCUUAUUUUCCACACACUAAUAGAUCAUACAUAUUAGAGAGCAAUUUUUAUUGCUUUCACCGAUGACAACUUACUUGAGGGAUCUUAUUCAAUCCAUAGGUAGGUAUGGUGGACAAUCAUGGCAAAACUGGUUUGAAGGUUUACGGAUGCACAAGUAGUAUCUCUACUUGGUGCGGGAGUUUUGGCUAAUAUGAGGUGGAAGCAAUCGUCACAUGCUAAGGGAUCUCUAAUCAUAUAACAUUGUUUGGAACCAAACAAACACAAUUCAUUAUGUUCUCUUCCUUGUCCAACAUCUACUUCUAAGCAUGUAAUAGUUUGGUGAGUGAUCACUGCUACUGCAACAAAAGACCUUCCAACGGCGCCAGAAAUACGUGCUGACGGGAGACGUCUUGAUUCUCCUCAGCAACGGCACCAGGAAUCCUUCUGCUACGGCUACGCCUUUAGGGACUUCCUAGGCAAAUAUGCAAAGGAUUUCCCCGCGGCCUUGGAGCCUUGCGUUGGUGUUCCCUCGAAGCGGAAAGGGUGAUGUAGCGCAGCGGUGGUAAGUAUAUCCCUCGGUUUUGAGAACCAAGGUAUCGAUCCAGUGAAGGAGUAUCACAUGUGCGUGCACAAACACAAAAAGCUUUCUCCCAACGCUAUGAAGGGGUUGUCAAUCCCUUAUAGAUUGUUCGCCAAGUGAGAACUGAAAGCAACAACGUAAAAAAGCAAGGUAAAAGCGAAAGUGGAAACGAUAGGUGUGAAUAGGCCCCGGGGCCGUAGUGUUUACUAGUGGCUUCUCUCAUGAAAGCAAGUAGACGGUGGGUGAACAAAUUACUGUCGAGCAAUUGAUAGAACCGCACAAAGUCGUGACGUCAUCUAUGGCAAUGAUUAUAUCUAUAGGCAUCACNCAUCUAGUGUAUUAAGUCCAAAGAACAGAGUAACGCCUUAAGCAAGAUGACAUGAUGUAGAUGGACAAUCUCAUAUCUACGACAAAGCCCACCUUGUUACCCUUGAUGGCAACUACAUGAUGUGUGCCUUGCUGCCCCUACUGUCACUCGGAAAGGUCACCACACGGUAAGAACCCAAAACCAAGCANNNNNNNNNNNNNNNNNNNNNNNNNNNNNNNNNNNNNNNNNNNNNNNNNNNNNNNNNNNNNNNNNNNNNNNNNNNNNNNNNNNNNNNNNNNNNNNNNNNNNNNNNNNNNNNNNNNNNNNNNNNNNNNNNNNNNNNNNNNNNNNNNNNNNNNNNNNNNNNNNNNNNNNNNNNNNNNNNNNNNNNNNNNNNNNNNNNNNNNNNNNNNNNNNNNNNNNNNNNNNNNNNNNNNNNNNNNNNNNNNNNNNNNNNNNNNNNNNNNNNNNNNNNNNNNNNNNNNNNNNNNNNNNNNNNNNNNNNNNNNNNNNNNNNNNNNNNNNNNNNNNNNNNNNNNNNNNNNNNNNNNNNNNNNNNNNNNNNNNNNNNNNNNNNNNNNNNNNNNNNNNNNNNNNNNAUCUAGCUACUAACUACAGACCCGUAGGUCUGAAGUGAACUACUCACGAGUCAUUGGAGGGGCGAUGAUGUUGAUGUAGAAGCCCUCCAACUCCAAAGUCCCCUCCGAUAGGGCACCGGGAAGGGUCUCCAGAUGAGAUCUCGCGGAAACGGAAGCUUGCGGCGGCGGAAAAGUAUUUUCGUGGAUCCCUUGAUUUUUUUCUGUAUUUUACGGAAUAUAUAGGCAAAGGAGCUAGGUCAGGGGGAAUCCAGGGAGGCCACAAGCCUGCUGGCAUCCGCCCCCUGGUGGCGGAUAGGGGGCUUGUGGGCCCCCUGUAGCCCUCCUGGCUUGGCCCUCAAGCCCCCUGAUCUUCUUCCGUUCGAUAAAAAUUUAUUUCGGGGAUUUUAUUCCAUUUGGACUCCGUUCCAAAAUCAGAUCUGAAAAGAGCCAAAAACACAGAAAAAACAGGAACUAGCACUUGGCAGUGAAUUAAUAAGUUAGUCCCAAAAAAGAUAUAAAAGGUACAUAAAACAUCCAAAGAUGACAAGAUAACAACAUGAAACCAUCAAAAAUUAUAGAUACGUUUGAGACGUAUCACUCACCAUUAUAGAAAGUGUCUAAGAUGAUAUAUUCAUAUGUGAACCUUUCUUUCCUUAUUACUUCUUAUUAAUUGCAACAAUGACUGAGGUCUUUGUUGGUCUACUCUCAACAAGUUUCAAUCAUCAUACUUGUUAUAUGUGAAGCUAUCACUUCCCAUAAGAUCAUCUCAUGAUCUUUCAUGCUAUCGUUCUUUUCAUACUUUUGAUCACGGCACAAAGCAAAGCCCUUGACUAAGAUACUCUUUAUUAUAUAGCUCGCAAGCUCGAAUACACCAGGGGAGACACAAGGCAAAAGACUCAAACUAAACACUAAAGACUUAAACCACUAAGAGAAGAAAUAAAACUAAAAAGGAAAGAACUAAAACAAAGGUAAAAGCAAAAGAUAUAAAGAAGAUACGAUACCAGGGCAACUCCCCCAAGCUUGGCAUAAGCCAAGGGGAUUGCCCAUACCAAUGCUUAGUUGUCUUCCUUUGGUGGUGAUGGUGGUGGAGUUGUUGAAGCAGUCUUUGCCUUUGAUUCCAAGAGAGCUAUCAAUCUUUGAUUUAUACCUUUGAGAUUUGCGACAUGGUUUUCCAGCAAAACAACUUCACGAGAAAGGGAAAUAUUGCGAGCACGAGUUGUUUCACAAAACCUCAAGAGUUCAAUCAAGGAUGGGGACAGCACGUGGAGGAAGGGUUGGAGAAAAUCUACUCCUUCAAUGUCUUCAAUGUUGAACAUAGGUUGAACUUCCUCCCUAGCUUGGGUUUUCUCCUUAGUUUUGUCCCUGGCUUCCGUGACUUCUACUCUUUUCCGAUCAGCAUCUACUUCCUCAUGAACUUGAGGGAGAUUAUUCUCCCCAACAGAUUCCUGAGACAUCUUUGCUCUAAAUCUGCGGCAGACAACAGGCUCGAAGCGAAAACAGAGGAAAACUGCACGAUACGGAGAUCAAAACCCUCGGGCGUAUAUAUAAUGAUUUUUUCUGGACCAGAAGGAGUGCUCCACAAGAAAACGGAGCCCGGGAGGCACAUGAGGUGACCACAAGCCCUGUUGCCACGGCUAGGGGGAGGCCGCGGCAACCAAGCCUGUGGCCGCCUCGUGCGCUCUCCGGACUGCUUUUUAUUUUUCUAAUUUUCCAUAAAUUCCAAAACGGAGAAAAUUUCCUAUUGGAAAAGUUCCGGAGUCCAAUUACUUAUCGAAACAGAUACCUCUUCGUUUUCAGGGUCUGAAACAGGCUGAUAAACAUCCCUUAUGUACUCCUCUGGAGUUAUGAUAUUGAUGAUAUUGGUCUCAACAUUUAUGGGAGUACCAGAGAUGUAAUGCUUGAUUCUUUGCCCAUUUACCACUCUAGGAAAAUUACCUUCCGUGUUAUUGGAUUUGAUGGCACCGGAACGAUAUACUUCCUCGACAACGUAGGGACCUUCCCAUUUAGAGAGAAGCUUGCCUGCGAAGAAUCUUAAACGAGAAUUGUAUAGCAGGACAUAAUCACCUACAUUGAACUCUCGUUUUUUGUAUUCUUUUGUCGUGCCAUCUCUUAACCUUUUCCUUGAACAACUUGGCAUUCUCAUAUGCAUGGGCCCUCCAUUCAUCUAAUGAGCUGAUAUCAAACAACCGCUUCUCACCGGCAAGUUUGAAAUCGAAGUUGAGCUCUUUCAUUGCCCAAUAAGCUUUGUGUUCCAGCUCAAGAGGUAAAUGACAGGCCUUACCGUAAACCAUUUUAUACGGCGACAUGCCCAUGGGAUUCUUAUAAGCAGUCCUAUAAGCCUAUAGUGCGUCUUCAAGUUUGCUAGACCAAUUCUUUGGAGAUCUAUUGACGGUCUUUUGUAAGAUCAAUUUGAUCUCUCUAUUACUCAACUCCACUUGACCACUAGACUGAGGAUGAUAAGGAGAUGCAACUCUAUGGUUGACAUCGUACUUAGCGAGCAUCUUGCGGAAAACACCAUGAAUGAAGGGUGAACCGCCAUCAGUCAUCAGAUAUCUAGGGACUCCAAAUCUUGGGAAAAUGACCUCUUUAAGCAUCUUAAUUGAGGUGUGGUGAUCAGCAUUUCUAGUGGGGAUAGCUUCCACCCACUUAGUGACAUAAUCCAUAGCAACUAAGAUGUGAGUAUACCCAUUGGAACUCGGGAAAGGUCCCAUAUAAUCAAAGCCACAGACAUCAAAUGGUUGAAUGACAAGUGAAUAGUUCAUAGGCAUUUCCUGACGCUUACUGAUGUUCACUAUUCUUUGGCAUUCGUCACAAGACAAGGCAAACUUACGGGCAUCCUUGAAGAGAGUGGGCCAAUAGAAACCUGAUUGCAAUACCUUAUGAGCAGUUUUGUCUCCAGCAUGGUGUCCUCCGUAGGCUUCGGAAUGACACUUCUGCAUGAUUUGUCCCUGUUCAUGUUCAGUCACACAACGUCUAAUAACACCAUCUACUCCUUCCUUAUAAAGGUGAGGAUCAUCCCAGAAGUAGUGUCUCAAAUCAAAGAAGAAUUUCUUCUUUUGCUGGUAGGUGAAACUCGGUGGUAUGUAUUUGGCUACGAUAUAGUUUGCGUAAUCAGCAUACGACGGUGCACUAUGUGAAGUGCGGAUGACAUUCAGUUGUCCAUCAAGAAAGUUGUCAUCAAUAGGUCGUGGGUCAUCAAGGACAUUCUCUAGCCUAGACAAGUUAUCUGCUACAGGGUUAUCGGCACCCUUUCGGUCAACAACGUGCAAAUCAAAUUCCUGUAGCAGGAGAACCCAUCUGAUUAGUCUAGGCUUAUAGUCCUUCUUCUCCAUAAGGUACUUAAUAGCAGCAUGAUCAGAGUGAAUAGUGACUUUAGAUUCAACUAUAUAAGAUGUGAACUUUUCACAUGCAAACACGACUGCUAAAAACUCCUUCGUAGUGGCGUAGUUUCUUUGGGCACUGUCUAGAGUUUUACUAGCGUAGUGAAUGACAUUCAACUUCUUGUCAACUCUUUGUCCUAGGACAACACCAACAACAUAAUCACUAGCAUCGCACAUGAUUUCAAAGGGCAAGUUCCGAUCAGGUGGUUGAACAAUAGGUGCGGUUAUCAAGGCCUUCUUAAGUAUUUCAAAAGCUUCCUCACAAUCCUCAUCGAAAACAAAAUGAACAUCCUUCUGCAAGAGGUUGGUAAGAGGCCUAGAAAUCUUAGAGAAGUCUUUAAUGAACCUUCUAUAGAAACCAACAUGACCUAGGAAACUUAUUAUACCUCUGAUAUCUGUGGCGCAAGGCAUUUUCUCAAUUGCAUAAACCUUAGCCUUAUCAACUUCGAUGCCUUUCUCAGAGAUUUUGUGUCCUAAGACGAUGCCUUCAUUAACCAUGAAGUGGCACUUCUCCCAGUUCAAGACGAGGUUGGUAUCUUUGCAUCUCUGUAAGACUCGAUCAAGGUUGCUGAGGCAAUCGUCAAAGGAAGAACCGUAGACGGAGAAAUCAUCCAUGAAAACCUCAACAAUCUUUUCAUAAAAGUUAGAGAAUAUAACCAUCAUACAUCUUUGAAAGGUGGCAGGUGCAUUGCACAAGCCAAAAGGCAUACGUCUAUAAGCAAAGGUACCGAAGGGGCAUGUGAAGGUGGUUUUCUCUUGAUCAGAUUGUGCAACACGUAUUUGCGAGAAACCUGAAUAACCGUCUAGAAAGCAGAAGUGUGUUUGUGUGUUUAGAUAGCCUUUCUAGCAUCUGGUCGAUAAACGGCAAAGGAUAAUGGUCUUUCCUGGUUGCCUUGUUCAGUUUCCGGAAGUCUAUCACCAUCCUAUAGCCAGUAAUAAUCCUCUGUGGGAUUAGUUCAUUCUUAUCAUUAGGAACGACGGGGAUACCUCCCUUCUUAGGUACGCAAUGUACUGGGCUUACCCAAUCACUAUGAGCAACAGGAUAGAUGAUUCCUGCUUUCAGAAGCUUUAAUAUUUCUUUUCUCACGACCUCUUUCAUCCUCGGAUUUAGUCUCCAUUGAUGAUCAACAAUUGGCUUAGAAUCAGGAUCGGUUUUAAUCUUGUACUGACAUAGAGUGGGACUAAUACCCUUAAGAUCAUCAAGAGUAUAUCCAAUAGCAGCACGGUGCUUCCUCAAAGUUUUUAAUAACUGCUUCUCUUCGUGAUUCGAGAGGUGAGCACUAAUAAUAACAUGAUAUAUCUCCUUCUCAUCAAGAUAUGCAUACUUAAGAGUAUCUGGUAACUGUUUUAGCUCGAACAUAGGAUCACCCUUUGGUGGGGGAGGAUCUCCAAGCAGUUCAACAGGCAGAUUAUUCUUGAGAAUAGGAUAUUGUUCUAAGACAAUUUUAUCUAUCUCAUCUCUUUCAUCCAUAUGCAUAUCAUUUUCAUGCUCAAGCAGAUAUUGCUCUAAAGGAUCCGUAUGAGGUACGGCAAUAGAGGCAAGAGCAAUGAUUUCAUCCCUACCAGACGACUCUUUUUCAUGGGAUUGUCUUCCAAACUUGAAGAAGUUGAAUACAUGAGACACACCCUCGAAACUAAUAGUGACAGUCUGUUUAAUGCAAUCAAUGUGAGCAUUGACAGUGUUGAGAAAGGGUCUACCAAAUAUGAUGGGACAAAAGCUAUCUUGUGCAGUAGCAAGGAUGAGGAAAUCAGUAGGAUACUUUGGCUUACCACACAUGACUUCUACGUCUCUCACAAUUCCCAAAGGGCAGAUAGUGUCUCUAUUAGCUAGCGUAAUAGUGACAUCAAUGGGUUCUAACUCAGCAGGUGCAAUCUCAUCUUUGAUUUCAUCAUAUAGGGACCGGGGUAUUGCACUAACACUAGCACCCAUAUAACAUAAACCAUGAUAACACCGAUCUCCUAUCUUGACAGAAACAAUGGGCAGGCCAACUACAGGUCCGUAUUUGUCUUUCGCGUGAGGUUUAGCUAUUCUAGCGGAGUCCUCACGGAAUUUGAUAACAUGCCCGUCUAUGUCUUCGGAUAAGAGAUCUUUGAUAAUAGAAACAUUGGGUUCAACUAUAAUUUCCUCAGGGGUUGCAAGUGGUCUAAUGUAACCCCUACGUAUCACAGUUGGAGCUUUAGAAUAAUCCUUUUUCCUAGCAGGGUAAGGUGGUUUCUUAGCAUAGGCACAAGGAACAAUAGGAUCACUAAAGGCAAUGACUUUCUCUUCAACUAGAUUGGGUUUAACUAUGUUGAUUUCUAUAGGAGGAUGAUACUUAAACCACUUCUCUUUGGGAAGAUCAACAUGAGCAGCAAAAGAUUCACAUAGAGAAGCUACUAUCUCAGAGAAGUCCAUACUUAGCGCUAAAAUCUCUAGAAGUGUUUGUUUCAACAAAAGAUUUAACGCAAUCAAACUGGAAAUUCAUACCUGACUCCUUACCUUCUUCGAGCUCCCAAUCUUCAGAAUUACGUUUGAUUCUUUCCAAUAAAUUCCACUUGUGGUCAAUAUCCUUCUUCAUAAAAGAACCGGUACAAGAAGUGUCAAGCAUGGUACGAUCUUCAUGAGAAAGCCGAGCAUAAAAGUUUUGAGUGAUAAUUUCUCUCAAGAGUUCAUGAUUGGGGCAUGAAUAUAGCAUUGAUUUAAGCCUCCCCCAAGCUUGAGCUAUGCAUUCCCUGUCACGAGGCCAAAAGUUAUAAAUAUAAUUCCGAUGACGAUGUACUAAAUGCAUAGGAUAAAUUUUUUGAUGAAAUUCCAAUUUCAACCGAUUUUAGUCCCAUGAUCCAGUAUCAUCACAUAGCCUAUACCAUGUCAACGCCUUAUCCUUCAAAGAUAAAGGAAAUACUUUUUUCUUUACCUCAUCCUCGAGCAAACCUGCAUGCUUAAAUAAACCACAAACUUCAUCUACAUAGAUCAGAUGCAAGUCUGGAUGGGAUGAUCCACCUCUUGUAAAAGGAUUAGCCAGCAAUUUCUCAAGCAUACCCGAAGGAAUUUCAUAAAAGAUAUUUUCAGUUGGUACCUCAGGUUGAGGAACAACUCCUCGUGCUUCCGUUCGUGGUGAAGAUACCCCGAACAAACUCCUCAAAGGAACAGUUUCUAUAGUGACAAGUGACAAUAAAUUUCAGCACAGUAUAUAAAUGUUUCCUUACCAAAUUCCACUUACCAAAGACGCUUCACUCCCCGGCAACGGCGCCAGAAAAGAUUCUUGAUGACCCACAAGUAUAGGGGAUCAAUCAUAGUCCUUUCUAUAAGUAAGAGUGUCGAACCCAACAAGGAGAAAAAGGCUCUGAUAAACGGUUUUCAGCAAGGUAAUAACUGCAAGCACUGAAAGUAGCGGUAACAAGUGAUGGUGUAGUGAGGUGAAACGUAGCAAGCGAAAAGUAACAAGUAACAAGUAGUAGAAACGGUGCAGCAAGUGGCCCAAUCCCUUUUGUAGCAAGGGACAAGCCUGAACAAAGUCUUAUAAGAGGAAAAACGCUCCCGAGGACACACGGGAAUUUGUGUCAUGCUAGUUUCAUCAUGUUCAUAUGAUUCGUGUUCGUUACUUUGAUAGUUUGAUAUGUGGGUGGACCGGCGCUUGGGUACUGCCCUUACUUGGACAAGCAUACCACUUAUGAUUAACCCCUCUCGCAAGCUUCCGCAACUACGAAAUAAGAAUUAAGACAACGUUUAACCAUAGCAUUAAACUAGUGGAUCCAAAUCAGCCCCUUACGAAGCAACGCAUAGACUGGGGUUUAAGCUUCUGUCACUCUAGCAACCCAUCAUCUACUUACUACUCCCCAAUGCCUCCCUCUAGGCUGAAAUAUGGUUAAGUGUUAUGUAGUCUACGUUCACAUAACACAACUAGAGGAAAAACAACAUACAACAUAUCAAAAUACCGAACGAAUACCAAAUUCACAUGACUAUUAUCAGCAUGACUUAUCCCAUGUCCUCAGGAACAAAAGUAACUACUCACAAAGCAUAAUCAUAAUCAUGAUCAGAGGUGUAAUGAAUAGAAUCAAGGAUCUGAACAUAAACUCUUCCACCAAGUAAUCCAACUAGCAUCAACUACAAAGAGUAAUCAACACUACUAGCAACCUUACAAGUACCAAUCAGAGUCGCGAGACGGAGAUUGGUUACAAGAGAUGAACUAGGGUUUGGAGAGGAGAUGGUGCUGAUGAAGAUGUUGAUGGAGAUGACUCCCCUCCGACGAGAGGAGUGUUGGUGAUGACGAUGGCAACGAUUUCCCCCUCCGGGAGGGAAGUUUCCCCGGCAGGAUCGUCCUGCCGGAGCUCUAGAUUGGAUCUGCUCAAGUUCCGCCUCGUGGCGGCGGAGAAUCCACGAAAAAGCUCCACCCCGACUUUUUUCUCGGACGAAACCCUUCAUAUAGCAAAAGAGGGGGGGGGGGGGCAGUGGGCCACCAGGGUGCCCACAAGCCCUGUUGCCGCGGCUAGGGGGUAGGUCACGUCAACCAUGCUUGUGGGCCUAUGGUUGCUCCCUUGUGACACUUCUUUCGCCCAGUAUUUUUUAUAUAUUCCCAAAAAAUCCACGUUGAUUUGCAGGGCAUUUGGAGUUGCGCAGAAUAGAGGACUCGGACUUUCUCCUUUUCCAGUACAGAAUUCCAGUUGCCGGUAUUCUCCCUCUUCAAAUAAACGUUGCUAAAUAAGAGAGAAAAGGCAUAAGUAAGGUUCCACAAAGUAUAAUAACAGUCCAUAAAGCGAUAAAUAUCCACAUGAAAGCAUGAUGCAAAAUGGACGUAUCAAUAAGUUAGUCCCAAAAAAAGAUAUAAAAGGUAUAUAAAACAUCCAAAGUUGACAAGAUAACAGCAUGAAACCAUCAAAAAUUAUAGAUACGUUUGAGACGUAUCAAGCAUCCCCAAGCUUAACUCCUGCUCGUCCUCGAGUAGGGAAGUGAUAAAGAAUGAAUUUUUGAUGCUUUCAUGCUACCUAGCAUAGAUGUCCUUUGUAACUCCUCUUAUGUGACGUGAAUGUUCAGAUCCAUUAGAUUCAACACAAUAGUUAGCUAUUGACGUGUAGACAAUAAUACUUCAAGCAAACUGGCAAGGUAAUCAUGAACUUUCAAAAUAACAAGGCCAAAAGAAAGUUAUCCCUACAAAAUCAUAUAGUCUGGCUAUGCUCUAUCAUCCUUGCACAACGAAUUUAAAUCAUGCACAACCUCGGUAUUGGCCAAGUAAUUGUUUUCACACUUUUACUUUCUCAAACUUUUGAACUCUCAUGCAAUACAUGAGCGUGAGCCAUGGUUUUAGCACUAUAAGUGGAAUGGAGUGUGGUGGAGGUUGCAAGGCAAACAAGGAGAAGAUGGUCACAUUGACUAGGCAUAUCAACGAGCUAUGGAGAUUCUCAUCAAUAGAUAUCAACGUGAAUGAGUAGGGAUUUCCAUACAAAUGAUGCACUAGAGCUAAGAGUAUGUGAAAGCUCUUAAAGAAAACUAGUGGGUGUGCAUCCAACUUGCUUGCUCACGAAGACCUAAGGCAAUUUUGAGGAAGCCUAUCAUUGGAAUAUACAAGCCAAGUUAUAUAAUGAAAAUUUCCCACUAGCUAUAUGGUGGUGACAAAAUGAGAGACUCUCAAUCGUGAAGAUCAUGGUGCUUAAUAAGCACAAGUGUGGAAAGAUAGUAGCACUGUCCCUUGUCUCUUUUUCUCUCAUUUUUCUUGGUGGGCUCUUUGGCCUCUCUUUUUUGGUGGGCAUCUUUGGCCUCUUUUUCUAAAUGGGAUUCGCUGGCCUCUUUUAUUUCCUCACAUGGGACAAUGCUCCAUCAAUGAUGAUCAUCACACUUACAACUCAAAACUUAGAGCAAUGAUGACUCUAUCUGGAAUGCCUUCGGCAGUGUACCGUGACGAUGAUCUAGCAUGUCAUAGACAUUAAUGGAAACAUCAUGCUAGCUAUCUUAUGAUCAUGCAAUGGCAAUGUAGAAGUGGUGGCACAUGUCAUGGUGGUAGUUGCAUGGCAAUAUAUCUCGGAAUGGCUUUGAAAAAGCCAUAGUAGGUAGGUAUGGUGGCUGUUUUGAGGGAGGCUAAUGGUGGGUUUUGUGCACCGGCGAAAGUCGCACGACACUAAAGAAGACAGUGAUGGUGAAAGGUGAAAGUGCAUCUAAACCAUGGGCUCAACAUUAGUCAUGAAGAACUCAUAUACUUGUUGCAAAAGUUUUUGUAGUAAUCGAAACAAAGCAUUCAACGCAUACUCCUAGGGGAAGGGUUGGUAGGUAUAAACCAUCGCGCGAUCCCGACCGCCACACAAAGGAUGACAAUCAAUAGACUAAUCAUGCUCAGAAUUCAUCACAUAGCGGUUCACCAUACGUGCAUGCUAUGGGAAUCACUAACUUCAACACAAGUAUUUCUAGAUCCACAACACCUUACUAGUAUAACUUCAAUAUUACCACAACCACAACUCGAAACUAAUUGAGAUGAAUCAAACUUAUCUAACUAUUCAAUGCACAUGAAGGUGGAAGUUUUCAUAUCCCUUUGGAUAACUACCCCUUUUGAGACUACUCUUAUAGCAUAGAUCAACUACCACGCCACGCGCUUCCGUGCUCUAAAAGAUAGAAGUGAAACACACAGAGCAAAAUCAACUACCUCAAAAGAUAUAAGUGAAACACAUGUGAGCUGAAUUAUCUAACAAAAGGAUAUAAGUGAAGCUCGACAAAAUCAUGGUGAGUGCAUGUCUCUCUCUCUAGGUGUGCAGAAAGUAAGAUUGUGACAAAACAAAAAUAAAAGACUCCUACGAUACAAUAUGCUCCAAGCAGAACACAUAACAUGUGGUGAAUAAAAAUAUAGCCCCAAGUAACGUUACCGAUGGAUUGAAGGCGAAAGAGGGGAUGCCUUCCCGGGGCAUCCCCAAUCUUUGGCUUUUACGGCAUCCUUGAAUCAACUUGGGGUGCCUUGGUCAUCCCCAAUCUUGAGCUCUUGCCACUCUUUAUCUUUUUGUCCAUAAGAACUUCACCCAAAACUUGAAAACUUCACAACACGAAACUUAAACAGAAACUCGUGAUAACAUUAGUAUAAGAAAGCAAACCACCACUUCCUUAGGUACUGUAGAAAACUUAAAUUCUAAUUAUGCUGAUGUUGGGUUACUGUAUUUUCAAUCUUCCAUGGAUAAUACCCCCCGAUACUAUCCAUAGUUUCAUCAAAAUAAGCAACCAACUCGACAAAAACAGAAUCUGUUAACAGCAGACCAGUCUGUAGCAAUCUGUAUACUUCGUAUACUUAUGUUACUUCAAAAAUUUGGAAAACUUACGACAGUCUGAAGAAUUUUCGUAGCAAUCAGCAGAAAAAAGAAUCAACUCAAAAGCUCUCACAGAAAAAAAAAAAUGAAAAUUCUUUUCGUGAGCAGAAAGUUUCUGUCUUUUCCAGCAUGACCACCACGAUCAUCCCCAAGACUAAUCAUAACGGUUUUACUUGGCACAAACGCAAAAGAAACACAAAAAACACAAUCAUAACAGAAUUAUGAAAGUGUGGAAAACAAAAAACAGAAAGAAAAAGGAUAGAUUCGUUGGGUUGCCUCCCAACAAGCGCUAUUGUUUAACGCCCUUAGCUAGGCAUAAGGUGAUGGAAUCACGUAUAGUCAUCUUUGGUGCUCAAACCAUAAGUAGCCCUCAUCAUAGAUUCAUAAGGCAAUCUUAUUUUCUUUCUAGGAAAAUGCUCCAUGCCCUUAUUUAGAGGAAAUUGAAAUCUAAUAUUCCCUUCCUUCAUAUCGAUGAUAGCACCAAUAGUCCUUAGGAAAGGUCUACCAAGAAUAAUGGGACAUGAAGGAUUGCAAUCUAUGUCAAGUACAAUGAAAUCCACGGGUACAUAGUUCUUAUUUGCAACAAUAAGAACAUCAUCGAUCCUUCCCAUGGGUUUCUUGAUAGUAGAAUCCGCAAGAUGCAAAUUAAGAGAACACUCUUCAAUCUCAUGAAAACCAAGAAUAUCACAUAAAGACUUUGGAAUCGCGGAAACACUAGCACCCAAAUCACACAAAGCAUUGCAUUCAUAGUUUUUGAUUUUGAUUUUGAUAGUAGGUUCCCACUCAUCAUGAAGUGUUCUAGGUAUAGAGACUUCUAAUUCGAGUUUCUCUUCAGGAGAUUUCAUCAUAGCAUCUAUGAUAUGAGCGGUAAAGGCUUUGCUUUGGCUAUAAGCAUGUGGAGAGUUUGCAAUGGAUUGCAUCAAGGAAAUGCAUUCAAACAAGGAGCAACUAUCAUAAUUGAACUCCUUGAAAUCCAAAGUGGGAGUUUCAUUACUACCCAAUAUUUUGAUUUCUUCUACUCCACUCUCCACACCUUUAUCAUCAAGAUAGGUGGACUCUAUAUCAUUGGGCGUUUUUCAACCAAAGUAGAUUCAUAUCCAGCCCCUUCAUCAAUAGGUUUGACAUGCGAAAACAAAGAUUCAAGAGGAGUCACACCAAGCACUUUAAGAUCUUCGUGAUUUGCAUCACCAAUUUCAAGUUUAGGUGCCAUCUUAUUGACUAAGGUAGCCUGCUUGUCAGAUAUUUGGCCCACCAAUUUUUCAAGGUGAGCAAGCUGAGAAUUUAGUGCAAGGAAUUCUUUGCCCAUAUCAUCAACUUCUUUAUUCAAACGGGCCAUAAAAGAAUUUUGCUCUUUUAAUUCCCUAUGGAAGUAACUAUUUUGGUCAAACUGAGAAGACAUGAAACCUUUGACACUAGUUUCAAUCUCUUCCAACCUUCUGAAAUAGUUUGGUUUGGCCAUGAGGAAAGGUCUCUCACUAACAAGCCCAAGGGAAAGCGAGGAAAACGGGCGCAAAAAGAAGGCAAAAGACGAAAGAAAACAGCAAAGGAGAAAGGCAAAUGAAAACGGCAAAUUUGAAGUGGGGGAGAGGAAAACGAGAGGCAAUUCGCAAAAAAGGUAAAUGCAAGAGAUGAGUUUGUGACACCUACUUGGAUAGAUCUUGACUUGAUCUCUCCCCAGCAACGGUGCCAGAAAUAGGCGUGUUGACGGGAGAGUAUUCUUGUCUUGCUACUCCUCGGCAAGCGAUCCUCCCCGGCAACGGCGCCAGAAAUACUUCUACUACGGCAACAAAAGACCUUCCCUCGCAACGGCGCCAGGAAUCCUUCUGCUACGGGCUACGCCUAUAGGGACUUCCUUGGCAAAUAUGCAAAGGAUUCCCCCGCGGCCUUGGAGCCUUGCGUUGGUGUUCCCUUGAAGCGGAAAGGGGAUGUAGCAUAGCGGAGGUAAGUAUUUCCUUAGUUUGAGAACCAAGGUAUCAAUCCAGUAGGAGGAUCGCGUCAAGUCACAAGUACCUGCACAAACACAAAGAGCUUGCACCCAACGCUAUGAAGGGGUUGUCAAUCCCUUAUAGAUUGUUUGCAAAGUGAGAACUGAAAGCAAAAAGUAAACAAAGCAAAGUAAAAGUGAAAGUGGAGACGAUAGUUGUGAAUAGACCCGGGGGCCAUAGUGUUCACUAGUGGCUUCUCUCAUGAAAGCAAGUAGACGGUGGGUGAACGAAUUACUGUCGAGCAAUUGAUAGAACCGCGCAAAGUCAUGAAGUUAUCUAUGGCAAUGAUCAUAUCUAUAGGCAUCACGUCCAAAACAAGUAGACCGAUACUUUCUACAUCUACUACUAUUAAUCCACACGUUGACCGCUAUCCAGCAUGCAUCUAGUGUAUUAAGUUCAAAAGAACAGAGUAACGCCUUAAGCAAGAUGACAUGAUGUAGAUGGACAAUCUCAAAUCUAUGAUGAAAGCCCAUCUUGUUACCCUUGAUGGCAACAACACGAUGCAUGCCUUGCUGCUCCUUCUGUCACUGGGAAAGGUCACCGCACGGUAUGAACCCAAAACCAAGCUCUUCUCCCAUUGCAGGAAUCAUAGAUCUAGUUGGACAAACAAAACCCAAGACUCGAAGAGACUUACAAGGAUAUCAAAUCAUGCAUAUAAGAAAUCAAGAAAGACUCAAAUAUAAUUCAUUGAUAAUCUGAUCCCAAAUCCACAAUUCAUCGGAUCUCGACAAACACACCGCCAAAGAGGAUUACACCGGAUAGAUCUCCAUGAAGAUCAUGGAGAACUUUGUAUUGAAGAUCCAAGAGAGAGAAGAAGCCAUCUAGCUACUAACUACGGACCCGUAGGUCUGAAGUGAACUACUCACGAGUCAUUGGAGAGGCGAUGAUGUUGAUGUAGAAGCCCUCCAGCUCCAAAGUCCCCUCCGGCAGGGCACCGAGAAGGGUCUCCAGAUUAGAUCUCGCGGAAACGGAAGCUUGCGGCGGCAGAAAAGUGUUUUCGUGGAUGCCCUGAUUAUUUCUGGGAUUUUAGGGAAUUUAUAGGCCAAAGAGCUAGGGCAGGGGAGCGCCAGGGAGGCCACAAGCCUGGUCACCGUGGGCCCCCCCUGGCCGCGACGUUAGGGCUUGUGGGCUCCCUGUGGGCCUCCUGCCUUGGCCCUCAAGUCCCCCGAUCUUCUUCUGUUCUGGAAAAAAUUAUUUCGGGGAUUUUAUACCGUUUGGACUCCGUUCCAAAAUCAGAUCUGAAAAGAGUCAAAAACACAGAAAAAACAGGAACUCACACUUGGCAUUGAAUUAAUAAGUUAGUCGCAAAAAAAAUAUAAAAGGUAUAUAAAACAUCCAAAGUUGACAAGAUAACAGCAUGAAACCAUCAAAAAUUAUAGAUACAUUUGAGACAUAUCAAGCCACCCUAUUCACGAGUGAGGAAAAGAUCCGCCACUACUAUAUCCUGAAGUUGUUUCCUUUCUCGCUAAAGUAUGAUGCUAAGACUUGGUUCACUUCUCUUGCUCCUGGUUGUGUGCGUAGCCCCCAGGAUAUGAUCUACUACUCUGAGAAAUAUUUUCCUGCCCAUAAGAAGCAAGCUGCCUUGCAGGAAAUAUACAACUUUGCGCAAGUUGAAGAAGAGAGUCUCCCACAAGCUUGGGGGAGGCUCGUCCAGCUGUUGAAUGCUUUGCGUGAUCACCCUCUUGAGAAGAAUUAAAUACUUGAUAUCUUCUAUAAUGGACUAACCGAUGCUUCUAAAGACCACCUAGAUAGUUGUGCCCGUUGUGUUUUUAGGGAACGAACUGUAGAACAAGCUGAGAUCCUGUUGAAUAAUAUCUUGUGCAAUGAGAAUGCUUGGACUAUUCCCGAACCACCUCCGAAGCCAACUCCUAAGAAAAGAGGUAUUCUAUUCCUCAGUCCUGAAGAUAUGCAAGAAGCUAAGAAAUCUAUGAAAGAUAAAGGCAUUAAGUCUGAAUAUGUAAAAAAUCUACCACCUAUCGAAGAGAUCCAUGGUCUUGAUAACCCGAUACAGGUAGUAGAGGUAAAUUCUCUUCGUAGAUUCAAUGAGAGUGAUAUUCCUUUUGAUAAACCUGCUAGCUUAUGCCUGGAUGAAUUUGAUAACUUUUUUGCCAAACAAGAGAGUUUCAAUUAUUAUGUUAGCAGACAAUUGGAACAGAAUGCUCGCAUGCUUAGUCAUUUAAGUGCUUGUGUGGACAGAAAUGUCAAUGUUCUUAAGCUCUUGAGUAAACAUGCCUCUAUGGUUACUACUCAGGUAGAACAAGUGCUUAAGGCUCAAAAUGACUUGCUCAAUGAGUUGAAUGACAAUUCUGUCAGAGUCGUCACUAGAGACGGUAGAAUGACCCAGGAACCUUUAUAUCCUCAGGGUCAUCCUAAGAGAAUUGAACAAGAUUCUCAAGGAGUUAGCACUGAUGCACCUAGUCAUCCUAGGAAGAAGAAGAAAGAUGAUAGGAACUUGCACGCUAGCAACCCUGAUGCUUUUAGACCCGAGAAUCCAAACGAUAUCUCUGUUUCUGAUGCUGAAACACAAUCAGGUGAUGAACAUGAUCCCAAUGAUAAUAUCGAUAAUGAUGCUCAUGAAGAUGCUCAACCUAGCAAUGAUAAGGAUGUGGAGAAUGAACUUGUUGAUCUUGAUAACCCACAACCUAAGAAUAGAAGACACGACAAGAACGACUUUAUUGCUAGGAAGCAUGGUAAAGAAAGGGAACCAUGGGUUCAGGAACCCAUGACCUUUCCUCCCAAACCAUCCAAGAAAAAGGAUGAUGAGGAUUUUGAGCGAUUUGUUAAAAUGAUUAGACCUGUCUUUCUGCAAAUGCGUUUGACAGAUAUGCUCAAAAUGUCUCCGUAUGCUAAGUAUAUGAAGGAUAUUGUGACUAAUAAGAGGAGGAUACCUGAGGUUGAGAUUUCCACCAUGCUCGCUAAUUAUACCUUCAAGGGUGGAACUCCUAAGAAACUAGGUGAUCGCGGAGUGCCCACUAUACCUUGCUCCAUUAAAGGCAACUACGUUAGAACUGCUUUAUGCGACCUUGGAGCCGGUGUUAGUGUUAUGCCUCUCUCUCUUUAUCGCAGACUUGAAUUGGACAAGUUGACACCCACUGAAAUCUCUCUGCAAAUGGUCGACAAAUCAACUGCUUUCCCUAUCGACAUUUGCGAGGAUGUGCCUGUUGUGGUUGCUAAUGUUACUAUCUUAACAGACUUGGUUAUCCUGGAUAUUCCCGAGGAUGAUGCCAUGACGGUCAUCCUUGGAAGAAACUUUUUAAACACUGCAGGGGCUGUUAUUGAUUGCAACAAAGGCAAUGUCACUUUCCAUGUUAAUGGUAAUGAGCAUACGGUGCACUUUCCGAAGAAACAAUAUCGAGUACAUUGCAUCAAUGCUAUUGAAAAAACUUCAUCGAUUCUUAUUGGGAGCUUUGAAUGCCCUAUACCUACUGUUAAGAUGAAGUAUGAGUUGCUUGUUGGGAUAUGCACAUCCCCAUUGAGGUAACCUAGUGACUACUCGAAAAUUCUCCGUUCCUUUUUAUGCGAUUCAAAAAAGUUUGUCAUGGAGACUUGAUCAACCUCAUUGACGGAUUUCUUUCGAUGACCAUGGGAUGGAUGAAUCGAGGAGUCACAACCCUCUCUUUCAAGCUUUUACCUUCGGUUGCUUAGAAGAAAAAUGAUAGAUUUAGCUUUAGUUUUCCCUGUUUUCUGCUUUUAGCGUCCCGUAGAAAAGUCUCCCAAAAAUAAAAGUUCUCCGAAUGCCCUGAAAAUCAAGUAUGAUUUUUUUGGAAUUUUUGAAAAAUUCUGAGACGGAGAGCUAGUCAGGGGGAUGCAUCAGUGGGCCACAAGCCCUGGAGGCGCGGGCACCCCCCUGGACGCGCCUACCAGGCUUGUGGGGCCCAUAUGUCCCCCCUCCACUUAUUCCAGCUCACAUCUCCUUCUCCUACCUCCAGAAAAAAUCGUUUCGCAGCUCAAACCCGUGUUCUUGCUCUUCUUGAUGCAAUUUUCAAUCUCCUUGUGCAAAGCCCCAUUCACCAAACUGUUUUGGGGAAAUUGCUCCUUGGUAUGUGACUCCUCCAUUCGUCCAAUUAGUUUUUUCUCUAGUGCCUUAUUCGUUGCGUAUUUUUUCUGCCUUGGUGACCCUGUUCUUGAGCUUUGCAUGCUAAUUUUAGCUGGUCCCAAGUAGUUUUGAUGCGUGAUAUGGCCUCUAGGCACUUGUCGGAGUAGUUGCUAUGAUUUUCGUUGAGCCUUGUUCACUUUUCCUUUGAGUUACUGAAAAAUUUCAGAAAAGGAAGAUGUUUAGGAGAAACUAUCAUGGUGGUUCCUCAAGCAAGAAGGGUCCCCGUCUCGCGAUUCGGGAGCCCGAUCCUUACGAACAGAGGAACGCACAGGUACAACCAUGUGAAUGGCCUUCUGAUGAAUUCAUGAUUGAGGCAGGUUUCAAAGACGAGUUUGAUACACUUGUUCACAACGUCGGACUCGAAGAAUUCAUCUCCGAUAAAUGUGAACAGUAUGCUACUCUCACUACCUCUUUUGUUCGUAGAUUCAAAUUUUCAGCUGGCCGUGAUACAUCUGUACUGUUUGAUCUCUAUGACAAAUCGUAUACCAUGGAUUUAGAGGAUUUCAAUAGAAUUUGCAAAAUACCUGAUUGGGGUAGUCUCAAUGAUCCUCCUAAAUCUUCGGUUAGAGAUUUUUUAUCUAGUAUAACUGUUGGAGAAACUAGAGAUAUUACGCAGGCUACCAUGGGGAGCAUUCAUUUUCCUACCUUGCAUUACUUUGCCCUCUUCAUAGGUAGAUGCAUUAACGGCAAGAUUGAGCAUUGUCACCUCUGCGCACCCGACCUUAGUAUUCUUAAGAGCGCAGUAACGGGUGAUAGAAGUUUCAACAUGGGAGUUAUAAUAGCGAGGAGGCUGAAUAAUAAUGCUAAUGAAGGGGAUUACUUUGGUGGGAUCUAUGCCACUCGCAUAGCAAAUUUUCUUGGAAUACCUAUCCGCAAAGGAGACCCCCGCUCCAUACAGCUUCCCUUGAUCGCGCCGCUAUGACACGUUAUCAGUUCCUUGAGAGGGACAAUGAAUCCCUCCUAUACCGGUUAAUAUUUAACCGACAACGUGUUUUCCAUAUUACCCUUCCUGCUCCUGCCUUCUUUGAUUUUCAGGUAAAAUGGAGAUAUUACAUGACCAGAGGAGAGGCAGAGGAGUAUGAGAGGGAGGCAAAGGAUGCUCGCCUCUGUGAGGCAGCUAUUCAAGCGGUAGCUGCAGCGCUCCCGUACAACCCCCAUUAUGAUUUUGGGUAUCGCCAGGACCAUCCUUGGGAGUAGACCAAUUUAGGCCAAAAGCCUAAGCUUGGGGGAGUACGUGUUUCCCAUCGACUUUAUAUUCAUGCUCACACUUCCACUUUGUUAGUCGGUGUUCACACUUUGCCACUGUAUCAUCCAUGCUAGUUUAUUUCUUUUUCUCGCUUUCUUCUCGUGUGUUUGUCUAGUUUGAGAAAACCCAAAAAUAUUUCUCAUUCUUCUUUUGCUUGUUGGGAGCUUUCCCGUGUAAAUAGUUUUCUUUUUCUUUGGGUCAAGGUAGAUGGCCAUGGUUACAAUGUUUAGUGGCUCUCGCAUGCAUAUCUGUUUAUCUGUCAAAGAGCCAUAUUACUUUGUCUUCUCCUUUGUGUUUUCUUGCAGAUUCCAGCUUAGUCCAAUGCACGAGCACUCUUAUUAUUGUUCACAUCAUCCGGUCGUGCAAGUGAAAGACAAUAAUGACGAUAUAUGAUGAAGUGACUGAGCCUGGAAAAGCUGGUAUGAACUCGAUCUAUUUUGCUUUUGUAAUUAUGACUAGCUCAUCGUUCCUGAUUCUGCUUUGUUGUGAGAGAAACAUGUUUGCAAUGACAACUUAGAGAUCAUAGUUUCUGAUGCCAUGCUUAAUCAGCUAGGAGCUUAUAAUGGUUUGUCUUGGAUGCCAACAUGAAUCUCGAGAUGAUUAUGAUGUAGUAUGAUAGGAUGGUAUCCUCCUUUGAAUGAUGCAAGUGGCUUGACUUGGCACAUGUUCACGCAUGUAGUUGAAACAAAAUGAGCAUAGCCUCUAUGAUAUUCAUGUUCAUGGUGAUUUAUGUCCUACUCAUGCUUGCACUCAAUGUUGGUUAAUCUCAAUGCAUUUUUCUCACUGUUGUCGCUCUCUAGUUGGUCGCUUCCAGUCUUUUGCUAGCCUUCACUUGUACUAAGCGGGAAUACUGCUUGUGCAUCCACUUCCAUAAACCCAAAGUUGUUCCAUAUGAGUCCACCAUACCUACCUAUAUGCGGUAUCUACGUGUCGUUCCAACUAAAUUUGCAUGUGCCAUUCUCUAAACCUUCAAGAAAUAAUAUGUUUUGCAUGCCCGAACCGCUCAUGUGGUGACAAGGGGCGAUCAGUAUCUUCCAUGCUAGGCGUGUUAUCCUCGAUACAUGUUUAUUCACUAUCAUUCACGAGAAUGGGGCCGGUAAUUGGAAUGCCCAGUUCCAUGCUCAAAUCGAAAAGAUAAUUGCAAACAAAACUCCCCCUGAAUUAUUGUUGGUAUGGACGGCACCCGAGUAUUCGGCUAGUCGUGGAGUGUGAUUGAUCGGUGGUGGGGAGUCAAAACUUUACUUUUCUGUUUGGGAACCGCCUAUAGUAUGUUUAGCAUGGAAGAUGGUGAAAACUCUUGGUCAUUGCGUUGAAUGAAAGCAUGCCACCCAAAAUUAUUUAUCUCUGUCUUCAAAGCUUGAGCUCUGGCACGUCUGCAAAUCGAUGCUUCCCUUUGCGAAGGGCCUAUCUAUUUAUGUUUCUGUUGAGUCAUCCUCUUCUUAUAAAAGCACCAAUUAGAGAGCAACUAUGUCAUUCUUAUGCUUUGCUUUUAAUUGAUAUUGAGUAUGACUGUGACUGGAUCUUCUUUGCCAUGAAUUACAAUGUUCGGUCAGCCCUUGGUCUUUGAAGGUGCUCUGCAUUUAUGUUUUGCGGUCUCAGAAAGAGCUAGCGAGAUACCAUCUGUUCAUACUGCUUCAUGAUUGUUUUGAUUGAAGUGUUGACGUUUGAAACUUAUCAUUAUUGCUCGCUAGUUGAUUAUGCCAUUGAUAUGAGUUUACCAUCAGACCUAGAUGUCAUUGCUUAUGUGGUUUGCUUAUGAUCUUGUUGAAAUUCUGAAUAUGAGUUAGACGUAAUUGCAACAACAAGAUCAAAUAGAGUUCGUAAAAGUUUUUCUUUUGUCUCUUUCAGUUUGUCAACUGAAUUGCUUGAGGACAAGCAAGGCUUUAAGCUUGGGGGAGUUGAUACGUCUCCAUCGUAUCUACUUUUCCAAACUCUUUUGCCCUUGUUUUGGACUCUAAUUUGCAUGAUUUGAAUGGAACUAACCCAGACUAACACUGUUUUCAACAGAAUUGCCAUGGUGUUGUUUUUGCGCAGAAAUAAAAGUUCUCGGAAUGACCUGAAAAUUUAGGAGGAUUUUUUGUGAAAUAUAUAAAAAAUACUGGCGCAAGAAUCAACCGGAGGGGUGGAGAGAGGAGCCCACAAGCCCACCAGACGCGACCCCCCUGGCCGCGCCUAGCAGGCUUGUGGGGCCCUCGGAGCUCUACCGCCUCCAAUUCCAGCUCUAUUUAGUCCCUUUCGUUCGGAAAAAAAUCAACGAGGAGAGUUCAUUGCGUUUUACGAUAUGGAGGCGCCGCCACCACCUGUUCUUCCUCUGGAGGGCAGAUCUGGAGUCUGUUCUAGGCUUGGGAGAGGGGAGAUCGUCGCCAUCGUCAUCACCAACCUUCCUUCAUCGCCAAUUCCAUGAUGCUCUUCACCGUUCGUGAGUAAUCUCAUUUUAGGCUUGAUGGACGGUGAUGGGUUGGAUGAGAUCUAUCAUGUAAUCGAGUUAGUUUUGACGGGGAUUGAUCCCUAGUAUCCACUAUGUUCUGAGAUUGAUGUUGCUACUACUUUGCCAUGCUUAAUGCUUGUCACUAGGGCCCGAGUGCCAUGAUUUCAGAUCUGAACCUAUUAUGUUGUCGCCAAUAUAUGUGUCUUUUAGAUUCUACCUUUCAAGUUUUAGUCACCUACUAUGUGUUAUGACCCAGCAACCCCGAAGUGACAAUAGCCGGAACCACUCCCGGAGAUGACCAUAGUAUGAGGAGUUCAUGUAUUCACCACGUGUUAAUGCAUUGGUCCGGUUCUUUAUUAAAAGGAGAAGCUUAAUAUCCCGUAGUUUCCAUUAGGACCCCGCUGCCACGGGAGGGAUGGACAAUAGAUGUCAUGCAAGUUCUUUUCCCUAAGCACGUAUGACUACAUACGGAAUACAUGCCUACAUUACAUUGACGAACUGGAGCUAGUUACAUAUCUCCCCGUGUUAUAACUAUUGCAUGAUGAAUAUCAUCCGGCAUAAUUAUCCAUCACCGAUCCAAUGCCUACGAGUUUUUCCUACUGGUCCUUGCUACGUUACUUUGUCGCUACUGCUGUCACUGCCGCUACUGUUACUGUGCCGCUACUGCUGUCACUGCUACUAUUACUGUUGCUACUAUUGCUAUCACACCACCUUGCUACUGAUACUUUGGUGCAGAUACUAAGUCUUUCAGGUGUGGUUGAAUUUACAACUCAACUGCUAAUACUCGAGAAUAUUCUUUUGCUUCCCCUUGUGUCGAAUCAACAAAUUUGGGUCGAAUACUCUACCCUCGAAAACUGUUGCGAUCCCCUAUACUUGUGGGUUAUCAAAAGCCAUCGCGGCGGCCGCCACUCAGCAGCAG
rnacentral:lncRNA from 1 species